AGAGUACGCGGUUAGGACGAAAUCAAGAGUCUACGGAGAGUUAGAUGGUCCAGACCCUCGCAAAAGCUCUACUCAGAAAAUUUGUUCAAUUAUAUAAGAGAUUCCGUUAUGGUACAUACUUUCAGCGAGCAACCUAGCUAAUUGCGAUCGACCCACUUCAGAAAAUCUUGCUAAUUGUGAUCGACCCACUUCAGAAAAUCUGCCAUGGGCGAGAAAGAACAGGCUAAGCCUUUGGCUCCUGCCAUGGGCGAGAAAGAACAGGCUAAGCCUUUGGCUCCGGCAUCCCACAGGAUCCACGUAGAGGAAGGAGCUGAAGCUCAGUCCAUGGAGACUAAAAAUUACAGCAGCAGGAGGAGGUGCAUCAAAUGCUGUGGCAUCUCUACCGCCCUCAUAUUGAUUCUAGCUACGACCAUGUUGGUGCUUGCUUUCACCGUAUUUCGCGUUAAAAAACCCGUUUUGACGAUGAACUCCGUCAAGGUCGAAGGAUUGGAUGUUGCUAUGGAGGCAAAUUUUCGUCUGGGGACAAACGUGACACUUGUAGUAGAUGUCUCGAUGAAAAAUCCGAACGUGGCCUCCUUCAAGUUAGAUAAUUCGACGACUUAUCUUUAUUAUGGUGGCAAGAUGGUUGGGGAAGCCAUGACUCCGCCGGGGCAUGCCAGGGCGAGGCGGACGAUGCAUAUGAAUAUCACGGUGGAUAUUCUGGCAGAUCAACUGCUGGAUGUGCACCGGCUGGGGAGUGAUCUGCAAGCAGGGGCUUUGCCUAUGGGUAGCUACACAAGAAUAAGCGGUAAAGUCAACAUUUUAAACAUCAUUAAGAAGCGCGUUGUUGUGAGAAUGAAUUGCACUAUGACAGUUGAUAUCCACAGCCAGUCCAUGAGGGAUCAGGACUGCAAGAAACAUGUUUCCCUCUAGAUUGAGCACCGGUUAAUUAAUUAGGAUUAUUUAUUUAUAUUAUUGAGGGUGUAUGGUUUCAGAAUUAAUUUGGUAGAAUCCUAAAGAUACAUAGAUCAUUCCAUGCUUGCAUCAAGCGGUGGAAUGAAGAAUAUGCAUUCCGUUAUGUAAAAUUCAAAAAUUGAGAGCAUUCAAAUAUGCACUUACAAAACUUUAAACACAUUGCUUAUGAUAUCAAUAAUGGCUACUUGAGUAUUUUUUUUGAUACUAUCAUAUUCUUGACUGGUUAGAGAAUUUGUACGACUACUAGCUAUGGCCGAUGCAGAAGCAGAAUACUUUUUUUCUUUUUUUUUUUUUCUAGAAAUGAUAACUGUUGUAUAAUCUAAUAUAUUGUACACUAAGGGGAGGGGAUAGAUCUAAGAAAGUUCAAGAGUAAUCCGGAGAGGACUGAACCACCACUAGAUCAAACGAAUCCACUAUACACUCGUUUGAAUUUUUUAAAUAAAAUUACUUUUUAAUAUGGCAAUUGGUGAGAGGCAAGAAUGCAUUAUAUAUCAAAUUUUAAUGCUUUGGUGGUGGCUACCGGUCCAAAGGCUGGUGGUUGCGCGAUGCCGAAUACAUUAAAAGCCUUUUCGGUAAUUUUUUGUCCAACAUGAAUAUAAUAGUCUCUUGCAAAUUGAAAUAGCGUGAGUAAAUUUUACCUGCCGACUAAGCUAAAUUACCCGAUUUCAUAGUGGGUUGAAUAAAAUUCUUAGGCCUAUUGGGUUGGGUGCCAGACCAAGUCAACAAGCAGCCAUAAUCCUCCUGGGACGACACGGAAUUGAUCGUGGAGCAACUUCCUAGUCAGUAGUCACUGGUCUAGAGUCUAGACAUAGACUAGCCCAAUUCGGGUGGUAAAAUACUUCGAUUUGUGUUGAUAUAUGGACUGUAGGUUUAAUAACACUACGCGAGGCCACCUAAUAACGCAUAUACGUAUUAUGGGCUUUUCGCAAAGAAUGGGGAAUUUAAGUAGUUCAGUCCAGAAGCACCCAAAUGUAAAAGAUUUGAUUAUUGAAAGAAAUGAAGUUUAACUGAGUUUUCAGCUUCUUCGUGCUUCCCAAUUUACCAUAUCGAGAAGAUGGAAAAAAAAGGGUUUGAAGGUGGCUCCUAAAAAAAGGCACGCGAGGUUUCCCAAAUUAGAAACUGCACUAUUUAUGCCCAUAUAUUACAAGGAACAGUUUCAUGAAUGUGAGCGAGGUUUAUGCUCAAAACCAUAUAAUCCUUCAAGUUUUCUUUUCGCUGCUUUUAUGAUCUUAUAUCAACUAGAGCUUCACACUUUUCUUGGACAUGAUUAUAUAUAUACAUCCCUUCCAUGCAUGAACUUGCAAGGUUUUUCCCUCCCAAAGGGCAUAUGGAACACUUUUGUCUUUGGGUGGCGGAUUUGUACUUUUAUGAUCAGCUCCUACAAUUUUGACUUUUGAGACAUGAAUAUUUUUUUUUUUUAUCGCAACGAUAAUAUUUGUAUAAUCUACUUUAAUUUAGUCUAAAAGAAAAGGCAGUCGACGAAAAAAUUGUCGGAGUCCCACCCUCACCCAGAUUUAAAUGUCUUGGUGGUGCCAACAGCCCAAGAAGUUUGAGCCAUGAUUCAUCAAAUUUGUGUAGAACAUUCUUUGCGUAAAUUUUUUUUGUCAGAAAAAAAAAUAAAGAAAAUAAAGUCAAAUACUCAUAGAAUUAAUUAAAAGUGGAAAACAUGCUAAAUUUUGACAUUAAGACUUUAGAGAAGUGCAUUUGUAUGCUCGACCUGGACCCCGGAUUGAGCUACAUACAACACCCUUAAGAUCUCCCAUUUCCGGGGGACCGUGAAUAUGUUAGUAGUACAUGAGAAUGAUUUCUGGGCAUUGAAGGGAUUUAAUUUGAAAGGGUUGAUAGGACCCUCCAUCCAAGUCUUAAUUACGUAUAUAUAUCAGGGUCCUUGGCCCGGAGAAACCCUCCCCCAACACGCGCGCACCAACAAGGCAAAAUACCACUCCCAGCAAUUCAGUGCUCUGAGCUCUGCUGUCUGCUCUUCUUUGGUUCCUUUCGGCUUUUCGUGUCAUAUGGGUUUCGUCAAGUAGGUGAAGUAACUCGCUUGAAUUUACCCACCACAUCUUUUGGAAGAGAUUUUAACCUAGUACUACAUCCAUAUUGAUUUGACCAGGCAAAAUUUCUCUUGCCCUUCUAUUUUUAUUUUUUUUAUCAUUUGUUUUCUUCAUAAAGUUCUACUUGUCAAUCGGGUCCAAUAAAUUGUCGAAUUCAACUCAUUUAAUUUGUAAUAUUUUUGGAUUUUAAAAUAUAAUUUUUACAUUAAUAAAUAUGAAACUCAUACUCAAAUUACAUAAUAUUUAAAUUGCAAGUCUUAUUCGAGUUUAGGUCAAACUCACUUAUUACUCAUUAAUUUUCUUAAUAUAAUUACUAUAACUAUUAAGUUGUAAAAUUAAUUUAAUAUUUACAAGACUACAACAUUAAAACUAAACAUGAACAAGUAAUAGUUUUUAAAAGGUAUAUAAAUCAAAAAAUUUUCAACACUAUUUAUAUCUAAUUCAUUCAAAAUACAUAAAAAAUAGUAAUAAAACAUGCGAUCAUAAACCAAUACAUUUUCAAAUGUUGGACUUUUUUGUAACCUUGUGAUUUGAAUCCAAACAUGUUUGAUGAUUUGUGUUUCUAGACAAAAAAAAAAAAAAUCAACCAAUAUUAUGCUAACACAAAAAUUUACUCAAACAAUAAGAAAAGUUAGAUAUUCAGUUAUGCAUUACUAAUAUUGGGUCUCAAGAAAAGUUAGUAGAAGAGUUUUCAGAUAUAUUUUUGUGUUUUAUAAUUUGUAUAUAUUUAAUAUUAAGUAAUAAUAUAUUUGGAUAUAUAAUUAUACAUAAUAUCAAAAUAUAAAUAUUAUAUAUAUAGGUAAUUAAAGGGCCGGACCUAUAUCGGAUUUGAGUCUAAUGAGAUUCAAACUUGGCUCAUAUUUAAUUCGAACCUAAUUUUUAAACUCAAAUUUAGACAGACUUAGUAAAAUGUCGGACUUAUCGGACUUUUUCUCAAGCCAAACGAGUCGAGAUCAAAUUCAUCUUACUCCAUUGACAGUCCUAGAUAAAGUGAAUUGAAAUCAAGGUCCUACGGUGGUAAUAACUCACUUUUGAAUCAAGGGCCUUCAACUUCAAGCCGAUUCUUCUUCAUGAUCUAAUCUGAGUCCCUACCUUUCCGGUCCUUGAACAAUUGCAUUAAUAUAUAAACGGUCAAGUAGACGGAUGGAUAAUGCUACAUUGCUACUAUAAUAAUCAAUAAUGCCAGACUACAGUAACGAAUAUCAAAGGUAAUGGUCAAAGGAGCGAGGGACAAAGCCUUCUCACUGCUUUAGUAGCCCCAAACCAAAUGGUCCAAAUCCCGCCACAAGGAGACAAAUUGAAUCUCCCACGUACAUUUCAUCAAGACAGGAAUAGGGAAGUAUCAACAUCAAGUAUCUUCACGAGUUCCAAUAGGAAUGGAGUCCUGUCGCGGACCAUGCUUAGUAAAUAUGGGAAAUGGUAGAGCCUUUUAAGGAAUUGAACAACCUACGAUCAAGAUCAUGUCCAUAUCCGACUCGUUUGAAUUCGAAAAAAGUUUAAUUAUUUAAUAAAUGAAUCAAAUUUAAAUAUAAUAUGAGAGUCAUUUAAUAAUUAAGUCUAAUAUGAAUUUACACGAAUAGUUCAUGAAUACAUAUAUAAAUAUAUUAAAUGUAUAUUAUAUUUUACUACAAAGGAGUAAUUGUACAUAAAUUAGUCUAAUAUUAUUUGUUUUUUUAAAUCAAGAAACACAAUUAAGCUUAUUCUAAAUAAUGCAUUAUAUAUUAAAAAUAUAAUUAAAUUAUCUCCGAAUUCAAAUUCGGUCUUGAGCUCAAGUUUGAAUUUGGCUCAUUUAAUUUAAUUAGUCGAAUUCAAAUUCGAACUCAAGUAUUUGUACAAAUAAGUGAAUCAAAUUCAAGCAAUUUAAUACUCGAAUCGAACUUAAACCCUAUUCCUAUAAUAUAGGAUCAAAACUUGAAAACAAAUAUUUGACUCGUUAAAAGUUUUAGACGUGGCUGUGCUUGGUGUAGUUGCAACGUUGCAUAUGUUAUAAUUUGAUAUAUGCUUGUACGCACGGCUAUGCUGCAACGUUUUUAAACCCGGACCGUAGAGUAAACUAAAAAAUUUUUUUGAUUCGAUCUCGAUUCAAAGGUUUAAUAAUUUUUAUUCAUUUUAAUAUUAAGAAUUAUGAAUAAAACUAAAAUAUUUAUUUUAAAAAUAAAUAUUUAAUAAAAACCGAUUAAACCUCCCAAUUUUAACCGAUUCAACCAGUUAUUGACCGGUUCAAUUAAUUAUUUGGUUUUUUUAAUUGAAUCGGAUCGAAGGCAUGGCCAGAUCACGAUUCAACAAGUCGAGCCCCGGCGGAUCCGAUUCGAUUUUCAAAACAUUGCUAUGCUGUUGCAUUGAUUCGAUGUACAUGAAUAAAAUUAUGAAUAUAAUAAAAUUAUACCACCGUACAUUAUAUUACGUAAACAAGUGUAAUAAUUGAAAGUCCCAAUUAUACUUGUCCGUGGUCUGUAAAUAAUGGACUAGUCAGGUAAAGACGCAAUAUACAAUCUCGUAUAUUUGUCCCUGAAGUCUCAUCCUCGCCCACACAAUCUUCUCACUAAUCCGUUCCUUUUUCAGUUCUACGACCUUUCGUGUUUGCACUUGCAGCAGCUCGCACGAUCGUAUAUUUUCUCCUCUUUGAAUGGAAGACAGGACAGGAACAGGGAAAGGCGUAAAAAGAAAAAGUGAAGCGGAAAGGAAGAAUCUCACUGCUAUUGUUUUAGGUACUUUCUCCAAUUUCUCGAACUACUCCCCCAGCGAGAGACCAGAAGACAUAUUUUCUUCUUUACCGGCGAGUUCAUUCCGAUAAUGAACAAACACCAAGAAACUGGGGACUAUCCGAUUUUCCUCCUCAACGUGAAUCAAACAUUUCCUCAGAGAAUGUUAAUUACAAAAAUUCAACUCUACAAAAAAAUCCCAAGUGCUGCUUUUCAAAAUCAUUUUGCCGUUCCAAAGAAAUUCAACAGGAAAGAUCAAAUCAAACCCUUUACUAAUAAAUGAACUGUGGUGCCAACUUGAAUUCGUCCUUAAUUACAUGUAGCUAGCACAGCACUACUAUUGUGCUCUCAAAUUUCUGACCAUCCUUACAAAAUACAGAAAAAUUCUAACACGUGAUAUCACUGGCAUACCCCUUCCUUUCCCAUCACAACUUUGCAAGAAAAUACCGGAGUAAUUGAGAUAUUUACAGCAAAACGAAGCAGAGAGGUGAUAAUUUUUUCUAACAUUUUUUUACAAAAGUAAGAAUUUUCGUCAAAUAAAUCUAGGUAUCCUUACAGUAACUCCAAAGGGUGAUAAUUGAUUACUCAUUUCCCAGUCAAUGCCAUCGCUUACAUCAAAGAAGACAUACCCCACCAGCCUACCAAACUAGGGCAUCUCUACUCUUUACUUUUCACUACAUUAAUUAAUAAUAAUAAGUUUUGAUACCACUUUACAUAAAUUAAUAUAAUAAUAUAUUAUUGUUUGCUUAUCUACUGCUACUGCUACUCCAUCAAGCACUUACAAACAACCUACUCAAGUACAGCAAUUAAUUGUAAAUAAAUCUACGAAUUUACUAAUAAGUAAACCGUCACGGGGUCUCCUUACAAUUGCAUGUCCCUCUCUCUGAACAGGGACAGACAGAAGGGAUCAAGAAUCUGUUGAUUCACUACUAACUCACCGAUUUCUCAUGUGACGGAUCGCUUACUGAACGCGAUAGAAUCGGAAGCCUCCAAAUCUACAAUGCAUGUCAUCGUUUUAAAAUGAUUAUUAAGAACAUAAAAGUAUUCAUUUCAUUACUACAUUACACCAUCUUUUUGAGGUUUAGCUCCUACACCUUUUCUCUCAACACCUCUGAGAAUUUCUCAAGUUUUGAUAUCCGUUUGUUUUUCCGGUGAUUAUUCAGUCACAUAUUUCGAAAACUAAAAAAAAAACCUUGAACGCAUGUAACUGUAAAUACUACUAUGACUGUCAAUUUACUGGGUAAAUUCUCGUUUACCUCUAGAAGCAUUGAAAGAUCUUUUGCAAUGCAGGAUGGCACUUUGGAUCCAUCCUGUUGCUGCAACAGGGAAUCAUCCGCGUCGAUUCGAGGCUACAGGCGCCGCCGAGCCGUCACCACGCCGACGACGCCGACCGACUUUUGCCCAAAUGCUUACAGACAACGCGGACCAGCCAGCUGUAAAUUCCCCUGCUUCUGAGUGCUCUUCACUACAUUACUCCCUCCCGCGGCUUCGCACGCCACCUCGCCCCCCUCACCACCGCCAUUCCUUCAUGGCAGUGGGUUUCUCCGUCGGAGACUCCACCUCCGCCGCCGUCGGAGUGGACCAGCUCCGGGCUUUGGAAAGCUCAACUGCCCGGAAAAUCUCAGCUUAUCUCCAUACCUUUUUGAAACGCGAACAUAGAGCGGCUUAACUUUCUUCAGAUACUUUUGCAUGACAUCUUUGGAAAACUUCCUCUCAUCUGUAGGGCCAUUCGAAUCAGUGGAAUUCUCAACGACGACGUCGUUACUCCGCUUAAUUGACUUGCUGUUUGUUCCCUUGGAACUAUUAUCUCUGGUGAACAGAGAAACCAGAGGAACUUCUUCAACCUUCAACUUGACAGUGAAGAGUUUACUAGUCUGUUGUUUUCUUUCUUGAUUCUCCGGUUUCUCCUGGGGUUCGGAUUUUUUGUGGUUUUCGCGGAAUUGGACUUGGAUUUGUUGAAGUUCAACAUCUGGACGCGAAAUUUGGUAGCGGAUUUUAAAAUGGAGGAAACUGGAUGAAAUUUUGGGAGAGCUUCGGCGGCGUUGAGAAUCAUGGAGGAUGAAUCUAUGGGAACGAGACGGCCUUUGAAGAACAAGUCAUCGGAAGGAGAGAGCGAGACAUUUGGAUCGUUAGAGUCGCCGCUGGAGCUGGAGGAAAGCGUGAAUUUUAUCUCCUCUCCUUCUUCUUCUUCUUCUUCUUCUUCUUCGUCAUUUUCUACUCCUCCUCCAUCACUCUUUACCUUUUCACUCACACUUUCUACUUGUUCAUCAACAUUCGGGACCAAAUCUUUGUGGUCCUUCAUUUGUUCCUCGAGUCACUGUCGUCAUCUUCUUCUGGAAGAGUGAAUUCCAAGUCAAAGAAGGGACCAUCGUCGCCGCCGUCAGAGUCGGAGUCUGAGGAGAAAGGACUGACCGCGGUGACUAUGGUGGUGGUGGCGGUGGAAGAAGAGGAAGAGGAGUCUGCAGCGCGUAGGUUAGUAGGCCGUCACUUUUGAAAACUGCACCACCACCACGCCAGUACUUGAGUAAGCUAAAUGCUUCCAUUGUUGGUAAAGCCAGUAUACAAGCUUUUGUUAUUCUGCGGCUAGUUAACAAGACUUUGUAAUAGCUGAUCAAACUUCUAUGGAGAAUUGAGUCAACUCCACAUAUAUGGCGAAUAAACUUGAGAAGGACACGUGUUGAUGCUGACAUCAGCGUAUUUAUGGUAGAGAGAGGGUUAACAUGACAACUAGACAAAAAGUUGUUGAACGUGGAGGUAAUAACCGGUGCACACGGUCAAAAGAAAAUGCACUUGCCUUGACAGACAACGCGCCUAAUAGGUGUUUAUCUCUCUGGCAUGCAUAAAUGUUUUCAAAAUAAAGAAUAAUAUGCUCCUAUGACAGGAUUUUAAAAUAAAUAUGAAGAAAAAAUUACAAGGGAAUUGUAGACAAUUACACAAAAGUGUUUCCAAUUUACUUGGAUAAAUUUAAUUAUUUCAUAUAACUAAAAUUUAUUUAUAUUGGUUAUAUUAAAAUUUACUAAUUUAUAAGUUGAUUUGCAUUGAAACCUAAUGAUUUGUUCAAUUAUUUGCACUAAAUACCUCGCUUUCUGAAUAUAUAUAUAUAUAUGAUCCUCAUAUCAUUUCGGAACAUAUUUAAUAAGAGGGAAAAGUUAGCGAAUAACAUACUUGUAUUGAGGUUACUUAUAUUAAUGCAUGUUAACGGGUAAGAUUUGAUUAGAUUCCUUUAAUCCAAAUUUAGGCCCAUUAUAUUUAAUUAGAUACAGAAACCCUUGUGAGCCUGAAAAAGUAAAUCUAGACACGUAUCCUCAUGGUUUGGCCAUUCUUGGAUACUUUUUUGAACAUACAAUAAAGAACUAAAGUAAAAAUUUUACAAAUAUAUAGAGUUUAAAAAUAACAUAAAUACUAUAUAAUUUUUAUUUUCAAAUAAUAAAAUUAACAUUCAAUAAGUUGAAUGCAAUAUUAUGAACUCAAAGAAAGAACUAGUAUCAACUACUUUUUUUUAUUUUCAAAACUUCAUCUACGUCCAUUGAGUCACACAAUAGAUGGGCGGGAUUAGGUGAUUUUUUUAUAUUAAAAGCAUAUCUUUUAAUUUAGCAGUCAUAAAAUCUUAAUGUAUUUGAUCCAAUGACUAUAUAAUAUUAGAUUUUAUAUACAUGUAUGUAUAUGUUUGUGUGUAUAUCUAUAUAUAUAUGUAUGUAAUUUAUACAUAAAUCUGAGUAGAGUCUAGUUUGGAUCUGAAUUUGGAUAUAGAUAGUAAAAAAUUAGAUUCUACUAGACCCAUGACUCUCUAAUAGGGGUUUGGGUCUGGGUAAAGGUUGGAUUUGAGAAAUUAAAUCUAAACUUUACCCAAGUAUAUUGGGUCUGAAUUGGAUCUAGAUAAGAUUUACUAAUUAACAUGCCUACUUAUAUCCAAAUUUAAAAUUUUAUUCUAAUAGGCCCGUUCUUGUAUCAUUGAUUAAUAUUCAUUUUCAUACCAAAUAUAAAUGUAUUUCUACAACAUGUAAUGUGAGGCAAACCAAUGAAACUCACGCUAUGUACUUUUACUAGAAUCGUUUCUUUAAGUACCCAUGAUAUUAAUCUUUCAACUAUUAUAAAAAAUUUUAAAAUUUAGGUUAUAGUAGUUUUGCACUUGGCAACAUAACAUUUAAAAAAAUAUGAUGGGCAUUUUAGGUGUAAUUAAGGGUGUAAAUAUAAGUACCACAUGAGAAAGCAAAACUCCAACAAAAGGAAGCAUGCAUGUCAACAAAUCCCGCUGGGUGACAAUUAAGAAAUGAUGAGGAAGCCUGAACAGACUGCACUGAAUUAAGAGAAGGCCUUAUUCAAUAAGCUUCAGGUAUAAGUGGCCGAUUAGAAUAUAGGGAAAUUAGUUAACCAUGGUUUCGACUCUGGUAACUAAAGCUCAGUCCAAAACGGAGCUUCCUUCAUCAUGAAAAAGCUUCGACCGAGUUUUGAACCUAUGGUUUCGUAUUUGUUUGUUGUUAGAUAGAGUCGGCAGCCCUCCCUGAAAGUUGAAACUUUAUAGGCAGGUCCUUUGCUGGCAAGACUUCAGAUACACCUUCACCAUGAACGGCGGCACACCCAAGGAUAAUCUGCAUUUUUGUACCAAACCAACUAUUUUUGGGGUUGCCCUUUUCCAAGCUUCCAUAUUACUGACAAUAUUAUAUGUAAGUUAACUUGAGAAACAUUAACGAAACCCCUGAAUCGAUGACCGAAGCUUGAUCGAACUCACACAUCCUCACCAAAAUGUGAGAUACUUGCAGAUAAAAGCAGAAAUCACAAUACGACGCAGUUUACCAACUGCGUACCCUCCCCAUGUAAGCAUAUACAUGCACGUCAGAAACUGUACGGACAUGUCAUGUCCAACAUGCCUAUUUGUUUCGUCAUUUUCUUUUCCCUCUAUGUGAUUUGGGACCAAUUUUCUUGAGGAAAAAAAAAAUAAUCUAUUUGGUUUUUCUCCUGACUAUUUAUGAAUAGGAAAAAUAUCAAACUCAUUUAAAUUUUUUUUUAAAAAAAAAAAAAAAAAAGACGGGGAACAAUAUUGUAUGGUUCCAAAUGUUAUUGACUUGGACGGCUAAGAUGCUUUCGCUUGAUAUAUCAAUGGUUGAGAUCGUUUUUAUUCCCAAAAGCACAAUAUAUUCUCAAUUUUAUAGAUGGAGACCAGUUGUAAUAUACAUCCCCGUGCGGUUUAUAGUGCAGAAGAUUUAUCUGAGCCCAAUCACUAACUAAAAAGCCAGCUCAUAAAAUAUCAUUCCACAUUUGACGAGAAGGGUUAUAUUAUUGUACUAUCACCAAUUGGACACAAGCUAAAAUGAGAAGAAAGUGGCCGUUGAUCAUAAAUUAGCAUGUAUUCUUUAUUUCUCGGAGUUCUCUUGCUUUCCAGAAAACAUCAAUAAACACAUUCUCGUCCCAAUUCCGCUAUCACACGAUUUUAAAAGGAAAAAAAAAAUAAAAAUCAUCCGACGUGAAUGGAAAAAAAAAAAACCAAAAAACCAAAAAAAAAGCCAGCAUUCCCCAAAGACAGGUGGUUUCUUUACCAUCAUCACGAGCUUUUCCAUUUACAGAGGUGAAGGAUACGAUAGCAUAGCUCCCAUAUUUGACGAAGAAGAUGGUAAUGAUUCAUCCCCGCCUAGUGGUCCUUGAUCAUCAGUUUGGUCCCAAAAUAGGUAGCUAGGACAUUGCUGUGUUGUUUCAACCCAUUGAUUUAGCUCUUGCCUUUGUAGGCAAUCCAGUGUUGUUAUUUCUCCCUCCACGUUAUUAAUGUUACUACAAGAUUGCACAUGAUCAAUAUGCACCAUAUUUUCGACGUUAUCGAUCAAUGGCGGCAAAUAAUUAAUUGAAUCCAAUCCAGGCGUAAAAGAUGCUGGUUGGACCAGUACUGUUGAUUGAUGGUCUUGAUGAUGCUGGUUCAUUUGUGGCCAGAUUGAAGAAUUCAGUACUCCUGCCGUUUCUUGAAAGAGCUGAUCGUGAUCCGGCAACAUUCGAUCAGCAUUACUACCAUCACCAGCUAGUCCUUGUAGCACCGAUGAAGAACUAGAAGUGUCAAACAUGAAUAAGGGUGGAGAUGUAAAUAAGGUAUCUUGAAUAUUCUGUGGCUUCAUUGCAAAGUCUUGUUGAUUGAUCAAGUCUAUCUGGUUUGCGUUGUAAGAGAAAAAUUGGCCGGAUUGCUGAUGAUCUGUACUAGUUGCUGAGAUGUUUGGUGGAGCUGCUGCUGCUGAUGGUUUGCGUAUUUUCUUUUUGAUCCAUGAGUUCCAGUAGUUCUUUAUUUCAUUAUCUGUUCUCCCGGGCAAGUGACUUGCUAUAUGAGCCCAUCUACAAAAUUCCACUCCUUGCUAUCAGAAGCUAAUACAAAGAAAAACUGUAGCCAAAAUGAACUGGACAGCACUCGAAAAAAACAAGAAAACAAACGUAAAUAAAAUCAUCAACUGAUUUAUAAAUAUACAUGCGACAAUGAGAUUUACACGAGUCAUGAAAUGUAGGAAGGAGUUAUCAUCUUAUAUAUAUUAGGCAAUCCUAAGUUAGCUAAUUAACUGGUUACUGUAUUUUUUUUUUUUUAAAAAAGUGUUGGUUACUAUAUGUUGAACAGGGAUGAGGAGACACAUUCUUCUGAGUAGGUAGAAUCCCAAGGUCGAAGGAACUAUGCAUGAUUGUGAUAGUGUAGAUUUUUUGCAAAGUGAGAUACAUUUUGAGUAUUACUCCCAUGUAAUAUUAGCAUUUAUUGCAUGAGGAGAAAUUAGGGAGUCAGAAGCAAUCUCAUGUAGUAGCUGGAAUAAGUUGUAUUAUUACAGGUAGACUGAAGGAAAAAAAACCCCGACGUAAAUAGCACAAGUAAAGCAAUAUUCAGUGCAUAGAAUAGACUUGUACUUUCAGCUGAAAACCUGAAGUUCAACUGUUGACAUUGCCUACAUAACGUCUUCCAAAUUUAAAGUUGACAAUUGAUACCUUUAAACUACUCCGAAAGCGAACUUGUAGGUGUCUUUUGGCACAAUGUGUCUACAUGAAAAUAUACGUUCUGGGAACUUCAUCUAGAAACUUGCUCCGACACUUAAUUUACAAGCCUAAGUUCAUGAAGAAGGAACAAGAACAUUUCAAAUCAAGAAUGGGAAGUUGUCCGAGUGAAAUCUGUGCUUCAAGUUGAAGCCAGUUUGCUCAAACCUGAUCGUAGGUGCAGAUCAGUUCAGCACAGAUGAAAAUGCCUCAAAGAAUUGAUGAGGUCUUCAACUGGACUGCUGAAUGCCAGUAACAUCUCAAACUAAAAGAUUCCAUUACACGUUAUCUACUGUAUCCUAGUUUAAUUCAUCCGAAACAAUGCGGUAAACACACUAGAAAUCUUAUUAGCUAUGUCAGAAUUUGACGUAGUUCUGUUGUUAGAAGAAGCUCCUCAUUUCUAGUGCUGAAAGGAAGAUCCUCGCUAUCAUCAUUCCUCCUCUCAUGUCCUCCUUCCCAUCCCCUCCCUUCAUUAACACUUCUUGGAACAAAAAUUUACUCCAUUAACUAUGAUUGCAAACCGAUGGAAUAGAAAUUACUAAGUUAACAAGUGAUCACUAAAAACCUGUUUCCAACGGCCCCAUGAAGGCUGAUGAUCAACUUCUCCUCUUCGGGAGUGAACCUUCCUCUUCUUAUGUCCGGUCUCAGGUAGUUAAUCCACCUCAAGCGACAGCUCUUCCCACAUCUUUGAAGUCCUGGAAUAAUCAAAUGUAAACAUUACGUGACAAGAGCCAAAACUACAGCCACAAGUAAAAUGGAACAUGUGAGCACAAGGGAGCUGAAGAGAGACCAGCUUUCUCAGGAACUUCACUCCAGCAGCCAUAGCCGUGAGUAGUAAUGUAUCUAAUGAGCUUUUCAUCUUCUUCAGGUGACCAAAGGCCUCUCUUCACCUUCUGCUGGUUGCAGCAAGAAUGGUGCCCCAUAUAUUCUCUCUUGUGCAAUUAGAUUCUUGUGAUGUAUGGAUGGAUGGAGCGCUAAACAAAGAGAACCCUCUAAUCUAGCUUUAAAUAUCUUGGAUUGGGAUUACUACUGCAAUACAAGGGAACCGACAUCCUCAGUGAAAAGAAUCCCUAGAAAAUGGGCCCAUGUUCCCAUCUAACCUUAAAACGACAUUCCAUCAAACCCUCCCUGUAAUGUUAAUAUAUAUGAUGGUCUCCCCCUCGAGUUUCUACGUAGACGUGUAGUAGUAGUAGUAGGAGUACUAUUCUGUAACAAACUUCACGUACCUCAUUUCUUUUCUCAACCAUGCGGUCUGUUGGGUCAUUCAUGUUUAGUCCCCUUUCCGCCAUCCCCGCCCUUCCUAACCAACGUCUUCUUUCACAUCUCAAUCGCCCAGGACAGAAAAAAAAAAGGGGGCAUGCUCGUUCUCAAGGGUCCUGAAUUUAAAUCCUCUUUGCUCUUUAAAUUCCACCUUUUCUCUACUGGGAAAAAAACCUCUAGUUAACCUGUUUCUUCAAUAAAUUUCGCGUUCUUCUUGAUGGAUUUGUCAGAAUGGUGACGCUGCUUCCAUUAAUUAUCAGCUCAUCAGUCGAGAUCAAGUUUUAUGUCCCAUCAUAUAUAAUGAAGUUGAUAAUACUCUCAGGAGUCAGGGCAGGCUUUUUCACAGCUCUUACUGAAGUGUUGGCUGAGGACCGAGGAAAGCAUUCUACUUCAUUUGAAAUAGUAUAUCGAUCAAGCUAGUAAUGAAAAAUUACUGCAGUUAAUUAAUAAAGUCGAAAUAAGAAUAUUUAACGAUUGAGUUCCUGCGUACUCUGACAAUCCUAGCACUCGACAAUUUCACAUGCAAAAAAGAAUAUUGCACGACUUUGUCUUCUCUUCGCCUGUAUGGGCCUUCUAGACCUAUCUAGCACUCCUACAUACUGGGUAGAGAAUCCAUUAUUAAUUUGAUUCCUCUAUCAGGUAAUCAAUUAAUGCGCAAUAUGGUAAACUUCCCAUAUAUAUAUAUAUAUAUACAUUGCUUCCUCCGAAGAGAACCAGGAUCCCUUCUAAUAUACUUGACAAAGCCUAGUAACUUCUUCAGAGAGCUUUUAUGCAUCUCGAUCCAAAAUGAAUAGCAAAGUCAGAAGAUGUGAAAUUGCAUAAGUAUCCCCUGACAAUUUAAUUAUUUCGUUGUCGCCGCAUGUUUUUGAACGAUUAUCAUGUUUGUUAACAAUAAUCACACUGUAAUAGUCAACUAAUUAAUAAAGCUAUUAGUUCUGAAACUUCAAUUAUGUUUCAGUUCAAUGAUACACUCAUGAGCAAAUUGAGAAUGCUUUCCCCAUAUUGUGCGGGUGUCCGAUCGAUGAGGACUAUAUCUUGUCAGUCAUGAUUCUUCAGGUCAUUCAUGAUAUCAAGAGUUGAUUUGACGAGAAAAGCUUCAAAAUAAUUUAUAGUUGCUACUUUGUAGAGGACAAAUCCGGGACCUGAAUGGAUUUAACGGCAGUUUAUCCUUCCUUUGUCUGCAAGAAUUGGAGUUCAAUCAAGCACUUCGGCUGAUCCAUCACUCUAUUUAUCUAUGGCAUUUAUUUUGUUGGACUUUUUAUUCGUGAAGUUUGUCGUUGAAGAGCUGCGAAUGCAAAUAUUAAUAACUGGCUAGUCAAAACUUAACGUCAUCCUUUAUUCAAGAUUUGUGAAUGAAACGUACCUUAUGAAUUACUCAUCGUAGCUCAUGCAUCGAAAGUCUCGUACUCCAAAGGAAAGUUUCGCGUGAUUUUUUUGCCGAUAGAUAAAUAAGAGGUUUUGAAUUCAUAAUCUCUUUUUUUUCCGUUCAAAAAAUAAACUUUUGAAAAGCGGGAUAAUUUAUAUUCUUUAUAUAUAUAUAUAUAUAUAUAUAUUUCAUCACACGGCCGCAGACGAUAUUGGUCGGUCCCUUAAGUAGAAGAGAUUAAGAUUGCGUUAAAAAGUGCCGUCCCCGGCGAAUCCAAAUCUUGUCCCCAUGGACGCUGAGGAAUAUUGAACAGCGAAUCACCUCUCAAAGUUUUUGCCGUGCCAAGGAGGAAACAGAAAAGGAAAGCCAUUACAUAAUUUGUCGUCCCAAAUAAUUGUGGAGAGAAAAGAAGGCCAUUACUAUUUGCAAGUGUCCUCAUAAUUGAACGAUUGUGUGUUCGUUAAGGCUACCGGUGGAUGGAUUUUUCGGCGGCAUUCAUCUUUCGGUUCAUUAAAUCAUUAAUUAUAGUUUACAAAGUCUAGAGGUUGUAAUACUACUCUUAUUCUAAGUGUUUCGAUGAUUGAUUGAGAUGCUUAUACGUUUCAAAAGAGGAUUAAUCGUUUAUAAUACACUGUCAGUGUAUACACUAUUACCAUUAAAUAUAUGAUACAUGUGUAAAAUUUAAAUUUAAAAUUUAAAAUUUGCUUAGUAUCAUCAAUCCAAUCUUGACAGUAUAUACACUGACCGUCAGUGUAUAUAAAAUCUACUCUUAAAAAAAUGAAUGAAAAGUUGAAUGAUAUGUCCUAAUAAUAUAGAUUAACCUAAAAUGUGUGGGUGCAUUACAAAAUCACCACAGUCAAUUGCUUGGUUGCUUGACCUAUCUUAUACGUGCUUCGGCAAUUGCUUUGGCUUUCAAAUCUAUUAGACAUGAAUUUUCUUCAAAUUAAGUUGUCAAAUAUUAUCUACUUCGUCGGAUUUGACAAUUAAUUACAUGUGAGUGUGAACAGUUAGUUAAUCAGUAGAUCUAACGAUUAGAUUUGCAAAUGUUCUUGGGGUCGCAGUGCUAUGAUUAGAUUUGUAAAUGUUCUUGACCCAUCUUAUCCAUGCUUCGGUUGCUUGUUGUAUGCGCGUGUGUAUGAUGUAAUUUUUGCUAUAGUGCAGAUUUUAUUAUUUAGUAAACUUAUUAUGAUGUUAUUUAUACUGCAAGAAAAAAUAAAGUCCCUUAUCCUACCAAGAGUCAAGAGAUUGGAUUUAUUUUAUUUUAUUUUUCUUGGGCUUAGACCCUGAAAAAAUGAUUCGAAGAGGGCGAUUCCGUGGAACCCAGUUAACAAGACUGCAUUGUCCGCCCAUUGUAGUAGUAAUAAUAGUUUACCGUAGACACAUUUUCGAAUCACUUUUUUUAAAAAAAAAAAAUUUACAAACAUCAAAUCAUUAUAACAUAUUUUUUUUGACAAAAAAUUUUAAAUAUAGCAAUUCGAUCGGACUCCAUCUUCUAAGAUCAUUUCGCAAGUUGCUAACAAUCUCUAUCGUUCUCAGCCGGGAGUCGCCAAAAGAAGCAGGGAUCCUGAGAAGGUAAAUCGCUUUCCCCUUGCUAAAUUAUCACCAACACCAAAUUGGCCGUUUCCUAUUCCAAAAGGUGAUUUUUGGCUAAAACUGCUUUUAGCCACCCUUGCAAUCUUGAACAGGUGAUAGCUAGCAUUGGCAAUUGAAAUUUCCAUGUAAGUGCAGCAUAACACGAAACGAAUUUCAAGGCUUCAGAUUUUUUUUUUUGAAACUUUCCACUUAACCAAAGCAAGGUGGUUAGAGCCUCACAAACGUACGUGCAUGGUAUUCCAUUUACUAUCAGUAUACACGCAUACUACUUACUAUAUUAUCGAGCUCGUGUUUAAUUACAUGUGCAUAUGUAUUCGUAUUUACGUCGACCCACAAUUUAAUAUAGAUCGAGGAGGAAAGAAGAGAGAAAAGAAUGAUGAAAUUGGCAAAGGGGGAGGGGGAUCUGUUGAUUGAUGCAAAUCAUUCACCAUAUUUGAUGUGAGAAUUAGUGACUUUUGCUUGGGAUGGAUAGGAAGCUGAAUUUGAAAGUAAAACAUUUAUCAUUUGAAAAAAGACUGCUAAUGAGGAAAUGGAAAAGCAGAAUGAUUAUUCUUAGCUUUAAGGGGGAGCAAUGGAGCGGGGAUUGGGCCUACGUACCUUGAGAUUAAGAAGAUAAUUAGUGGGAAAAGACACAGAGACUAUUCCCACAAAAGCAAGGCUGGUUAAUUGCUCGUGGAUGAAAUGUCUCCACCAACAACACAUAAACAGCCUCUAAUUUGAUUCAAUUAUAAAAAUCCCUGGUCCUCUAAUUUGAUGCUACUCUCCUUUUUUAUUGCUUUCAAUAAUAGUGCGACAUAAAUAGAUCCUAGGGUUGGACCCCCCCCCCCCGCUUUUUUUUUUCCCCUUCAUUAGAAGUUUCUCAUCUCUUAAAUCUAAUCACACUUGGACCCCCAAUAUAUCAUGUUUGAUUAAAUUAAAGACAGAAGUAACAUCACUUAAAACUGUCCUUAUGCUUCAAUUUUGACGUGCUGGGAUUCCUCCAAAGCUCAUGUUUUGGUUGUAUUGACACUAAUGGUGCUCUUGAGGUUCUAAACAAUUAAUUAAAGGUCUACAUGUCCAAGAAUAUACUCAAGAUCGAUUUUACUACUGUCAUACUCUUAGAGGAGAUGACCAUGUAGUUCUCCCUGCAGGAUCAUCAUCAGCACAUCAUGAGGGGGACAACUCAAGGCUCAAAUAUGAAGAAACCUUGGUGGUAAAGUUGACGACGCUGCAACUAAUGCUCUCGAUCAUGAUUUACACUAAUAACGUGCUCAAGUGGUAGCUAAAGAUGCUAACUGCUGCCAUAAAUGGAAGCUCUUGGGGUCAAUUUGUCAUCUCUUAACUACACAGGGAUCAAUUCUUUUCUUCUUCUUUUUUUUUUUUUUAAAAAAAAAAUCUUUUACCUCCUGCCCAUCCCCACGCCCUUCCCGCUCCUACUUGCUAAGCCCAGAAAUCGAAUCCUGAACGUGGCAGCAAUUAACAAACUUAAAUGUAUAGUUAAUUCGGUAUCCAAGAUGAUUACAGGUGAUCAGCUCAUCUGGAGAGAGGGGAAUGCUCUCUGGGGAGGGAUCCGAGGGGUUAGCUCGGAUCAGUCCCGCCGCCCAAAGUUGGGCAUUGCCGAACUCUUUCACAUCCAGCUUGGUGUCCGAGCUGAGUAGACGGCUAAGUUCGGACACGGGGAGCGGGGACGGAAUGGAAUCUGAAACUUGAGUCUCUGCUCUCCAGGUAAGGGGAGGAAAACCUAGGUUCUUCACGUAAAAGAACUGAGACUUCCAGUCCUUGAUAGAGGAAGGUGCCCCCGAGAACAGCUCGCCGGUGGGGGUUUUUGCUCCACUUCUGCGGGCGAAGUAGAACCACCCAGGCACCUUUCCGCUGACCUUCAUCUGGAAGAAGGCUCGGAACAAGUCAAGAGAAAAGGGGAUCUCGAGUACUCGGCAGAGGAUAAAAAAACCUAUGAUGGAGCGAACAGCAUUGGGAAUGACCUGAGUUAUGCGGAUACCCCAAAAGGUGAGGAUUUCGAAAAAGAAAUUGGGGAUAAGCAGGCGGAGACCAGCCAUCAGCUGGUCCCUGUAGAUCGCCACGAACCCGGGAGGAGGUCGGCUGGCGACCUCUCCUGGACGGGCGGCCCUAGGCUCGAAUUGGGCUGGAAUUUCAUAUUUUUCUACCAGCUUGUCAACAUCUUUUUGCUCCAGGGUUGGGGGAAUAGUGUCGACCUCUCCAAAGUCGCCACUAGGACCCCCCGAGGUCCCCACUGCCGUCUGAUCUGGAGCUGCCUGUUCAGCAGCUCCGACUAGAGGCUGGGCAGGUUGCUCGGCCGAGCUCAUUGCUCUAAUAGGAGACAGGACGGGAGAGGGCACGAACUCUGACCAGGAUGAACUAGAAGGAGAAGAACUAGAGGAGUCCGAAGAGCUGAUAUCUACGAGUAUGGGGCUAGCUACUCUACGCCUAGGGGCUGAACUAGUGACGUCAGAACUUUUGGAACUAGAAGAAGACAUAAAAAGGAAAGGGGAACUUACUGGUGAAAGGAGGAGAUCGGAUGAAAGGCUAAUCUAAGGAGUGCGCGAACUGACUUUGGGCUCUUAGAGCAGGGCGACCCGACGUGUUCUCGAGGGAAAAGAGGAUGAAGCAGCGAACUGGGGAUUGAAGGAACGAGCUGAUAAAGUGAAGGAGGAGGAGUGAAAAUGACUCCCGAGAAGCCUAUUUAUAGGUGAUCCUCAGGGCGGGAAGACAAAGGGGCGCACAUUUAUUUGAACAAUUCAUUGGGAACUGUCCCUAACCGUCAUAACGGGUCGAGGUGACGGUUGAGGUGACAGACACGAACCGACGCGACAGUUGCUUGCACCACUCCCAGACGGGGGUCCCACGCCGAGCUGACACGACGCCCUGAAAAUCCUCCUAGAUUCAUGCGAAUGCUCGAUGACUCUAGACUAGAAGGGGGCUAGUAUAGUAGGGCCCAUGUGCACAUCGGCCCGGUCCACGAACGCACUAGUCCGGCCCAUGAGUUCGGACAGGAGGAGCUGAUCGGCCUUGCAGGUCAGCUCGGCGGUUCAUGAGGGCGCCGCCUCCCAAGCGGAUGGGCCUGGUGGGCCGCGGAAUCCGAACCUGUCGGAGCUGGAUCAUGAAGCCCUAGGAGGAGUUCUUCCCCAAUAAGGACUCCCUGUGCUACUAGGAAACUACUACCUACGACUCUAUAAAUACAACGCGUGGGGAAGAUACAAGGUACGCCAUUCGUGUUGCCAAACUCUAUUGCUAUUACUUCAGAUCCUUUCUGACUUGAUCGUCGGAGUUGCUCUUGGGGGAAUUAGCCCCGCAGCUCGUUCGCCUACAGGUCGGACGCCUUAUCAGCUCGCUCCCCAGGCCACAGCCCAGCUCGGAUCUCCACUUCGGCGAUCGCAUCAGUGAGCAUCAAUCCUAGAAUUUGCGAGCAAAUCUUUUGGCCGUUAAAGCAUUUUUGGCAUAAGGUUAAAAUUUGUGCUUUUACGGUAACUUUUAUGUUUCAAAAAAAUAAUAAUAAUAAUUUUAUCAAUUCUAUUAUAAAUUUGAAACUAAACGAAGAGAUAAAUAUAUGUUUUAGAAAUUCAAAUUCACGUAUUAUCAAUUUGAAAAAGGACGCAGUGCAAAUAUGGACCCAAACAAUAUGAUUAAACACUUAAUAAGUACUUUGAUAAACAACUCCACUAAUUGAAGUGUUUCUUGAUGAACCACCAUAAGCUCAAACGGGCCUUAAUGAUAAUGAUCCAGGCCUGGGACAACGAUUAAGAUAAUAAAUACUCCAAUUAGAUUCCGAACCAUCAAAUUGCCGCUUCUGUCAUUCGACUAUGAAAUUAACCACCAAAACUGGUUUACUGAAGUAUGCGGUGUAGAUUGUUUAAGACUCUCUCCGUCGACGGGUUAAAAGUUGAAAUUCUCGCCGGAAGCGUAAAAAACUGCAUUGCUGAAACUCAAAAACGAGGCUUCAUUCCAUCAUAUUAUCCUUUUUUGAAAACCCAAUUGAUUACAAGUAGUUACAAUAGUUGUAGAUCUUUGUCCCUUGCGAGUAGUCGUGGAUGGUUAAUCACAUCAGCACGGACUCUUCAUUGUUCUCUUCUCUAUCUAUCAAAUGGUGGGAUAAUGCGCAGUCUCAUUUGACCGUUUUGGUUGUUUUAGCAGAGAAACGAAAUCAUGGUCCAGUGGGCUUUGUUGGUGCAGCAAAUGUUGUAGGCUAAGCCGAUGAUAACAAAAAAGACUUCGUCUAGUGUUUCAGAAUUUGUAAAUAGACAACGAAUUAUUCCCGGAACCAAUCCACGGCCUGAAAUUGGCCUGGAAUUUGGAUCCAAUUUCACAAGUUUGACUCUGUUGAGUCCUGAGAGACAAGGUCAAGACUGAAAUAGAAGAAAAGAAAAUGGAAAAAGAGAAACAAGGUCAGAACGAUUGUCACUGCAGUGGAGCGUUGACCAUUGACCAUAUCCUGCCAAUCUCCAAAGGUCCCAUGGCCCCCACUUCACAGUUCACCCCCGUUAUCCAAAACCCCCCCCGAAGGAUUUAGCGCAGGAAAGAAAUCAGAAAAACGAAUUCUACAACAGGAGGAAGGUCGAAUGACGAAGAGAAGAGAUCGCAUGGGAUCCCGAGCUUUGUGGUUUGGGUCAAGGUCAAUUGCUUCAAAAGCCUUUGACUUUUAACUCGUCUCCUUUGUCGGCUAGUGCAACCAACUUGAACGGAGUAUUAUUUUUUUUUCUCACGGGAUAAAUUAUAUUCUAUACCUACUUAUCCUCUAUUCUAUAUUUCUAUACACCAAAGAGAACCAAAGGGUUAUCCCACGUCGGGCCAGGAGGAAAUUUGAGUGGGUUUAUAAGUCUUCUGAGGAACCUGAAGAGUUGCCGGCUUUUGAGAUUUAUUCAGGGUUUAGGUUUGUAAAGUCACAAAAGUCUUACGAAAGAUUUUGAUAAAAAAAAAAAAAAGGGAAGGGCUAAAGUGAAGCAAGGGAGUCUUGAAUGGAGUAUUAGACUGUUAUCUCUACCUUAAACAAACUUUGAGUUGACGUUUCACUCAUGUUGAAUUGCAGCAACUCUUAUCACAAAUUUGCCAAAUGACUUUUGAUGUUUCGCUCAUGUUGUUGGCCACUGCCGAUGAUAGUUGGUAAUUGACAUUAAUCGACGUAAAAGUAAACAGUUUUGAAAACAUGAAUGACUAGAGAGGUAAUUUAGAACCCGUUUGAAUUUUUAUUUUUUAGAAUUUUUAUAUAAAAAAUGAUGUAACACAACGAUUUAAUGUAUGUAAAGUAAGUAAAGAUAACUGAGAACGAACUGGUGAUUAGCAGUGUGUGAUUAAUUGACUGAACACUGUCACUAGUUGAGUAUAAUUUUUUAACUUGAAAAUUUCCCGGCAAUUAAGUUAAUCUAUUUUGAUUAACUCCUUGAGAGAUUACAUGCAUGGUAAAUUGACGCCGUCAAAUUCGGUUGCGAAAUAUUAGGGUCCACCAAGUGAUCAUCAUCAUUGGGAGGAAUAAUUUAGGGAGUAACUUGGUCUGCUCUAUAGUGCUUUCCAUGUCUAUGGAUUCAGCUUAGACAGCCCACCUCUCCCCAAAAUCUCCCCUUUGCUGAUUAAUUUAUUCUGUACCUCAAGCCACUUCUGUCUGUGGUCUGCCAGAUUGGUGAUCUUGUACCUAUGAAUAUUCCCCUCACCUGCUGAUGCAAUUAUCUCUAAUCUUUUUUUUUUUCUUGAUAAAACAUAAUUAUCUUAAUAUCUAUAAGACAAUCUGGAUCAACCUUGUGCUCGUUUAAGAUGCAGCGAUUCCAUCUGUCAGUAUUAUGAUUGAGCGAGAAAAAGAGUUGUGUAGCUAUCAUCAACAAUAAUUGUUGACUUCCAAUUCACAAUUUUGGAAUAUUGAUUUUAAGUUUAGGAAAAUCAUAGGGAACUAGCCCUUCAAUUUAAAAUUAAUGACGUGGAUUGGAUUAUUCAAAAAAUAAUAGCAGUCUACAUUUUUUAAUCAACGAAAUUAAAUUGCAUCAUCCCUUUUAGAGGACUGUUCCUUAAAUUUAUAAAACAUCAUCCAAUCCAUAGUUUUAACAAAUUGAAAUCGCUACAAUCUAAGUUUAAAGGACUCUAGCAUCUAUUAAGGUUUAUUAGUAUUGGUAAUUUGGUAUUGGAACGGGGCGUUAGUUUGAAGUUUGUGCUACGUUUGAAGUAUAUGAUAUGAUAUCGAUGGAGAUUGAAUCACCAUCGAAUCAGAGUGCAACGAUGCAAUACGCACACAUAUAAAUUUAAAAGAAAUCAUGUAUAAUAGUACAUUGAUAGGAGAUAAGGUUUAAAAUUCUUGAAUUUCCACCCCCACAAAAAUUUUAAAAUAGCCCAAAGGGUUGUUGGUUAAGCAUGUGAUAUGAUAUGGUGCAACAAUAAGUUCACAGCUUUAACCGUCGAGUACCUGUCGUCCAACUGCUAACUCCCAAGUCCGGAUCGUGCGGGAGAUGUUACAGGAAUUGGAAGGCCUCGGCCAUUUCAAUUCACUCAGUCAAAGUAGAUGGACAUUCCAUCCCCGACCACAAGAAAUUGACGUCUCCUGUUUGGCUUUCGCUUUAGAAUCUUUUUUCGGCUAGUGCAUGUGUAUAUCUUUUUUAAGCAAUUGAAUUCGUCGUUACACGGACACUGUCCAUCUGGCAAUAACAACGCAUUCAACGCCUUAGCUUUUGUGACUUUCUGUGCUGAUGAAAUGUUGAAAUUUGCAAAUAGGGUGUAGGUUUAAAUUUGGGUUUAACUAAAUUUAACUGAGUCUAAAUCUGGAUCAAAGGAUUCAAUCCAAACUCUACUCAUUGACAUGCUUGCCUAUAGGUAAGACUAUGAAGUUGGGAGUACCUUUCAUGUGAAAUAUCAUCUGCCACUAUCACUAUCUGAGACAUUGCGACUGCAUUAUCCUAUUCCAUCAAUUAAUACUAUGGAUUGACAAAAUAAUGUACCUGAAACGAUUAUACAAAACCUCAAAGGACCUAAGUACCAACGUGCAGUAUUUAGUAGUCCUAAAAUCCAUGACAGAGUGCUUAUCCGCAAGCCGAAUGUCUACUUGGACUUCCUCUGGUCAGAAACCCGUGCUCCCACAAUCUUGCAAACAGGUUCGUUUUCAGGCAGAACAAGCUUUACAGCAGGAUGGACUUUGAGGUCACCCAUGGAUAGCUUCUGGCCGACUUCCAACUCACUCAAAUCCACAUCUAUAUAUGGAGGAAUGACAUCCGGAGGGCAGAGGUACUUAACAGUUCUCUUGAUGAUAUUCAAAUAAGCCCCUGCCAGAAUGAUGACACUGUUAAAAAAAAAAAGAAAAAGAAAAGAAGGUGUUUUGUUCCCAGAGAGUAAAUAACUUAGAUGAGGAAACAGUACAACCUACAGGAUGCUAAACUAAAGAAGCAAAGCAAUUGAAUCAAAACAAAUUAGAACAAGAAACCCCGCUUGUUUAAGACAACUGGAUGUUAAGAGUAGAUUGAUGAAACAUCAGCGUACCACCAACUAUGCCUUACUCUACAAAUUCAAAGAAAACACUUACCACUUGCAAACUCAACAAUUCUAAGUCUUCUGGAGGGGAAUCUAACUUGAGCGAAAAGCAAGAAAAGAAAAAACAGCAAUUUAAUAUUUCUCGGGUACAUAUAUCCACAUGAAUGUCUAAGCUAGAAAUCAGAAAUCAGACUUGGUAGAAGGCAUAUGUCUCAAAAGAAUAAAAACAUUUCGCAACAACACAACUGGAAGACUAUGACUGCAAAGAUGUUUCAUACCUUGCUUCAGACCAGGGCAGACAUCCUCUCCUCUGAAUACAAGAGGAACAUCAACCUUUAAGAGAGCACUUGAUGGGGCUCUUAUGAAAGUAACAUUAAGCACAGCGUCAGUUCCUGAAUGCAGGUGAAGCUGACACAUAGAAAGACAUAGAGUCAAGAUACACAUAAGUGAAAAGCAUUGAACCAUAUCAAAUAAAAUACUUGUAGUGCAAAAUACACGAAAAAGGAUUUGAACCGCAUGAGCCUACAAGGCAAUUACGUAGUCCUAAAAUCUUUUAAGGACCAAUUUUUGUGCGGAUAGUUACUGGGUUAAUUAAUCACUUCAAACUCGCAUUUCUUUUUAAGUAGUGAGCAUGUAUAGCCUAAGGUAUAUGUGCACAGCAUGAAGUAUGUAGUAGCAAAGGAUGUGUUGCCACAAAAUGCUGCAUGCCAGAUCUAGGUUGUUACGUAUACCCUCAGUGAACAGCCAUGGGCAUGGAAUGCCAAUUUGAUGACCAAAAUUUGAACCCAAAAACAGAAGGACAAUGGUGAAAGCUCCAAAUGCAACUUCUGUUUCAAUAGGUGAAUUUUCAAUGAAAUUGAUAAACUUCCAUCAGGCCAUUCAACUUCCCUCCCCUGUCAUUCAGAUCCCAAAAGCUUAAGCUAAAGACUCCAAGAUCUUACUUAUGCUUUCAGUGGAAUGUAUUUGUAGCUUGAAAUCACAAUCAGAGAAUCUCAAUUCAAUAUAAAUUUUCUUUUCCUUUUGUUAAUUAAAAUGACUGAAUAACAGACACCCCAGACUCAACCAAGUCAGCUUUCCAUCCAACAUUAUCCACAACGACAAUUGCAGACCUGCAAUCCAAAUAUCAUAAGCAUUUUUCACCCCUAUGGUCUUCUAUUAUUCUUCUAAAGAGUCAAAAAAUAACCUGCACUUCGCACAGCUAUAUCUUCCCCGAUCCUCAUAUAAGAAUUAGCAAGUUCAAUUGCUAGAAUUCUUCCAGGAAGCAUUGUCUUUCCUAACUUCAAAAUAUAAACUAGUUGAACGUCAACCAAACCAAUUACAGAAUAACAUAAUUAUCACCAUUUAAAACCAUAGUUCGCAGUAAUGCCACCAUCUACCAAUCCCCAAAUACAAUUCCUUUCAAAAUUAGUUUAUGUAUUAUACAACAAAUAUUAUUAAGCUUCUUAUAGUUAUAAUCUCAGCUAAAGUAUCCACAAAUUACCUAGUUUUUCUUUACGAAAAAAAUGCCACAAAAGUCGUUUCUUUAACUAACUUCACGAAAUAUGGAAAAUACAAUGCAGAAUCUGCCUAUAGACAACUAAACGACAAGACAUGACAUACCAAUCUGGGCAAGACCCGAACUUUCUCAAUUACUUCCUCGGACUCGAAUUCUGGUAGGACCUCAAGAUCAUACACCCUUGAGAGGAAAAAUGACCGACCCAUUUGAUUAACUAGCUUCUUGAUCUGAUUGUUUUGUACAGAGAUAAGCCUUUUGUUGCCUCCGUGCUGCCCAUCUUCUUGCUCGAAUACUAUGCUGGGAACCCGACCAACUUUUCUUUCUUUAGCACUAAUGAUCUUUCCGCUCUUGGCCCGUGGGAUAGCGUGGAUGGUCUCUGCAUAUUUGGGGUCGGGUUUUGGGAAUCCCGGAAGAUAUUCGAGUGGCGGUGUGGAGGGAGCUUCGACCCGUUCUUGGAAAAGUGGAGCCAGGCUGAAGUGGCGGAGGUGGUGCUGGAGGAUUCUGAUCACCGCCGGUGAUUUUUGGACCAGCAUUUGGAUUUCUGGUCGGUUUUCCUACAGAAAAUGAUGAUAAAAAUUUGGAAAAAGGAAUUUGUAUUUUGUAGAGUGAGGAUGAAGGAGGGCUUUAGGAGGGUUCUGACAGAGGCAAUUGGAGACUUACUUUUGGGUUAUUGGUCCGGGGUUCGGCCUUUUUUGGGACAAUACAAAUGGGCUGUCUUUUGGAUUCAUGAAGCUGAAAAGUGGUUGGUCUUAUGAACAUUGGGCUACUUGUACACUCGUGUCACUGAGCUUAAACAGCAUUUGUAUUGGCCCAAAAAGUGGUGUCCCCAAAAGCCAUCAGUCUCUAUUUUGACUUUUUCAACUCUCCCGGUUUCUCCUUCUAACUUUCUAAGGUUUGGGGUCUCUCAUUGGACCCCCAAAAAAAAAUGGGGGUGCAAAAAUUAAGGAGCAGUUUGGUAAAAUGCGAAGAACCACAAAAAAUCAUUGGCGAAAUAUAUAUUCUCUCUCCCAUUAAUUAGGUUUUUGUUUAUUUUGGUCAUGAAAUUAUUUAUUUGUCCACUUAAUUGUCUCCACGACUUGAAAAUGUAUUGAAAGUGACAAAUGCUCCUUAUCCUUCUUCGUUUCUUAAAUUUCAUCCGUCCUCUUACUAAUUUUUUUAAUAGAAAAAGGUAUAAAAAAUGUGGAUGUGAUAUGUGUCUGAUUGGCACCAAAAAGAAAAAGGAUGAAAAAAAAAUAGAAUAAGAAGUUUGCUUUAAAAGUGUGUGAUUCUAUUGUUCUUUCUCAUUGUUCGGCAGUGGUUUGCAAACAAAUUUGGCUUUGUUUGGAUUGUGAAUUAUUUGUCAAAUUAUAUCUGCUUACAUCAUCAUUACAAUUUCCAACGCACCUUUUUAUCUUCCCAAUUACCUUUUCAUCUCACAUAUAUCACAUUACAAAAAAGUGCUACAGUAAAAAUAUCUCAAAUAAUUCACAAUCCAAACAAACCACUAAAAUGAAGGAUUGCACUUAACCCCCAAAGAAAUUGAGAAGACUUAUCUCACUCUCUCUCGUUUAUCUUUUAUCCCGAGUUGUCCUUUUUCUCUUGCUUUCUUUCUAGAAACUCGAAACCAAUUUUGUGUAAGACCGAUUUGGAGGGUACAGAUUGAUCAUUUAGUUGUUGUUUGGCAUGCCCUGUCUCUUUCUCCAAAUGGAUGAAUAUGUAAAUGAUCACAUUCUCAGGCAUAAUUGUGAAGCUGGCCCUCAUAUUUCAUGAAUGGCAGUUUGCCACGAGAAAUGGGUUAGAAUAAACGAAAAGAAAAUGAUAAUAAUAAUUAAAUAAGACCCCAAAAAAAAAAACGAUCGCCAGUGGGACGACCGGGGGAAAACUACGUGUCCCUCCUAGUGGGGAUUCUUAGAAGAUUCACACAUAAAUUAACCCAAUGCAACAAUAUAUACGUGGAAGGUAGCCCAUGCACGCAAUAACUUGUCAUUCUCCCCCUCCUUAAUUGCUAAGGCUCAUGUAGCAAUACUUUGAUGGCUACUUUUUAGGGUUUAUUUAUAGAGAAAUAUAUCAUAAUGAUUUAAUAUGUAUACUCCCUCCGUCCCACUUUGAUAGUCCUGUUUUUCUUUUUUCCCUAUCCCAAAUUGUAGUGCACUUUCCAAUUGAAAAAUGUAGUUGUAUUUUAAUUUUUUUAAAAUACCGUUAUUCAAUGUAAGUUAUUGUUACUAUAAACCUACCCCAUUUAAUGAGACUUAAUUCUUUUUUUACCAUUAAUUCAAGUUCCCAUAAAGUUGUACUCUAAUUAAUGUGAAGGUAUUUUAGAAAAAUAGCUACCUAAAUUGAUUGUUCUAACAAAAUUAACUACUUUUUCUUAAAUUAUGUGAAAAAAAAUAGGACUAUCAAAGUGGGACGGAGGGAGUAUAUAAUAAAAAAAAUAUAUUCAGGGACGGAGCCAGAAAUUUAUUUUUGGGGGGGCUGAAGUGUAUUAAAAUUUUUUUUUUGUGACGAAAUAAAUAUAUUUAAUAAGUAAAAUUUAGAAUCAAUAAUUAUAAAAAUAAUAAAAACAUAUAAUUAUACAUACCCAAAAAUUUGUUAUUGAUUAACACUUGAAGUAUUGAUAGUUGUUGCACUCGAAUAACGAAGAGGAGGCAAUUGCAUUCUGCGAGUCUUCAUCCGUUGAAAACGCUGCAAUAUUUGCUCAUUUUCAAUUAUUGCAAAAAUAUCCUUCUCGAUGUAUACAACCAAACAGUCAUUCAUCCACUCGUCUCCCAUUUUGUUGCGCAAAUCAGUCUUGACAAUAUUCAUUGCAGAAAAUACUCUUUCAACAGAAGCAGUCGCAACUGGUAGAACUAAUGCCAACUGGAUCAGACGAUAAACCAAUGGAAAAACUGUAUUUUUACCAGUUUUAACCAUUUGUUGAGCAAGACUUCCCAAAUCUCCAACUUCUGAAAAUUGAGGAUCGCGUUGCACAUUAUAAAUAUAAUUUCGAAGUUGAGACUCAAGAUAUAAAUAAUCGUUACUUGAGAAGUCUUCAGGAUAUAAAUCAGCAAGACGGAGUAGUUUCUGCACAUUGAAUUGAGAGAAAGAACUUUUUGGAUCAAGACAUGCUAUGCAACUAAGCAAUUCCGUGCUAACUUCCGAGAAACGAUUAUUCAUCUCUUGUAUAAUUAAAUCAACAACCUGACAUCACAACAAUAAUAAAAUUAAUAACUAAGAAAAUCUGCUAACAAGUAACAAAUGUAAUGAAAUAAUAAUUUCAAAAAUAAUACCUCACAAAAAAUUUCCACGCGAUAAUGAUGAAAAUUAGUGAUGGUUUGACCUCUGCGACUGCGCCUGGCAUUGCCACGGAUUGCUAUACUGUCUUCCAUAUCAAUCACGGGAAUCAUAUUCAACUCACAAAAAUUGUUGACUUCAUCUAAAAUUAUUUGCCAUCCCUCAUCUCUAAAGUCUUGCAAUUGAGAUUUCAUAGUAUCAAUCAAACUCAUGGCUUGGACAAUAUUUUGAUCCCUUUGUUGCAAAACAAGUGACAAGUCAUUUGUGAUUCCCAAUAAAUACUUCAUCAGGUGCAAUGCAAAAACAAACUCAUAAUCAUUCAUUCUAUCAAUCAAACCCCUGGCCAUACCUCUAUUGUCAGAAGUGGUGGCAUCAUCUUGUAUAUUUCCCAAUAUUCCAAUCACCGAAGCCCACAUAGAGGAUAGACGAAGUAAUGUUAAAAUAAGGUACAUUCAAUCUCAUAAAAAGUUAAAAUAAGGUACAUUCAAUCUCAUAAAAAGUUAAAAUAAGGUACAACUAAAUACCCAUAUAAUCUCUAAUUCAAUCUCAUAAAAUUUUGAAUUUAUAUUUACAUUCAAAAUUUCUAAUUCACAUAAUUAAUUCUUAAAAUUUCAAAUAUAAAACUAACAAAAUUUUAAAAACUAAAUACAACCUAAAAUCUAUACAAUUUCUAAACUAAUUUCUAAUUUAAAUUUAAUAUCAUUAAAUUUUUUAAUGUAAUCUUUCAAAUUCUUAAAUUACAUUAACAUAAACUAAAUAAAAAUUAAUCUUAAUCAAAUUAAUAUCAAGAUACUCAAAAUUCAAAAAUAAUUUAAACAUAUAAUUAACAAAAAUAUAAAGAUGAAUAUUGUAAUUUAAACCAAAAAACUAACCUAAAAGAUUUAUGUGAAUGGAAUGGACCGAAUGGUGGAGAGUUGGAGUCUUGGAGCCUUGAAUUGAAGGCUUGAAGCAGGAUGGUAGAAUCUCAACUGAAGCUUCUUGGAGUUCUUGGAGCAUGGCGUCUUCUUCUUGGAGUUGGAGUCUUGUUUGCCCUUUGGCACUGGCGGCGUGCUUUUGCAUCAGAUGAAACCCUAAGGCUUCAUCUGAUGUAUUUUUUUCCCCUCAUUAUACAAAACGACGUCGUUCCACUAAAAGUGAAACGACGUCAUUUUGUAUUUAGAGGGCAAAAAAAAAAUUCAAAAUGAAAUGGGUCAUCUUCUUCCUCAGCAGUCAGCACGGCAGCGGCUUUCCAGCUCUUCUUCACUUCCUCUGCAGCAUUCAUGGAGCCAUAGAGGAUGGUAGUCGGUAGAUCUGGAUCACCGUGGGGGGCUGGGCUGGGCUGGCCGCCGGAAUCCCCUAUAUAUAGGGGGUUUUCCGGCGGCUUGGGGGGGGGCUUAACCAACCCCCCUUAAAUCCGUGGCUGAUUAUAUUUAUAAUUUUCUAUGUAAAAACAACAAUCCAAACGUAAAAACUACGUACUGAUAGUCUAUUUUGAUCCCAUAUCUACCUGAUUUGUUGUGUGAAAUGAAAAUGCUUACGUUUAUACAUUUAUUACAUCCUUUAAAUUUAGGCACAUUUUAAAUUAAUUACACCCUUGCAACAAAUAAGCAUUCCUAGCAAGCGCACAAUGAACACUUGAGAGUUUUACAUUCAAGAUGAUGGGGUUCAAACAUUCGAAUUAGCUUUUUUUUUUUUGAAAAAAUAAAAUUAGAUUGAUAAAGUAUAUACAUGUAAAAGAGGGUGCUAGUUGUUGGUAUAGUGAGUUUAAUUAACGGGAUCCGUUGGAAAAGCCUUCAAACUUUUAUAGUACAUCUUCUAUCUAUUACUAGAGGGAAGUCCCACGCGAAGCGUGGGGAUUGAUACCCGUGGGGAUUGAUACCUGUGGUGUGGUCAAAUAACUUAACAGUGUUUGAUAACUUGAUAUCAAGUGAAACACACUUAUAUGUUCCUUAAGCUUUCUAUUGUCAAAAUUAGCAUUACAUUUUUCUGGUGCUUGACUAGAUUCUUUUCUUGAGCAAUAACGGCACAGUUCCUUACUUUCCUUUUCCAUGUCUAAUACAAAUGAAAACUCAUGGUGUUAUCAUGUGUAUCAUUUUCCCCUAAGUUUAAUCUUUCAAACAAAAUUAGGUUGUUCAAUCAGGAACACUCACCAUUGUUUUGUUUAAUAGUUUUAACAAAAUGAACAUGAAUUUUUAGUGCUUUUCGCUUAUUUUCUGUUGUUCCAAUCGUAUUUUAUCUUUUUCUUCUACUGAUAACAAUACAUAUCUUUUUCUUGCCUUUUGAUUCCCAAAUUGCUUUUUAGCAUUAAGUUUUUCAAUAUUGUUUGUUUGAUCCAUCCUAAAUUUCAACCCACAAGCCCUAAACUUAAACAUAGAAAAUUUAUAUAUAGCAUUUGUUUGCUUGACUACUACAACUAAGAACCAUUAUUUCAAUCAAUACAUGCAUCUACAAAUAAUUAGAGAGCAAAUUAAUUUUCCCCAUUACAAACACUAACUUAUAUCAAACAAUUAUCAGGUCUACAGAAUUCAAUACAAAAAAAAAAAGCAUGUAAAUAUAGCCGUUUAUCUAUUCAAAUGGCAAUUUCUAUCCACACACAACAACUCAGUCACUUAACUAUUGAACCAAUAAAUUGCAUCAACUACAAGAUAAUUUUCAAAGUGGAACAAUCAUUCACACACUUGUUCAUUUAAGCACAUGAUUCAAAUGGAUCAAGUAUAAUUGUAAUAAUAUUUAAUCAAUAAAUGACAUGCAUGAAGUGGGAAUAUAGAGUUACCUUGUACUUUCGGUAGUAAAGUGCAAUCUAAGAGCAAAAUCUCUCCAUACUUCGCCCGCUUGCAAUAGAAAGCACAAAGGCUUAUUCAGGAUUUUAUAAAAUGGAAACUAUGCAACUCAUAGGCCAGAAAGCAAGAGCAAAAUUGAGCAUACCUCUACAAACCCAACUUUGGUAUUGUGCAAACCUUCUUAAUCCACAAUUUUGUACCUUAACAAUAGCCAUUAUUGUAACCUACGUUACAAAUUGAUGAGCAAAUGUUGAAGAAAAUGGGAGGUCCUGCAUUACUCUUGUAACAUUUAUUCCAAAUGAUUCUUUACCUCUCACACUUUAAUGGCCUCAUCAAUGUGCUACAGUUACUAAUUCAAAUAAGUGCCAUUUGUUGCAAUAGUUGAAUUAAUGGUUCUUCAGCUUUAAUGAUGAAGAAGAGGAAACUUUCUACAGUUAUAAUUCAAGCAUUCAUGUUUAGCCUUAUGCACCAAUAUUAUCUUAAAUGCAUUUAAUUUGCAUAAUCAAUUCAGCUAAACAUACUUGAGGGGAAUUAAUUUCGCUUUUCUACCCACUUUGCUAAAUCAAUGGCAAAGUAGCCAAAUCAUUAGCCACUAAAGGAUACAGUAGGUAAACCAGGCGAAAUUAGGCAACAGAAACUUGUGCAUUUUUCUUAAUUAAUACUGUUAUAUUUUUACCAUUACCAAAACGCCCCUAUAAAUGUUAGAUGAAAAUCACCCAAGAGUCAUACAACAACUCCUUUUUAUAUAUACUCCCUCCCUUUUUUUAUAACUGACGUUUAAGAUUUUGCACGCCAAUUAAGAAAAGUUUUUCAUUGUUUAAAUCUAUACACUACUUUCCUUUUGUACCCUCAUUAAUUAUCCAAUUCACUCAUAUUUUCUCUCACUAAAGUAUUAAAUGGUGCUGUUUUACUAGGCCAAAAGUAAAGAGAGAAGUAAUAAUUACUAGGAGUAGUAAUUAAGAGCCCUGUAUUGGUAAAGAGAGAUAAAAUGGUAAAAUUGUGAAAAAAUAAUUAAUGCUGCAUGAGAAUAAUACAACGACAGAUAAAAGUACUUAAGAGCAAAUUUCUUAAACGCCAGUUAAAAAAAAGGGAGGAGUAUAUAGGACACUAGAAUGGAGGACCUUCACAAUUUCCAUUACGUUCCUUAAUCAGCACCCUCGAGUCGAGCUUCGAGUAAGUUCGGAACCAAUCGGCACGCCCAAUCGGCAAAGCUUCACCUCAAAUCAGACAUCGUAAUCUCGAGGGCCCAGAUUCAUUUUCAUUCACUACUCGCCACCAACGAAAUUACUACCCGUAGUCCCCGUCUCUCUUAUCUUAAUCACCAAGUCUUUUCACAGCCAGAGCCAGACCCCUCCCUCCUCGUAUAUAAUAAUAAUAGUACGUUUGUAAAAAUCCCCUUCAUUUCUCCCUUCUUCACCCUUUUUCCUCCAAAACCUCUGCCCUCAUCCAGUUCACAAUCCGGAUUUCUCUGUAUUUACUAUUCUUAGGCUAUAUUUGCUCUGGGAUCUUCACAGAUAUAUCGUGUAUAUAUAUAUAUAUAUUGUGGGUUUUACCUUUUUCUUUUUUCUGGAAAAGACAAGCUAGCAAGUAAGGAUGGCCGAUCAUCAUCAUGAGGAGGAUGCAAAGGCGGAAUCUUUGAUUGAGAAAACUAGGGACAAAGUUCAUGGUGCUGAUGAUUCUUCUUCGUCUUCUUCCGACGACGAAGGCAAAACCUCAUCGUUGAAGGCUAAGGUUUUUCGCCUCUUCGGAAGAGAGAAGCCCGUUCACAAGCUCCUCGGUGGGGGCAAACGUACGUUAUUUCUUUCGUCCCUUCUUCAUAGUCUUACCAAUUCCCCAUCCUCUUCCUUCCUCCUUUUGCCUUAAUUUACUGUCACUAUAGUAAUAUCAUAACAUCAACUGCUUUGUUUUCGGUGAAGUCAUUUUUUUUCCUUUGUGGGAUUUGGUGUCGGAAAUGAAAUUGUUACUUCCUCUGUUCUUAGUUGGUUAAGAUGUAGCUCAAAUGGGCAAAUUGUUUUCCCAUUUUGGGUUUUGUGAUGUUUUUCUUUGUGUUAAUUUUAGCGUGUGAAAUCUUUUUUUACUAUGUUGAUUUUCAUGUUUUGCAAACUGUACUUCUUUUGUAACUUAUCGAGUUUUGGUAAUUAGAGGGCGCGCUGAUGAUUCGGAAUUUUGAUUGUGUGUUAUGGAUCCCGAUCUGUUCAAGUGCGGUACUAAUUUGUUGUACCAGGAUACUUUGGAAAAGAUGUUGCCUUUUUUCGAGUUAUCUGUUUAUUUGUAUUGAUGAUCAUCUGGAUUGGAGUCGUUUAUAGAAAAGUUAAACUUUUUCGACCUCAUAAAGCUUGGCUUGUGGUCGUCUUUUUCUUUUGAAGUUGAGAUUGUCAACUAGAUAAAAGUUUCUCUAACCAUUUAAGCUUUUUUAAUGGGUCUUCAUUUUUUGACAUAGAUAUUGGCUAAUGGCAAUUUAAAAAAACAAAAAGGAGAUUGGGAAAUGUUAUCUGAUGCAUAUUGAUGGUGAUUAUAGUAGUACAUGUUCUUUUCCGUGCAGCGGCUGAUGUGUUUAUGUGGAGGAACAAACAGAUAUCAGCAGGAGUACUAGGUGUUGCCACUGCUAUCUGGGUUCUGUUUGAAAUUCUGGAAUACCAUUUGCUCACAUUAGUUUGCCAUGGUUUAAUUAUUGUACUGGCUGUGUUAUUUUUGUGGUCCAAUGCGAGCACCUUCAUCAACAAGUAAGAGAAUCGUAGUGAAGAUUCCUUUUUUUUUUUUCACCCCCUCUCCGUCUUUCUUGCACAUUGUAGUUUCUGAGCUCGGAAAUUUUUUUUUUGGUUGUCUUCUUAACUAGAUCUCCACCUCGCAUUCCUGAAGUUUCUGUUCCUGAGAAGCCGGUUUUACAGUUUGCAUCUGAUGCAAGGGUCGCGAUCAACCAGACUUUUGCACUUUUGAGGGAUGUUGCAUCAGGAAGGGAUCUGAAGAAGUUUCUAUCUGUACGGUUUUUCCUAUCUCAUAUGAAAUAUAGCCAGCCUGAUGGUUUUUUAUAGUGCUCUCUUUAUGUCUGUUGUGCCCAUUGAAUGCACUUUCAAAAUUACUAGGCUAUGUUACAAUGGGAUGAUAAGAUUUGUCUUUGUUAUGAAACAUAUGAAAAUUUAUAUGUUUUUGGUACCAAAAUAGUUAUUGGGUCCUCAGCCUACGGUUUUGGCAUUCUUAUUUCCAAUUGUUGACAAUUUCGUUGCUGAAAAACCAGGUGAUUGCUGGCUUGUGGAUCUUUUCCAUCCUGGGCAGUUGCUGUGAUUUCUUGACCUUGCUUUACAUAUGUAAUGUCCUUAAACCCUUCAUCAUUACUGAUGACUGACAUAAAUGUUUGGGUCUAAUGAUAUGCUGUUGAUGAUGAUUUUGGAAGCAGCUGCUGUGCUGCUCCACACAGUUCCUGUGAUAUAUGACAAAUACGAGGACCAGGUGGACUCGUUUGCUGAGAAAGCUUUGGCGGAGCUCAAGAAACAGUACGCUGUGUUUGAUAAAAAGGUGCUGAGUAAAAUCCCAAGGGGACCAUUGAAAGACAAGAAGACGGAUUAAAUUUAAAAAGACUGAUCUUAUGGCGCUGUUAGUUCUGAUGAGAGAUUUGAUGUGGUGUGAUAGCUAGCCUAAUGGGGGGCGUGUCCAUAGCUUGUUAAUUAUGCACCCAAUAUAGUUGAAAAUCCUGCUUUAAUCCAUAGCUUGUUUAUUUUGGGUGGUUGGCCUCAAAACCAUGACCGCAGUUUGAGUGGGUCUGUACAUGCAUCAUCAUAUGCCACACUCACACGCUUAUUUAAAAAUGUUCAUCUGAAUUCAUGCUUAUUAUUGUUGCUUAUUAUUGUUGGGUGAGUGCACAGGUCUCAAAUCAGGCUGGCUGUUCGUUGAGCGGGAUGCAUGUAACGCUCUUACUGACAAGAACUAGGCACGAAGAAUGUAAUAAUAAUAUUGACUCGCAGUCCCCCCCCCCCCCCCCCCCGGUAUGUGGAUACAUCAUAGGUUCGCAAUAAUAUCACCAAUCUGUAGUUCGCGCUCCUCUGCAUUCGAGAACUCUGCCCGCGGAUUGAAGCAAUCAAUAGGAAAACCAGAAAUACGAUCGAGUUAUCAAACAGACUAGUUUGUUUCUGUUUGAUGGCAUUCAACGAUUAUUAAUCUUCUUUUCUUUUCUUUAUUUCUUUCUUUGGUAAAAGCACUUCAUUUCAUUCUGUCCCUAAACCGUGGUGAAUAGUCAACGCUACUAUCAUCAUCACGCUACGUGUCCGUACUGUAGCUUGCUGAUAGCAAUAGGUCAGUCGAACAUCAUUCAAAGGAAAUGUCGGCCUGCAUCAGUUCUCAAUUUGUUAGCUGGUCCCCGUUCGAACAACGACCGACUCUGCAAACUUUCUGAUAAGAAAAGGUUGUGAUCUAUCUAUAACAAAUCUGAGUAAUUAUCAGUUACAAAACACAUACAGCUUGUGUAAUAACUGUUUAAUUCCCUCCGAAGCAUACCAUGUAAUAACCUUGAUCAGUUCCACGUAACUGUUGUCUAACUAGGCAAACUAUCUAAAUAUUAUUAUUGACUCACUCAAGUGAUUACAAUGCUGCUUUCUAGCAAAUUAAAAGAGCUAACUUUAUCUUAUCAGCAGCUAUGCACCCAUCCUCAAACUCACACCUUUCACAUCUAGAUUGAUUACCCUUCUGCACCAUAAAUUAGCAUACGCAUGAGUAACCAACUCCGUGUCUAUUCUAUGCCUACAAGAAGUAUGAUAAUUGCUCUGUUGUCUUCCUCGAACCACCUUCCCCGUACAAUUCAUUCCAUUGCCUCAGCUCUGUCAUUAUGGGUCCCUCGGCUGCAAAGCUAGCGGCAACCUAUAACAGAAGUACGUAGCGUUACUCAAGAACAACACCAUCAGCGUAAAAGUAACAUCCCAUAAAAAGAGUCAUAAAUUCGAAUGCACUCAUUUACCUGGUUUUUAGCUUCCUUGAAAUCUUCCAUGUUCAACGCCCUGAUAGUAAUUACCCUUUCUUUCUUUCUUCUUCUGUAGAGGUAGCGCCUUCGCAAUUUACACGUUGUUCCUCUCCAAGCUUCUUCUCCUGCAUCAAUUGGAAGCUAUUAAUAACCUAUUACUUGAAAAAUUGGCUGACUGGGCAUUAAACAAAACGUAGCUUACAGAUAAAAACAGAUUAUGUACUCACAAGGUCCUUUAGGCAUUCCUGGUGUAUUAACUCUCUUACUGGCCGAUAAGCAGCAGUUGUGCAGAAGUUCUGUUUCAGAUCAUUUAUUUCAGUUUGAUAGUGAAUAAUGUCAAGCACGCCAAACAUUAUGAGGUAUGCUCACUUUUCAAAAUAAAAAAAGAGGAAGGUUUGCUCACAAUCAUAGGAACCUCCCCUAAGGUUUUCCAAAUUACACUAAACAUGAGAUGACUGUGAGGUAUAGUCCUCAUUUCUAUGGCACGAUGGCCACCUCUUUCCGCAAUUCCAGAUUAAGCAAUUUAAGGACAUCAAUAUAGUUUCCAAACAAUUCAAGAAACACACCACUUUAAUUAUGAUAAGCUUCUGAGAAAGUAAAUGUAAUAAUCUAGCCAAAGCAGGACCUUUAGAUCACUUCCGCUGUAUCCUUCUGUCAUGGCUGCAAGCUCCUUGAAAUCUAAGCUUUCAUCAACACACUCCUUCGAGAGGAGAGUUUUUAGUAUCAUUUCUCUAUUCUCCACAGAUGGUAGACCAACCAUGAUCCUGCUCCCCCACCACCAAUAGAGAAAAAGAGAUAAAAGAAGAGAGACAGAGAGAAAACAUUUCGUCAGACACAAAUCAAAUCACUGCUGAGGACUGAAACGUGCAUUACAUUAAUAGGCAUUCACUGAUGACACAAAUUUUUGUGGCAACCAGAAAACGGUGCUCAAUGCUACUAGUGCUAGGUAAAAGAAAAUGGUAAAAGCAGCAAAUACCUUCUCUCAAAACGUCUAAUGAUUGCUUCAUCGAGAUCAAAUGGCCUGUUUGUUGCAGCAAGAACAAGAAUUCUCUCACCUGAUUUUGUCAUUAAUCCAUCCCAAUGGGUCAUGAACUCAUUUUUUAUUUUCCUCAUGGCUUCAUGUCCCCAGCUCUUGAUCGCUGUCCAAGCAUGCUAUCAACUUCAUCCACAAAUAUUAUAGUUGGAGAAACCUUAGCUGCAAGAGUGAACAAGGCCCUAACAUUCUUCUCAUCUUCACCAAACCAUUUGGAUGUAAUGGUAGACAUGGAGGCAUUAAUAAACUUGCUCCGGCUUCCCUGGCAAUGGCCUUGGCCAGCAUAGUCUUUCCUGUACCAGGGGGUCCAAACAACAAUAUUCCUCUGCAUGGCUUUAGAUGCCACCCUUAAAAAGGUCAGGCCGUCUGAGAGGGAGCAUCACUAAUUCUUGAGAGAUCGUUUAAUUUCUUCCAAGGCACCAAUGUCCUCAAAUGUCACAUUUAUUUCACUUGCAGGUAUCACUUCUGGCCUUAUGCGCUUUUCAAAUUCAUUGUCAGGAGGAACUUCCUGUAAAAUUGAACAAAAAAAGCUGUAAGCUUCAACAGUUGAGGUACAGAAAUUUUGCAAAAGGCACCCCCCUGUCGCAGGGUUUGACAACAUCCAAGACUCUUUUUAACUUUUCCAUCAUUUGGAUCAACGUAAGCCAAUUGCCAUUUGAUUCGAGAAAUUCUGUCAUACUAAUACCAUCUGCUGCAUAGACGUCUGAUAGCUGGUUGGCCCAACAUUUCAUUCUGUUUUACUUUGCCAAAAAUGGUAUCAUUUAGUUUAGACAACCCCACAUUUAGUCCUCAACAACAAAUGAUCACAUUAGUCAAAGUUGAGUUGUUUAACUGGGGUAUUCUUUCUUUGGAUAAUAGAAAUAUCACUUCACUCACUGGAGCUUUAGAAGCUGAGUCCGAAGCAUCACCAUCCUUUGCAGUUGUAACUGUUGCUUCAGUAUCAGUUUUGCUUCCGGGCUUUGCUUCUGCAAUUGCAUUGACACCCCCUCCAUUCUGUACAUCAUUUAUGAGAGAGCAUCAGCAUACAUGAAUUCAAUUAGUCCAACAACAAAUAACACCAACCAAAUACAAACCUUUGGCAUUUCAGCUUGGGCUUCAAGCUUUAAAGUGUCCUUUCCAGCAGAUUUACCUUCCUGAAAUAUGCUCGAUCCAUGGGACAAACUAAAGCAUGACAAACAGCAAGUCAGCGAAGUCUAAUACAAAGACAACCGCAAAAGGUAAAAUAACAUAAUAGAACCAGAAGGCUGAAGUGACCUCGAAGAAGAAAUAACAAGUUUUCCAUUUCUGUACUCAGGAUCUUUGGUAUGCAUGAGAUGGUAAGCUGAUACCACAAUUUCUUCUACAUAAUUACUGAGGACCAUUGUGUCUGCCAUCCGAAGUGAACCAAGAUCAUCACACAUAAUGUCAUUAGCUGCAAGUACUUCAACAAUGUGGUUCUUAGUAUCUUGGUAUUGGAUCAUUUUCAUAUCCUCCUCCAGCUGGGAAUUCCAAUUUACAAGAUGUGUUUCAUCCUCUGGGGCUUUAAUUUCAAUAUUGUAAGGGAAUACAGAAGAAAGCCUUUCAUCCAAUUCUCUAUAGUCACUACUAGCAUCUACAAUUCUUGAACCAAUGAUCAACACUGAUCCACUCAAUCUUUUCAACAUUUUCUGGAACAAGACAUACACUCUUUCUGACCUACAAAGCAGCAUCUCCACAUCCCUGAGAUAGAGGAUGAUAGGAUGGCUCUUUGAGACUUUGGCCAACACCUAUUUAUAAAGACAAAAUUGGACAGCAAUCAGCAUAUUUAUAAAGGGAUUAAGUAUCUUUCUUGAGCAAAACCAUUUAUAUAAUUGAGCACAAAAGUUGGUCAAACUUAAAAUACAGAAUUAAUUGAAGUGUAGGACCUUGUAUAGUGUCUGUAUAAGAAGUUUAUCAUCAAAAGACCAACCGCUUGUCCGCUUGAGAGGAGCUGCAAAAAGAGUUCCAGAAUUAACAAGCAAAAAGAACAAAAGCAGUACUUUUGCUACUUUAAGCAUAUAGGUGCACGUUAUAUGAACGUUAGCAUACUCAACUGGAAAUCCUAAUCAGCAUUGUGAUAGAAGUAAAAAGGUAAAACCUAGAGCUAAUAUCUUAGAUUGCUCCAUAGCAUUAAAGAUUAUUUUUGCAUACAACUGAUAAACAGACAGGUCGGUUGAAAAACAUCUCGGAAUCAGAAGCAUGUUUAGAGGUGCCAUGAUAACAUACCUGCUCGUGCUUGCUCACUCACACAAUUUGGAGUUUUCCAACAUGACAUUUUGCACAAGAAUAUGGAGAUCAUCUAAAUCUAAGCAGUGACAGCAAUAGUCUAGAAGCCAAAUCUUAUAACAGCUAAGCAUCAAUUGUAUAAAUGUUAUUAUAACAACUAUAGAAAAAUUAGAAAAAACCUGGUAUCACAGAUGAUGUAUUUGAAGUAAGACUACUCAUGUUAGCAGAAGCAGAUGCAUUUCUACGCAAUUUUGGAACAUUAAGUGACCCUUCGGUUCCCCUGCACACAAAGGCAGAAGCAAAAAUAUGAAAGACGAAACGAGGCAAAUUCCAUUAGUCCAAUAUUUUCAAAUCUGAGGAUCAACUACGGACAUACUUUGAUUCAAUAUCUACCCCGCUGCUCUGUCUACGUAACGUUCCUGCAACACCAAAGAAGUACUAAGAGAGAACAAGACAAACAAAAAUGAAAAUGAAUCAACCAAUGAACACGUUCAAGUAUCAAUGCUACAGAAUGUCAAGAAAAAUGAAAAAGGAAAAAAUACAGAACACACCAGAGGAAUUGGAAAGGGGAACAAACAUGCAGGCGCUCCGAAUUCUCAAAAGUACAGAUGCCUCUCAAACGCAAGGAAAAACUGAAAAGAAUUACUAUCACAUGCGGUUGCAGAGGAACAGUUGCAUGUAAACACACAUACACUCUAAAGGGCCAUGAGCUUAAAAAAUUAUUAUUAAUAUCCAAAAUAGUAAAUAAUGGUUUCUAUACUCAAAAUAACAUUUUGGCAUCAAUAAGUAAUACAGUAAACAGCUGGCCAAGUACUUCAGUAUGCAGGAGAUUGGAAUCAAACUAAACCACAUUUUUUUGGUCAGUUCCACAACACAGUUAAAAGAAUUCUAAAAUCAUCCAUGUCCAGCAUCAUAGAAGUGACUGUGCAGUGAAAUAAUUUUUGAAUAACAUUUUCCAAAUGAUAUGUAAUCACAUGUGAUUAAAUGAGGAUGAAAUACCACGCAGUCAAGAUAGUGUAUGAUGAAUGAUGAUUUGUUUAAUUUUUUAUUUUUUAAAUGAAAGAUGAUGAAGCCACCUGCAAGAUCAACCAAAACUACUUGCUUUACCAUAUCUGCAGCCUAUUAGUAUGCCAUUUGAAGAAGCUUCUUUCACAUAAACCAGUAAAACGAAAGGCACAAGGCAUAGGAAUUGUACAACUGAAAACAUAACAAAGGAAGUUCUAGAUGAUCUCCUUCGGAAGGCUGUCUAAAUCCACAUCUAUAAAAGCAAAACUAACAUAAGCUUUUCUUUUAUUGUGCUCACUCAAAACAGAAAAAAUGACACUUAAACAGUAUAAGUGAAAUUUUAAGUGAAAGAUGUAGCAACUAAAAAAUGAAUCUGCAAGAUGAGAAAGAUAUAAAGGCAAAACAGGCUGCUUAGUUCAAAAGUUUCGUUUGGUGAUGCUAAAAGAGGGGUCACUAUGAACUAAAUUUACGCUAUGAUGAUGCAGAUGAUUGAGUGAAAGAAGCAAAGUCUAGGGAAUUAACACCAGUUAUGCAUUAGAAAACCCUAGCAAUAAACUGUGGAUAUCCAAGAAAAAUUCAGCUUCAUGAAAUAUUAGAAAGAACCAGACAAUUUCGUACCUUUGUAUUCUUCCUUGGGUUGAAGUAUUGAAAAUGAUCCAAACAAAUCAGAUACUCGGCCCAAAGUCGCUUCAGAUAUAGACCUUUUGAAAGACUGAAAAAUAAGGUAUGAAUAUUAUGAAGCUUUAUAGUUAAACUUUCAGGGACAAAAGCAUUUAGAACAGAAAAUACCACAUUAAAGUAGUGCAUGCUAUAAAUAUAAUAAACAAGCUGUCAGGCUAGACUUACAGUUUCCUUACUGGUGCACCCGUAUUUGCUCUGAAUCUGUAAGGCACCAAGAAGUAAUGACAUGAAUAAAUUAAGAACAGCUUAGACCAAAGCAGAUGAAAUGCCGCCAUAACAUGUACGAGGGAUGUAUGUUUAUUAAUAAUCAAGCAUAACUGCAUCGUUUAUGCAUAAGUGCAUGUUUAUCAUAGUUUUUGCUAGCAAAUUGAUGACAUGAUGGGGUUUGUCCAUUCUUUUCCUUAAAAAAACCAAUGGUAAUUUUCAAGCUGAGACAACUCACCUUGAGAGAGAAGUCGGUUACGUCUAAUAGCAACAACUUGGCCUCAAAGUAAUGAGCCAAAGCCUUCGCAAGCAUCUGCUGGUAAGUUUCUGAGAAACAUGAAUGCAACAAUUAUGCCAUCCAAAGAUUAGAAUACCGUGGAGGUCGAACAAAAUGGGACUGUUUUAGAUAACUAACCAGCAGGUCCCGAAAGCAAUAUUCUACGACUUGCAGGAGAAAGAUUCCUUGCGUGUUUAUGAAAUUCAGCUUUCUUCAAAUGAAAAAAGGCUGCACUUGUUAGCAAAACUCUUGUCUGCUCACUGUCAUAACCAGUAAAAGCAAUUUAGUGCUGCAGUAAAUAAUACAAUGUAGCUACUUGUAGCAGAGGGAAUAAGCAUAGGAAAAGGUGCAUCCCUCCUAAGAACUUGCAGUCAACAACUAGAACAGCUUGAAUAAUCAAGUCUAUGCCAAUAUGGUAGCCUAACCAUUCCAUUUAGAGGAAGUUCAGACAUCAUCCAUUCAGGAUUUUCAGUUCACCAUCUAGUCAUGAAAGAGACUCAGAACAAGAGUCGACAUGGCGAGACAAGAUGAGAACUUUGCUAGUGUAUGCAACACAUUUAAAAGAUAUUGGGCUUUCUUCCUAAUUCUAAUCUAUUUCAGUGAGAUUCUGCAGAAAAAUUUAGGCCUUCUCUUCUUUCAUCAUGAGAGAAUCAACAGAUCAAAAGUCACAUUCUUCUCAACAAGACGCUAAAUGAAGGAACAUGGAGGCGGAAUUUCUUUUUGACCUAUUAAAAGUCCUUAAAAUUGUGCACACAAACAUAUGAUAUAAAAACCAUCACUAAAUUACGGCAACUAAGAUGAUAAACAUUAUGUGCAGCAAACUAUCUUCAAAACAUUUUCUUUUUUGUUUUCAUAUGGCUAAAAUUUUUAUUACAAGUGACACUAGUGACCCAACAAAAGAAAAAAAAUAGAAAAACGUCAACGAGGACUCCAAACACUAGGCAAGCAAAGAAACUAAAUCUUUUGACAAAGAAAAAUUAUUGUAGUAAUAAGAAGAUGGCAGUGGUCAAUCAAGACAAGUACAUCAACCAGCAUAUAAGAAAACCACUGACACCAACACCACUGCACUGCCAUCCUAACCAGAUAUGAGAUAUAAAACUGCCAUCCAGAAAUGGCUGAGGGCACAAUAGAAAUAGUCAACACAUAAAACACUUCUGUUGUGGAGAUCUUGGAAUUAUGAAAUAAUUAACAUUUCCAGAAAAUUCACUAACACAAAAAGAAUGUAGAAAUGGAAAACAAUAACAGAAUAAGAAAGUACUAGUAAUCAAUUGCAUAAGCCCUGUCUACCUAAGAUAGUAAGGGAAUUGAUCAAAGGUGACUUUGCUAUCUUUGCCAUCAACCAAAAUUCAUCAUCUCUUUCUCCAUAACCUGUGGGGUGAGGCCGUUGGAAGAGGAGCCACCACCGGUCCACUUGCUAACAGUCUGUCCAGAGGCCAAUCCUAUCCCUACUCCUAUUCCCACACUCAAUGCUGACAUCAUUAUAUGCUUAGACUCCAUUUUUUUUUCUUUUGGUUUUUUAAUAAUCCAAACGCAGAUAAACCAAAAUCACUUCAAUUUAUGGGAAAAGAAAGAGGAUAUGAUUAAAUUUCACGAACAAAAGAGGUACCGAGGAAACAGAGCAACACAGGUAGAAACGAUAAUUUUUUAAAAAAAUUUAAGAAAAAGGAAGAAAUGAGCAGAUUCUAAUUUCUAUAACAUGUAAAUGUGAAACUUUCCGUGAUCUCAACCGAUUUCAAUAGAAACUGGAAGCAACAGCAGUGAACAUUGUCCAAACGGUACAGAAUUUUUAUCAAACCAAAAAAUUCAAAAGAUAAAAGAAUAAACAAUUAAAAAAAGAGCUUGAAUAAGAAAUUAGAAUGGAAAAACGGUUUCUUUUGACACGAAAAUUAUCAUUGAAUUCAAAACCGAAACCAAACACCUCCGAUCUCCUCUCACUCUCAGUGGGUGACUGUUUGUCCCUGAAUGGUGGCUGUUAGCCUUUUUUCUUGAUGAGUUUUUCUUCUUUCCUUUUGUUUCUCCCUCACAAACUCUUCGAAAUGCUUGGUUAGCGUUUUUUCCUUCUGUUAUGGUGGUGGAUUCAGUGGGAAAAGUUGUAGAAAAUUUUCAAGGCAGCAAACAAGAGAAAGGGAGAUAUCUGUGAGUGGAACCAAUUAGUGAUUGAGAGAGUAAAAGCAGAAAUUCUCUCUCUUUUUUUGACAUUUCCUAUUAUUGUUGAUGCGAAGAAAUGGCGGAGAAACGGUGGUCCAAAGGGUGGAGAAAUGAAGGGAGGAAUGGAGGCACAGGUGGAAGCUUGUCACAGACACGAGAGAGGGGAGAGAGGAGUUGGUUACGUUAUGGUCCUAAGUAACUCCCAAGUCGGUUGGUUCCCGCCUUUUCAGGUCCUGGCGUACCAGCAUUUUUAAAAGUGCGCAAAGCCGCAAACGAGGGAAAAUUUGUACUAUUGUGUACUUGUCCAGUGGGUCUGGUUCGGUGCAAUGCAACCUCACAGUAGCGUAACCAUUACUAGUUCCGUCGGUUGGUUGAGAUGUUUUCUUCCUGGUAGCUACAGUCAUCCUCAUGUAGUGGCGAUGCACACAGAAAAUUGCCCGUCGCCUGAUACGCCGAUCUGCUUAUCCAAUCAGGAUUUGGUAGUAAAAGGUGGUGCAGAAGAGAGGACUGGUUUUACCAGAACGGGCCUUUGAAAAUUGAAAUACAACCGAGUGACGUUUUCGGCCCUUAUCCUUUCAACAACUGGGACAGAAAAUAUCUUUCUAUUUUUGGCUAGUGUACGCUACUGGUUCUGGAUAAUAUUUUAUUUGAUCGACUCUCUCAGGAAUUUGUUGAAGUCCGUUCAAAAUCCAGUGAAAAUGUAUUUCUUUUUUUUUUUUUUUGGUUCCAUGUUGAUGGCUGCUUCAAGUUGGCGAGGUCAGUGCCACCCCACCAGGCAUUGAGUACAUGUAACACAGGACGAAAACAAAGCAGCAUUCAUAGUAUUCCGAUCAUGAUGGUUCUAACAAAAACGCAGUGAGAGUAGUUCGACAUCAAUAAUCAAACGCGAAAUAAUAUAGUUGAUAGUUUAUGCAAAUAUACUGUAACCAUUCGACGCUAGAAGGCUAUUGAACCAGCUGCAUCAACGAAUCACGCACGCGAUAGAUUGACAAUUGCAGAUUCCCUAGGCUGGCCUUCCAUCUUGCACUGCUCCUGGAGUAGGGCUGCACCAAGCACUGAGCUCCAGCCGAGUGUUAAAACAUUUGAGUCGAAUUCGAGUAUCUAUUUGUUAGACUCGAUUACUCAAAGAGCCGCUCGAAAAGCUAGAGUUGACGUAAAAUUAUAAAAAUGCUCCUAUAUCAAUUAAAAUCGAGCUGAUUUCGAACUCCUUGCGAGCCAAAAUAUUAAGCUGACAUCUCGAGUUAGAAAUUGAGCCAAACUCGCGAGUCAGAAACGAAUCAAGUUUGAAUUUUUCUUUUCUUAAAUCGAGUCGAGCUCUAGUUUCAUUUUUAUUUUUUUUUGACUCGAUGAGCUCGCACAUUAACAAUUUCAAAUUGACUCGUUUGCAGUUCUAUCCUGGAGUCACAAGUCACGACUACAUUCUCUUCUCUUUUUUUUUUUUUUGGUUGAAAAGCAACGCAAAAAGAUAAAUUUUGUUCACUUCUACUAUUUGACAAUGCAUAAGCGACGUCAAGGUAUAUUAUAUUGGAUACUCUCACAACAGGCACGGUUCCACACGUAAUGUAAAAGUGCUAUGCGUGCCUUGGGCUGUAAAUGAUGAAUUCUUGAAUUUUGACUUGUAUACAUGCAUAUUGAGUUUGAAAGGAAUUUCAGGGCCAAAAACCAUUGGCGGUUUCAUCUCUUUGUAGUAUAAUGCUACCAAUUUUUGUUCCUUGACAAGUAGAAUUUGACAAGCUAAUUAACAAUAAAUUAAAUGCGGAUCGACAAGAAGCUGUAAACUGAAUGGCUACUGGAAUGCACAACUGACUAGGGAGGGACGACAAGGAGAUGUUGGAUGCGAUUCUUUCAUAAAGUUAGUGUCACCACAAUCCGUUGCUGUCAAGAUGGCCGAGUGGUCCAAGGCGCCAGGCUUGUGAGAGGGGAUGUGGGUUCAAAUCCCACUUCUGACGAGUUUCUUCUUACCUUUUUAGCUAAGUCCCCCCAUGCGAACGAACGAAUCAAUGACACUGCCUCCAUUUCAUCCCUCUCGCUCAAUUCGAGUUUAUUGCCAAAAUAACUCUUCUUCUAGAAUAUAUACUUUUUUGACACUUAAUUUUAAAACUUAUUACCUUUGUGAUUCUUUUUUGCCACUUAGGCUGCAUAUGUGUCAGGAUAGAGAUAAAAACGUCUUUCAUUUCUCUUUCUCAUCUAAUAUUUUCUUCAAUUUUCUCUAUAAAGUUUCCCACAUUUUUUUCUUUCGUUAUCUUUCCCUUGUCAAACAUAAUUUAAGAAGCCAAUCUUUAUAUUAAUAGCAUCUAAAAAAUAUGUUUCGCAAGUCGAUAAUUUUAAGGUAGAUGAAGAUUAUUUUCGUCUUUUCAAAGAGUAGGAAGGAUAACAUAAACAAAUAUGAUAACCUUGAAAUUUUUGUAAUUGAUUACAAUUUUCGUUGCAAUUUUUGGUGCAAUUUUUGUAUUUUUAAAAUUAUUUUUUGAAAAAAUAUAUAUGCAAUAGGUUUGAUACAUUUAAAAAAAUUUGGAGACCAAUAAUAGUAAGGUCAAUAAUGGCAAAAUUUAUUUCAGAUAAUUAUAAGGAAAUUAUAAAAAUUAUGCAAUCUUCUUGUGCCUCUAUAAUAAAAAAAAUUAAAAUUUUAGUUAAUGUUAGAAACUAUAAUCUGGAUUAGAACUUUCUUUUUUGUUAUUCUACAUGGCAAUCAGGAUAAUUAGAUGGGAACAAUAAUAUCAUUAUGGUAAUAAAAUUUGAAAGUGAAUCACAUUGGAAAUAUUUUUUAGUAAGAGUGUUAUUUUGGCAAAAAACUCCGCUCAAUUCUAUGGUGUUUUCUUAAUUAGUCAGCUACUGUAGUAAUUGCCAUAGCAGUUUUAGCCUGUCCAAAAUUUUUAGUACGCUGGCUUCGAUUCACAUUCUCCUGAUCUUCACAAGCUGGCAUAUAACAGCGUCCCUAUUUGUAAUACAACCCGCAUACAUAUCGCAUAAUCUGCUUUUCAGCAGUAGCACCCAAAUUAACUCUUCAAAGCCCAAAGAAACAAAACAAUCCUCAUUCUGUGCUCAAUUCAAUAUGAGAGUGAGACAGAGAGUGAUAUAAAUUGAAGACAUGAAAUUUUAUUUCAUCAAAUCUAAGAAUACAAACCCAUUCCACAAACUAUGCAAGAGAAUUGAUGGUAGUAGACUCCUAGACCGUGCAUAAAUUACACCCAUCACAACCCCUAGAAAAUUAGUGGCAACAUUCUCUGUACAUUAAAAUGUGCUAAAGCAAAAGCAACAGAACUCAUUAGGACUGAACACCAGACGGGCAUGUAUUUAGUCAAGGAAGGCAGAAGGAAACCACGAAACACAAUUUCUUCCCACAACGGAGCACACACAACAAGUACCAAUGCAUACAACCCCAUUGCCACCGGAUCUCGUGCCAUGAUUGACUGCUCGACAGUUGAUAGAGUUACAGGAGUUGAAGGCAGAACAGGCAAUAAAUCAAGGUUGAACUGUGACAGCCUGUUAACCAAUGGAAACAUCAAGCAUCCCAGAACAACAUCAAACAGCCACUUCCCUUUGAGGCUAAAUUUAAACCAAUCUGAUGGAAGUGGGCGAAAUCUAGACAGACAACGAUGAAGAAUUAAAAUUCCAGCAAGACCUUCAGUCACAUCAGUCAAAAGGCUGAACAAAGCUUGCCCUCUAUAAGUUAGUGAUUCCUUGUUGAAUCCCACCAUAUGAGCUCCAAACGGAAUCAUCCAAGAACCUACGAACCAGAAUGAGACAACCCAGAGGAGUGUAACCUGCAUCACCAUAGCGGAUCUUCAUGAGAGAUGAUUUACUCUCGGUCACCAAAAGAAAAUAUCCCAUUCAUUAUUGUCACUAGUAAAAUUUGCAUCAGAGCUUAAUCAUAUUCGUCAAAUAUGUGUGUCAUUAAAAUGGAGACAGAACAGCAGUAUUGAGGAAAGAAAAUCAAUUAACAAGUGGAAGUUGGAAAUUUUAUGUUCUUCAGAAGAAUGUGAUGCAAGGCUAGUUCAACCAAAGCUAAAAAGUGUACUUAAUGAUAAAGCCCAGAAUUCAAGUUAAACAACAUUUGGUCAACAAGGUUUCAGGGAAUAAGGCAGGCUGAAACAUGAACAUGAUGUGAGGACACAAUAUGAAGGAGUGGGCGAGAAUUAAAUAUGGCAGUUAGAGAAAUUGAUGUACCGCUGGUUUGAUGUAUGGUACAACUACUCUGCAUGAGUAGGAAGGCUGCGACAACUUUCAGCCUUUUUUAGACCCUACAGUUUGGAAGUCUCACGAAUGAUAUUCUUCCACUACACAAGUGGAUAAAACAUUCAAUGGCAUUUCGCCAGUAAAGGAGAGUUUGCAAGGUUUCAUACAUCGAAGAUUAUCUGCCUACUCCUUUUGCAAAGUCAAAAGGCUUUGCAAGAAGCAUAUAUCCAAAAAGCAAUGGCACACAUACUUUCCAACUAGUCAUAUAUAUUAAAGUUCUCAAAUCUGUCUUUAAAUUAUAAUUUUUGAAGUAAAGAUAUUCUCCACAUAAGCAAUUUUUCUAAACUUUUUGCUCUCCAAGUGCGCCAGAUUCCUGGGAAGUCUGCAAACACAUAAUUUGGGAUCUCAAGAAGAUGUAAUAUGCCAUCACAAUGAAAGCCUCACCUGUAGGAUGGUCUCUGCUGUCCAUGGUACAGUCCACGGUUUUCCAAUCACUCUUAACACAGCAUCUACCCACUGAAAUAGUAAGGAGUUCAUGAGAAAAGCAUCAAAAAAAUAAUAGUAUUUCCAAGAUAUGCCAAUCUGUUUAAUUGAAAUGUCAUAUCCAAGAAGAUAAAAAUAACUAAGAAAGUAUCUGUAGUUAGUAGUCAAGGGAAAACAAAAGGCAAAAACUGUUUGCAUUGCCAUGCAACAGUAUUACUACAUAGAAAUGAAACCUUGAAAUCCAAAAUCUUAAAAAGAAGUUGCAAUCUGUAAAAUUUUCUUUUCCUUAGUCUGCUCAGCCAACCAAGAAAGCAUCCAAAACAAUGUGCAGUCAUCACGUAAACUACAGAAUGACAAUAAGAGUCAACUUAUGCAGAAGACAAAGACGUGACAAAGUUAGAAGUCGCCUCUUGUAAUCUUUAAUAGGUGCUAGCCAAAGUUUUUUUUUAAAAAAAAAAAAACACACACACACACACACACACAGCAGACAAUUUCGGAUUCUCAACAUGAUAAAGAACAGGUUGCUAAUAGUGCUACUCUGUAUAUCAUAGAUAACAAGUUCACCUCAACCACAACUAAUUAUCAAAAAGAAGCACAAGUCUGCAAUCCCAUUAUGAACGAUUAUUUAAUGGCAAACUAAGGAGAUACAGUAACGCAACUCCAUACAUCAAAUGCACACAAUUCUACGCUCAUCUACCACUAAAUACAAAGCUAAUAAGUAUAGUGAAAUCCAGUUAGCAAGGCAGUAUUGCAUAAAGGCAAUAGUACCCAUCCAAUAGAUUUCAUAAUGCACUUGAUAUAUCAUUUGCACAUAGGUUUACCUCAUUGUAUCACUAAUUACCAAAAUGGAAUCCUAUUGACAACAUUAUUGGGAAAUAGCAAUGGAGGAGUUAGUAUUACCUCUCCAAGACUUGAUAUCCAACUUCUUUUCCCAGUACUUGGCUUUUCAACUUCUGUUUUCCGCAAAUUUUCAUGUCGAAUCUCCUCCCCAAGAGACUCUCGAUUGAUUCCCGCUGAAGAACAUUCCUCAUGCCUGAAGCACGAUAUUUUCCACUUCUGCAAGAAUUUCCAUAUGCAACAAAAUCCUAAUCACGUAAUACAUAUGCCACGCGUAUGCAUAAACAGAAACGCACACAAAAAUGUACAGUAAUGCAAAGAACAAAAUAAAGGAAAAGCAAAUAUCGGAUUUUCAUGCUAGAUUACUUAGUAAGUUCAUAUAAAUGCAGAUAUAAUGCAUCCAACCCUUACAACCCCAUCAAGCUAAAGAAACCAACUACUAGUAUUAUCACCCAAAAGAAACCUACUUUUUAGGUACCAACAUCAUCAGGAUUAGAUUUCUAUGAUAAAUUACCUUCGUACAGGAGGGUCUGAAGGUAUGAGUAAGUGGAGCUACAGAUUUGAUAUUUGGGCUCAAUUUAGAAGCCCUAAAAAAUGGAGGGGCUGGAAUGGAACGGAGAGGUCUUCGGGGGAAAGUUUUGGGGCAAUUCAAAGAAGUGGAGCUGAGCAUAAGAUUAAUCGGAGGAGGAGGAAACCCUUAAUCUAGAAGAGGGGGCAUUAGCGAUUGAACACAUGGGGCUCUAUGCAUUUCUAUCAGUGUAGUUCAAUGAUGAAGAAAACCCUAUUGAUAACCGGUCAGUUUUGUCUUCAUUUUUUUUUUGGUUUUGCUAUGUUUGUGUGUAUGUGUGUGUGUGUGGGUGGGGGCUGGGGUGGGAUGGGGGUGGUGGUGGUGGCGGUUUUGGGUGGGUUUGUUUCUGGUAUAUACUAUUCUAUUUGUGGUGUCCAAGUGACUGUUUUCGACGGCGGACGCCGGAGGGAAAUGGAAAAUCUAUAGGAUUUUGAUGGGGAAAGCAAGGGAAGGGCUCGCCCGGGUGGAAUAUGGAAGUGGGUGGUAUAAUUAAAAUGUGGUGAAUUAAAUUCGUGGUUUCUCACUUAGGAUGGUACAAGGAAAGUCCAAUCUCACCCCCGUGCUUCACAAUAAAUAAUUGGUUUAUUUUUGGUUGGACCAGUAUUUUUUUUUUUUCACAUUUUUUCUUGGGGCUUUGUGUCAAAGAAAAAGCAAGAAGGAAAAAGGAUUGGUCUAGAAUAUUUUUGUAGGACAAACUUAGUUGAUUGUUGAUUUGAUCCAUGUAUUUAUUGUCCUCCCUUUUGUAAAAAGACUUGUUUAGCAAAAGGAUUUAACACUACAUGUUUAACUUCUGGGCAUGCAUUUGAAAUACAAAAUACUCGAUACUCAACAAAGAGUACAUAGCCAAAUAAUAAGGGUGCCGAACAACUUUUUUUUUUUAAUUUAAAAAAGGUCUUAAGUAGAUGUUGUGCACAUAGGUAUGUGCUACUGCAAAUUAGGUUACAAACGAAUUAAUUUGUUUGUGAGUCGGUUUGAUCAAACUGAACUAGAGUCUAAUCAAUAUCGAACUCGAGUUGAGAUCGAACCGACAAAGUUGAACUAUCAAACUCCAGCCAAACAUAGAGGAACUUAGCUGUUUAGCUUGCGAGUCUUUUUUUAUUUUAAUAAUAAAAUUGCAUAUGUAUCUCUAUAUUUUUAUUAUUUAUUAAGAAAAUUGACUGUUUUAUUCAUUUUUAAAAAAUAAAAUAAUUAUUUAUUAGUUUUUUAAGCUCUAGUAGAUUCGAACUUGAGUUCGACUAGGCUUGAACUUGAGAUUGAAUUCGAAUUCAAAUUUUGCAUUGAAAACUCAUCGAGUUUGAACUCAAGUUUGAACUUGAUAAAAUUGAAUCGAAUUCAUCUUGAUUAUGCCAAAAUUUGAUUGGAUUUUCAACUUGUUUGCAACCCUAGUGUUAACAAAGUAAGUAUUGCAAUGUGAUAACUUGCUUAGUUAUUUGCUGUAGUUAAGUGUUCCUAGAAGAUAAUUCAGAUGUUUGGUUCUUAUUAUUUUAACUCUAGAACCCUUGUGGCUCUAUUAAUACUCUAUUAGUUCUUGAAUAAUAGAUUGGAUAAUCAAAAUUCACAAUGGACAUUAUUUGUUUGUUUUUUUGUCAGCAACGAUACAUUUGUAUAAUCUACUCUAUCCUAAUCUAGGAGGGAGGAAGAGCCUAAGGAGACUUUGAUAAGGAUUAGUGGAUAUACAGACCCAACUAAAUCAAGGGAGUACUAUGACACAACUCUUAGAUUUUUUUUGCUGCAGGUGAGAUUCGAACCCUCAUCUACAAAUCCUUUCCUGGUGGCCACUAAGCCAUUGGUUGGAUAUUAUUUGUUUGGAUUGGCUUGAUUUCAAAUAAAAAAUAUUUACUUCACAAAUCUCAACCAUCUUUUUAUCUUCCCAAUCACCUUUUUAUCUCACAUAUAUCACAUCAUAAAAAGUGCUACAGUAAUUAUCUCAAAUAAAUCAUCCAAAUAAACUCUUAUUCAAACAAACAUGUACUUCUGAGAAACCAUUAAGUGCGUGGUACACUCAGUACAUGAUUGAGUUUCAAUAUAUUUACGACCUAAUCAGGGAAGGAGUUCAAUUUUACUGUUGAGUUUUAUAGCCACACCUUUUAGCUUACGUGUAUCCAAUAUUUUUCCUUUUCCCCUAAUGGGAAGGAGCCCAUUAUGGUUGGCUGAGAGAUUGCAAGUGGAGAUUUGCAGCUAUGAACUCAAGGUUGUUUGGCUAUGGACUCAAUCAUGUUAACCCUCCAAUUUGUGAACGAUAUCUUCAGUCUCAUUGCCUCAAACCAAAAUUGGAGAAGAUCCAAUUGUUACCCGAUGCGUUGGUUCCACCAUUGAAUUUGAAGCCGAAAAGAAUGUUGGUUGUCUGAGACAAAAAGAGAAUCUAAACUGAGUAAGAGACCUCAUCUUGAACAAAUUGACAAAAGCAUAUUGGCUAACUGUACCAAGGGAUAAGGAAGUCAGCAUAUUGGCUUGAUGGUUUUUCAAGGAUUAGGAGCACAUUAGGUGGUUUUCUUUCUUACGCGUGUUUUCCUGUUGGUCUUGGAAAUGCAUAUAACAUUCGUCUUCGGAAAAGUCAGAUAGAAUAAAUUGUCCGACAUAUAGGAUGCACGGGGGACAUUUCAAUUUGAGAUGAUCAGCAUAUUUACGUGCUCAGAAAAAUCAUAAAUUAAGAAUUGAGAGCAUAGGACUUUUCAUCCAUGUUGAUAGAGAAAGCUUGAAGGAAUUGCAAUGGAUGGAGAGAUGGUGAACGAUAAUCCUGAGGAUCCAAUCCAAAGAGAAAUAGACCAAUUAGAUGAAUCAAACAAGAAAACGGAGCAAAAUAUUCGAAAGCUGGAAGCAAGAGCAGCCCAAAAUGUCAACCUAUAUUUCAUAUUCCAAGCAGUGAUUCUUGCAUCAAUCACCUCUGCCUCAUCUCUCAGGUGUCAUCACUGGUGGCUUCCAUUGACCCUCUCACUUCUUGUUGCCGUCCAAAACUUGUUCACCUUUGUCAGCGCCAUGUACAAAAUUGUCAAGUCAAAAGAAGAGCUCGAUCAGGACACCUUGGACCUUGCUUUCAUCAAGUUGUACCGGAUCGAAAGGGCUCAACUCAAUCAGGUAUUGCCUGGAACUCCGUUCGAUCAACUGCAGGGUGGUUCUCAAGUCGCUAAACAAGGAAUAAUCAAAGUUUUAGGCCAAAGCCGGGCUUGUUUAGCCGGUGCAAACGCCGUUUGCUUGUUUAUUCUUCCGUUGCUCUGUUUGUUGGCUUCAGUGUCGCUAUAAUGUAUGGCUGCUACAGCCUUCUUUGCCGUUCCAAUGGGGAAAAGUGUGUGAAAGUCUGCUAAUUCAACACCUCUUUUUUCUCAGCAAGGUAAAUGGUGACCACAAGUUAAAAUUACCUUGUUGGUUGAGGCCUAAAGACUGAUUGUCAACCUCUAUAGUAGCCAUUUUCAAAAAAAAAAUAAAUAUAAGAUGAGAGUGUAUGACCUUUGCUUCUCCUCUUGCAAUGGAAUAUUUGACUUUACUUUGUUAUAGUACUAUGAAAAAAUUGUACACGUUAAGGGUUUAUAAAAAAAAAGCCCAAAAUUCAAUCACUUAUGCAAAUCUUUUCAUUUGUCAAACAAUUAGUUAAUGAUUGAUUACAGUCGCGAGUUACAGUUGCAUGAUAUACAUCUGGCUUGGGAAAUUAAUUAUGCCAACAUAUGUAGCUUUAUAUAUAUAUAUAUAUAGUUAUUUUACUCUUUUUAUUUUUUUAUGUUUAUUUUUUUAUUUAUUUUACCUUCCCUCCUCCCCAUGCCCACCCUAAUCCCCUACUCAACCCUGCAUGGUCAGGAGAUUGAGUUAAAAAUUAUAUAGGCUACUAAAAUCUAGCUUGAAAAUUGGUUGUUAGUAUAUUUCUUGCUCCAAAUUCCAAGAAGGAGACUCCAAAUUCAGCAGGUAAUUUGUUUGCUUAUUCUAAAGCAAAGCUUCUUACCUUAAACCUUAAUAACUCAAAUUCAAGUUUGAGAUCGAAUUUGGCUCAUCUCGUUGAACAAGUCAGCUCAAAUUCAAACUUGAAUACUUGUACAAAUUAAUGAAUCGAAUUCGAGCAAUUUUUAUAACUUGUCUAAUAUUUAUUCAAAUUCAAACUCUAUUUAUUUAAUAUAUGAACAAAGUUUGAACAUCAAGUAUACAAUUCGAUUCAAUUUGUUAAAAACUCUAAUUUUGAUAUUCAAACAUAAAUCAAGACAUAGUGGAAAAAGUAAAAAAAGGAAAGUUUAGACAGAGAGAAUGGGAAGAACGAAAAUUCAUAAAUAAGAUACAAGCUUUAAAAAUUUGUAAAUAAGAUACGAAUUACUUUUCAUAAGUUAUAAUAAGUACUUUUGUCGCAGUCAAAAUUAUGAAUUACUCUUAUGUGUAUAUUACUAGUACUCAUAUGUGCACGUGUGCUUCUGUCUCUAUAUUAAAAAUGCGUGAUGCGUGCACCAAUAUUCGCCAAGUUCACAUUUUUAUUAGUUAAGGUGCAUUACUAUGGGAGUAAUUUAGGCCCCGUUUGGACAGUUAUUUUUUGUCAAAAAAUUGUGUCUGUGAUCACAUUUUUCUAUUAUUUCUUUUCCUCACCUACAUGGUUACGUUACAGUAAUUUUUCUAAAAAAAAAUCCAAAAAAAAUGCAGCAUUUACUAAUAAAUUUAUUAGUAAUUUAUAAAUGGUUAAGGGAAAUUAAAGUACUUUUCUCUCGUUUUAUCUUCUUUCUGGUAGGGGAUGCUUUAUGUUAUCCCGUAUUGCCUAUUAACAAGUAAAAUUCAUAUAUUUGCUGUUUCCUGUAUACUUUUAUCCUUUUUCCCCUUAUCAGGGCUGCUUAAUCUUAGCCAUGAUGCCAAUUAACAUGUAAAGAUUGCAUCUUUAUUAGUUUUUCUGUUGGAGACGGCAAAAUGAAAUAAAUUAUCUUGCAAAAGUUGCAUCUUUGUUGUUUUAUUUUGGUUCAAAAGAUUGCAUCUUUGUUAGUUUUUGCUGUUGGAGACAGCAAAAUGAAGUAAUUGUUAUUGCAAAGGCAGUUCCUUUCGUUCUCUCUUUUUUGGGCUUGGAGUAGUUGUUAAUAAGUACUGCUAUUAACAAGUGAAAAUCAAAUUUUUUAGUUUUAUUUUUUUUUUUUUUUGGAUUUGAGCUUGUAAAUUAAAUGUGAAAAUUGCAUCCCGUUGGCCGCAGAGGUACUAUAGAAGUAUUCUGGCAAUAUGUAAGAAGUUCUUUUUCGUUAUUGUUUCAGGAACAAACAACAAUGUGCUGGUUUGGAAACAGAGCUCUUCCUUUUGCAAUCCUCGUGGCGGCAACUGGGCGGCCAUUCAGAAAGCAAUUAAAUCUUUUGGUGGACAGGGGAGAGCAAUUGUUUUGCAAGAAAAGCACGAGCAAGACUUUGUUCAUAAGGUACUUAUUCUCAGUUAUUUGUUUUACUUGGUAGCAAUAUGCUAUGCAUUGUUUGAUCACGAAAUAUAAUAAGAAGCAUAUGACAAAUAAUAGCUACAUAAUAUUCAUACUUUUCUAAGGAAACUCAUUUUUUAAAAAUGAAUGGAAGACUUUGAUUAAUAAACAUGAACACAGUUCCACCUGUUUACUUGCUAUUGAUUAUGUAAUUUUCCUAUCACCCCAUUGUUCCAAGUAUCCAAGUUUCACAAGCCAUUCCCAUGACUCAACUUGAGACAUUGGGAAUAUUAGGAUAUAUCCAAGUCUAGAAUAAACAGUUGUAAGAAAAAAUUAUUAGCACAAUGAUGUUCGAAGCUCACUUUGCCACAAUAUAUGUUAGUUUUAUUCGUUACAUUAGAAGUAGCCUCUUUAUUGUUUGUACAAAGAGAAAAAAAAAACAGAUAUGGUGUUUAGAGCGCAAAUGGAUAUUAAGUCCAAUGUGCAAACCUCACCUAUGAAAAUGAGCCGACCCAAGUUUUCAAUUGAGGCAGUCCUCAAACAAAGACGAGUUGGCAAAUAUUGAUAGGUCUUGCUUCCUCAGAAAGAUGUUUGCUUGUUCUGCUGUUGGACAGUUAUAGUAUGGCGCUGCUUAAGGAAUCAUAUUAUGGAAGAGAAAAUCUAUUCUGUAAUAAUAGGACAUACAUUCAAAAACUGAAAGAGACUUGGUUGGUAGGGACCAAUUUAUUGAGCUUAUUGAGAAGUUUUGUGAAAAUUGAGUUUUAGUUUGACUCAAUAAAAUGUCAGGUAAGUAUGAGUUGUCAAAAAAACCAAGUGACCCACCAUUAUUAGUUAGGAUAAACUUUCAAUUGCUCUUUCUUAGACUGUAAUAACAGUUUUAAGAUUCUGAUGAAAAACCUGGUGACUUGUGUUUAACUGUCUUUAGUUUUAACUUGAUUACAGUUUGGUUUAACUCUUGAGAGACUGUAACUAUUCAAGUUGAAUCUGGGUGUCUUUUCGUGAACAUUGAGAUGUAUUUUCUGUAAUAAUAAUGAAAGGAAGAAGAUUUCCAGUGGGUAAAGACGUAAUCAAACAUUAGCAUUGGAAAAAGUGGCAGGGCACUCUUGUUAUGUUAAUGGGGGGUGUUCUCAUUUGACUUUUCAACUGAUUUUAGAUUCUAAUUUUCCAGCAUCGGUUCUUUUGAUGUUCUUGUUUGCUUUUGUGUCUACAUUUUAGAUUAUUUGUAAUUGGCAAAUGAACUGAGAACUGAAAUCCUGAAUCUUUCCAAGAGUAUCUUUUGCUAAUUCUGAUUAAACACCUUUUUGUUAAAUGUAAAGCAAGCGAAACAGCCCCAUAGUAAUGCAUUUGUAAUCAUAUCUGCUAAAUCUUAUUGUUUUCCUCUGGAAAAGAAGCAAUUGUUGCUCUAUUAUGUUAAGCAAUUUGAAAGUGUAUUUUUGGAAAGGAUAAGUUGUUUAUCAGAAAAAGUUUGUUAUUAUAAUGUUUGCUAGUUUAUCUAGUGGGUAUGAUGUAUUGAUAGAUUCUUUUUCCUAACAUGUACAUUGUGUUCUGCUUGGAAUUUUGAAUCAGGCUGAUGAUGGUCUUGCGAAUGAGGAUAGUAUCAGUCGACUGCCAGAUGAUUUGCUGUCAGAUGUCCUUUCACGUUUGGACUUGAUAGAGGCUGUUGGGACAAGAAUUUUGUCAAGAAGGUGGAAAAAUGUUUGCAAAGUUAGGUCUGAACUCCACCUAGAUUGCCUUGACAUGUUUAGGCCUAAUUGCUCUCACGAUAUGGGUAGCCAUUGGGUAAAGUUUAGGUUUUUGGAAGCUGUAGAUCAGUCUUUACAGCUUUAUUCAGGUCAAAGCAUAACUUAUUUGAGAAUUUCAUGCUGUUUCAUGAAAAAUUUGAGCCCAAAUUCACUCAAUGGAUGCAGGUUGUAGCUACUUUAGAUGUUCAGGAACUUGACCUCAAAUUUAUCUGUUCUUCUUUGCCUCUUUGUCAAUGUGCAAAAUCCAACAUGGGUGAGCUUUUCCCUGUCUCAUUUCAGCUUCUUACUGCAGUAGCUACAAUGAAACAUUUGCGCUUAUUGGCUUGUUCUUUGCAACCAAGUUUCCCUACCCAAUUUAAUUCCCUUGAGGGCCUUUAUUUAGACUUGGUUCACCUGAGUGAUGGAGAAUUACCGAGAAUGUUGUCUUCUUGUGUUAACCUUCAGACUCUUAGACUCGGAUUUUGUAAACUUACUCCUAAGCUUUCUAUCUCUGGUCCGUGUCUCCAAUUGAAGUUUCUGUAUGUUCAUUCCUGUCCUGGUUUGGAGGAGAUUGAUAUCUGUGCUGGCAACCUGAUUACUUUUUCUUUCUUUCACAAUGGCCCGAUAAAGUUUUCGCUCUGUGUUCCCAAACUAGAAGAUGCACGCAUCACCUUCACUGGCAAUGGUUCCAUACCUUAUUUUUUUGGAGAAGUUCUGAAGGACUGUCCUAAGUUAAAAAACUUAUUAUUCCAAACACACAGUGACAAGGUUUGUAUUGACUAUGGCAAUCAUCAUUUUCUGUGUCCAAUUCUUGGCAGUGGUAUUCAUGCUUUUUGUUUCUCUUGAUUCAGCUAAAAUAUACACCUGGAAAGAUGGAUAUGUUCAGCAAUCUUAGGACAUUAUAUUUUGUCCCAGGAAUGAGUCUCCACCUGAUCUACUGAAUGUUGUGCCUAUUUUGGAGGCUUGUCCACAUUUAGAAGAAUUUCGUCUGCAGGUUAGUUACUAAAUCUAUUAAUUUUUCCCAUUUUCUCCCCUUCUUUGUGAGAUUUUUUUGGGGGUGGGGUGGGGGUGGGGUUGAUUUAUAGUUAGCGUCUUUUUACCAUCUUUUUGGAAACAUUGUAAAAGGCUAAUAUUCUUUGACUUAGAAUAACUAAAGCAAGAGAUAUUGGCCCUUUCUUUGAAGAGAUUGGAUUUUCAAAAUGGCAUUGUUACAUUUAGUUUGCUUUUAAAAUUUGUGGUGCUUUUGCUAAGUGAAUAAAUGCUGAAUGAAUUUUCUUUAGUCUUGAUGAUUCCAUUUCCUUAGGUCUAUUUGGGAUAAUAUCCUUUGUUAAGUACUCUGUGAAACUGUUCUUUUUGCCAUUCUGAAUGUCUUUUUUACAGCGUUCUCUAACUGUCAUAUUUUCUACUUGUACUGCCCCAUUUUAAUUUUUUUUCUCUAAGUCCAUGACCUUCACUCAGAAGCAGUAUUCUAGUGUUUUAAGCUCAGCCUUAUGGCCUUCAGUGUGAAUUGAUGUUAGUCAUGGAUGCUUAUAUGAAGCAUUUAAGUUGAUUGCCUCAACUAGGGUUAUUGUCAAAUCAGCUUGACUACAAUCUAGGCCAAUCUUCCAUCGAGAGUUUGGUUGACUUUAAAUUUCGAAAGUUAGCAAAACCAGAAUGACUGGAUUUCCUUUCAACUUUUGAUGUUUUAUGUGUACAUAUUCAUGAUUUGCAUGGAUGAUUAGAGGUUUGACAUGUUUGUUUCAAGGUCAAUUUUAGCUCUAUGACAUCAGAUGUAGGGGUUUCCAUCGAAUUAUAAACAAUUUAUCUGUAGAAAAGGAAGGAAAUUUUUGUUUAUAUAAUUUCCACUUCUAUUAUAAAAUUGAUAUUGGAUGGAAUCUGAGCUGAACAUCUGUUUGUUGAGCAUAAUUAGAUAAGAUUUUGCUUUGGCAAGAUUUGUUGGGCCCUAGUUGUAGCAUUGCUAUUAAUGUCCAUAAUGUACAAGAUUAUCUUUUUCUUACAUCUUGUGGAUUUGUAAUGUAUAAGAUACUUCGUUUAUUUGUUAAAUUGAUUGAAAAUCGUUUCAAUAUCCAGUUUGUAAGAUGUAAAUCUCUCUUUAGAUGUUGAUACCUUUGCAUGUCUUUUUUCCUCUUCAUUCUGUAUAAGAGCUUUCUGUUUUAGCUGUUGAUGGAUGUGUUGUUUCUAAAAUGCAGUAUGUGAAUAUUUUAUAGUUGAAGUAAGUGUUUGCAUGCUUAUUCCAUAGUCGGUCCCAAUUUGAAGGUGAACCUUGCUGCUUACCUGCUACAUCCCAACGUCCUUGCAUGGCUUGGCUUGUUCUUUAAGCUCCACUUCUGCCUUUUAGAAUGCAGUAUGUGAAUAGUUGGCAGUUGACAUAUCAAAUAAGUGUCUGCAUGCUUAUAGUGACUCCUAAUUUUUGCCUUGCUCCUGGCAUGGCUUUGCUCUUUCUCUGAGCCCUGCUUCUCCCUUCCCACUCUCCCUGUUCCUACCCCAAUAAACAGGCCUAUGGAAUAAAGCUGAUCCAUAGGUACUUAUUUCAGAGUAAACUUUGGGAAAUAACAAUUGUUCUUCUAACGUUCUCACAGCAUGUGUUUUGCACUUUUUGUCACGCUGCUUUUAAAGAUGCAAGUCAGAGGUGUGACUUCCAAUGGUGUCACUUUGAAGAGACAAUGCUGCUUAAAUCACGACUCUACUGUUGCAAUCUGUGGGAAGAUUUUUAAAGUGAAAGAAUACCAAUUUAUCACUUGUUUGUCUUUUGUUUUUCACCCUUCUUUGUUGAUGCCACAGUCCAUUGGCAUGGAGAAACAACUUAACUGCCCGUCAAACUUUUGUUCUCCUGGUUUUUUGUUUGUCUCUCUCCUUUCUACUUCUUGUUCAUGCCACAGUAUGUGUAGGAACUUUGCCCAAGGUGACCUUUCUUUUGAUGUCCAUGACUUUUCACUCAACCAAAUUCUCUUCUCCAAUCUUAAGUCAUGUUUGAAGGUUAUAAUUUAAGCAGAUAUUAAUUGAAUGAUUUUGGCAAAUUGAAAGAAGUGAAAGCGUGCUAUGAAAAUCAUUGCUUGUUAUUGUGACUAAAAUACUUGGUUUUGCUUCUUUGUGCAUCUUCAGUGACCUGAUAAAAUAAAAACAAAUGAUUAUUAGUGUACAUCUUUCUCUGAACUUAUUAUGAUGUACUCUUCACUCUCCUCAUUUUGGUUUCUCAUUUUAGAAGGUUGGGCAUCACAUCACAUGUUCUAUCGAUGCAUUUAGCUAAGAACCUGACUGAUUUAUUUUGGCUUUAGUUACUUUGUCGAGGUUUCAAUGAAGAAAGAGGAAGAGAAUGGCCUCCCAGACGCCUUGGUCAAUUAAAAGAAGUGGAAUUUAAUGGAUUUCACGGGACAGUAAAUGAAAUUCAUUUCGCUACUUAUUUGGUAAAAAAUGCUCCAGCACUUGAACGACUGUGGAUCCGCUCACCCUAUAGGUUCUAUUGUGAUGAUUAUCAUUUAGAACUGGAGGCGGUUGGUACAUGGAUGAGCGAGUCGAUACUCUGCAUGAAGAAUUGAUGAUGCAAGCCGUCUCCAGCAAACUGCAGGUGGAUAUUGUAAGAUCUCCAAGAACAGAACUCAAAAUCUGUGGGAGAGAAUAAACGCAUCGAAUAAAGUGGAGGUGAAGAAUUAAUGAUUCAAGGCCGCUCCGACAAGCUGCAGGUGAAUAUUGAAAGAUCUCCAAGAACAGAACUCAAAAUCUGUGGGAAAGAAUAAACGCAUCGAAUUGUGCUGGAUUAUUCAUAUACAAGGUGUGCAAUAAUUAAGUCUACUAGUCAUUCAUACGUCAAUUAUUUGUAACAAUAAUAAGUCUACCAAUUGUAACAAUAAUAAGUCUGAGAAGAUGCAAACACUAAGUGGCUUUGAGAUCUUUUCAUUUGUCAAACAAUUGGUUAAUUAUGAUUACAGUAGCGAGUUAUAGUUGCAUGAUGUACAUCUGACUUGGGAAAUUAAUUAUGCCAAACAAUUAAUUAUUCUACUCUUUUUUAUGUUUUGUUUUUCCUUGAUGAAAUUCUUGUAAUGGCUUUUCUACAAAACAAGGAAAAAAUCUCUGGUACUGCUGAUUAACGAUCAACCAUACUUAAUAAUGUUGGAUUGUUGGAGACAAUUUUGAUUCCCACUCGACAAAUAUGCUUUCCUAUUCAAUGAAGAUGGUGAUAAUCACAGGUAAAUAUAAUACAUAAAACGACUCCAAAAACAGGGAAAUUUGUCUCAAGGCGUCCAUUUAUCUACGUUUUUGGUAAAUGAAGAGUUACAAUUGUUGCGUAGCAGCCGGAACAUUUGUUCUUUUUUUUUUUUUUUAAACGGUUUUGGGUUUAGACCGCCGUUAAGAGCAAGCCAGUUUCCACUUGGCUGCUAAAAGGAAGGAGGAAGAUGCAAGCAACAGGAGAUAGCUUGUAGUUCAAACACCAAUUGGAUCGUGUACCAAAAGAAAAGAUUGUGUAGCUUGUUGCCACACAGACUUCAGGAAAAAGAGCUCAGAUCAGACUGACCCCAAAAAUUGUUCUCUGGUCGACCAUAAUCCAAAAACAUGCACGAUAUCAUCGAUAUCCGUAUCCUGUUGUAUAUCUCUAGUACUUGGCCUGAUGAGUCUGCUAGCCGCCUCAACAAUCAAAAUAUGCACAGCACGUGAUGGCAAAGCUCAAUGCCUCAGUUGACAUGCAACAGCCUACAGGCCAUCCAAUCCUGGAAAUCAAGUUCUUCCCACAUCCACGUACUAAGAAAAAUCAGGAGCAACAUAUUUCGCAACACGAGGUCUUAAUCAUUUACAUCAUUAACCGUUGAGCCCAACCUGUUAAAGGAAUGGGAAGGCAUGAAAAAUCCUUCUUUAGGCUUAUUUCCGACGUCUAUUUUGGGGCAUCUCUGGCUGGCCUUUCCUCAUCAUGGCAACGAACUCAUCAUAGUUAAUUCUUCCAUCCUGCGAAUGAAUAACAUAACAUAUCAUGCAUAGGCCAAGAACAUUAUACAAAUAAGACAGGAACAUCUAAAUUUUGCCUGUCUUCCUCAUAAUUUCCCUGUUCAGCACCUGGGACUAAGGGACCCAACGCAGAGCUUUUUCCAGAUUGUGAUAGAUAUAUUGUUCAUUGAUUGGAAAUAGGCAUCAUUCUGUAUCUUACAACCUAUUUAGUGGAGAAAGGUACAUACAUGAUCUGCGUCAACCUCUGCAAUGAUCUCCUUUAUUGUUUUCUCAUCACCCAUAUUAUACUCUUUUAGGGCAUGCUCCAAUUCUUCCAUCGUGAUGUACCUAAAAUUCGAAGAAAGAUUACAAACCAGAAAAUAUAUGGAACAAAAUUUGGACAGGCAUUUUUUGAUCGGGAUCUACCCGCUCUUAUCUUUGUCAAAAUAUUCAAAGGCUCUGUACAGGUGGUCUUCUCUUUCUACUCGGUUCAUGUGCAUCGUGGCAGUUAUGAACUCAAUGUAAUCAAUUGUUCCAUUUCCAUCCACAUCAGCCUGGGACAGUAAACAGCUUAUUAGCAAUUAAUGACUGUAAUGCCAAGGCAUUACAGAAACCGCCACAUACCAACCUACGGACUAUUGUUCUCUCUAAGUACAAAUAAAUGAAUACAGAUUAUAGAUCUUCAUAAGAUGACUAAUCAGAAGAAGAAAAAACAGCAUAAGAAAGACCUAUCUUUAAAGAUACAUAUUGAUGUGUUGGCAUUUCAAUCCAUGCACCUAAAAAGAUCAAGAAAAUCUUUGUAUUUGAAUUACAGUAUACUAGUAUGAAAUUGCAUUUCACUCCAUGCACUGAAAAAGGGCACAGUUGAUAAAUGCAAUAUGUUAUAAAUAAAGACAAAAUUGCAUAUUUCUUCCAAGCCAACAAUUUAAGACCACAACAGUCUCAAGGUAGUCUUGAGCAUCAAGAGAAUUUCAUUCAGGUACUUAUGCAUAAAAUGAGUUGUUCUACUCCAUUAAACCGUUUAGAAAGAGGGGAAAAAAUUAUGAACACAAAAGAUUGCAUCAGGAAACAAGGGAUUUGGUUAUCAAAGUAUGCGAGGAAAAAAGUAGAUGAGCUAUAGUACUAAUUUGCUUCAGCUCUCAGGAAGACAGCAAAGAAGCUAGAAAGUAAGGUUCGCGACAUGCUUAACAUUCUUUUGGAGCUUCUGACUUGGACACCCUUAACAGAAUUCUAUAAUCUGUAGAAAGGUUCAUAAAGGGAGGCUGAGACUUUCUGAAGCCAAAACAAGUGAGAAAAACUAAACAGAGAAAUUUUUACGCACCGCUUCCAUGAGCUGCCUCACUUCGGACUCAGAAAGCUUGGUGCCAAGCUUUGAAGGCCAGCUUCAACUCUUCAAAGUAAUUGUCCCACUAUUAUCUGUAUCCAUGGAUUUGAACAUCUCCUUCAAACCAAUAAUUUCUUCUUCUGAUAGAUUUUCUGCAAUUACCUAAUGGGGAAAGACAACAAAAACUUAAACAAAGCUUAACUGUAAAGGAAUCCUUUACCAAAAGUAAAGUACAACAUUUCCCCACCUUGAGGGCUACUUUCUUGAGCUUGUUCAUAGCACGGAACUGCUUCAUCCUAGUCAAAACAGCAAUGUCGAGAGGCUUAUCAGAUGCGUCACCGUCUUCUCUCAUCCAUGGAUGGUCUGCAACAUUCACAAUUAACUCUUCAUCUAAUUAAGUGAUCCUAAAAAUGGUUGGUUUGUAGGGAGCCCAAAGAUUGCAGAAACUCUAUUUUCUGAAAACUUUGUGAGCACCCAUAUUUUGAUUUGCCUUCCUAGUUUGUGGGGACACGGUGCCAUUGUAACGCCUUUUAGCAGAGAAAAAAUUACCCCGGAAUCCAAAACAAUGAUUCUAAAACACAUGGAGCUCAAGGUAACUUGUAUUAAGUGAAAGCAUACACAUAAACAAGACCUGAUUUAGGAAAUUGAAAAUGACAAGUAAACUAUAGAGCAACACAUUAACUCUGUGGUCAGCAACAGUUUUAAUACUGAUAUUAGUUUCCAGGUGAACCUAAGGCAAAUGAGAAAUCCAUCUUUUGAAAGCUUCUUGAGUAGUUUAUGAAAAAUGGUCUUUGUCCUUAUUUAUAUUAUUACAGGAUUUUUUUAAUUUAUCCGCAUGAAACUUCACUAAAACUAGGAUUUUAUUUUUUUUCUCCAGUGUAUGACAAUGAUGCAAAUAUAACCCAUUUAGGAUAUUAAUUAACAUGUGCGAGCGUGCACACACACACACACAAACAGCUAGCUAUGCAGCUAUACAAGUGUAAAUUUCCAUUAAAACAAAUUGAACAUGGCAAGAAUCAAAGAGUUUCUGGCCUUAGUGGAAACUUGGAUGAGCAUUCAAGGGAAUUUUAUGUCACGAGGGAUAAAGAGCUGAAGAUUACUUAAAACUUGAACUGCAGAAAGCCUUUCUUUAGGAUCUGCUCUCAGCAUCUUUUUGACAAGGUCCUUCGCACUACUAGAUAUUGAUGGCCAAGGUUCUGAUGAAAAAUCAAGAUGAGCCCCGCAGAAUGGCAUCAAAAAUACCUGCCCAUUUUCUGCAAAUAGGAGAACCAAAAGGAUCAUUAAGAUGUUGUAAAUCAGUACUUGGAAAAUAAAAGACAUAAGAAAAGCAAUGGAUGAGACAGUGGCUUUCAUUUUCAAUAUAUUUCACUAACCAUGCAGAUGCAUUACUAUGCUCAUUUUCCAUGGACUAUUAACAUUUAACAAUAUAAAAGAAAGUACUUAAAGGCUUAUUGGCCUCAAAAUUUACACAACAAAACUAAAUAGUGUUAAAAAUUCUAUAGCUGUCUGUCAUAAAACUUAAACUGACAGUGGCAGAAUCAACAAAGAUAACGGAGAAUGUUUCCAACCCUGCUUUCUUCUCAAAGAGUGGCAUGUUACAGAAACAUAGAUUACAAAUGGCUAAAGAAUGCAGGAAAAGCAAGAAAAUAAACGAAAAUGGACAGAACCACAGCACAUUAUUUAUUCAUUCAAAUAAUCAUUUACCUCCCCAAAAAGGUGGGACACCACUUAGUAGAAUAUAAAGUAUCACUCCAGCACUCCAAAUAUCAGCUUCAGCUCCAUAAUUUCUCCGCAAGACCUCUGGGGCCACAUAGUAUGCACUUCCCACAAGGUCUUUGAAUGCAUCUCCUACAAAAGGCCAACUAUAAGUUAAAAAAUAAGUACAACCCGUAAACAUGCUAAAUUAAUAAGCUGCAGUAGGGCUUUGAAGUGAAGAAAAGCAAUCCAAAACUGUCUAGGUUCUGCAAGUUUUUUAUUUUCUGUGUAGUUUAAGCAUUAAUGACCACUAUGCAUAAGAAUUUGUAGACGACACAGGAUGACAAGAAACCUGCCCCCCUGUCUGUAAGAUAAUGACAAAGAAGAAAAAAAAAAUCUUGGAAUGCACACUUUAACAUUUUAUUGGCAGUGAUGUACAAGGGAAGAGGUUCCUUUGAUUACAAGUUUCUUCAUUAACAAAUCAAUUGAUUGGUUAAUGCUAGCAAAGCUGCUGCUCUUAAUGGUCAUUUCGGUCGCAAAAGACUGUGAUGACAAUUUCUGUUCACCACAUAGCUAAAAUCUUGUUUAACAGAGAGACGUAUCAUAAGUUUCACUAGACAUUCUCAAGGUGCAUUAGUAUUUUGCAAUGUUGCAGGCCCAAGACCUAGUAGAUUUAAGGCCAUUUAGUGUUUCACUUCUCUGAAGCUUUUCCUGCAGAGACAUGCACACCUCCACAUGCAAAAGAAAAUGCUUCAAUCUAUGGACAAAUAGGAUGAAAAACUUAAUGCAUUUAACAAGACCAUUAAAAAAAAGGCUCUCCUCGCUCAAGUUUUUAUUUUACUAAACAAAAUAUAAGAUAAUGCCAAUUGAUACAUAAUCUGCAUUCUAUUUUAGCAAAGAUCAUGUCAAGCCAUCCUUUCUAAAUAAUAAUAAAAUUAAAAAUACAUCACUAACAAGCACUUCAAGAUUCCCAAUUAUACAUUCCGCACAUAAUUGCUUCGAAAUUAAUCAAAUAAUUUCAAAGCGUUUUUUUGUUUUUUUAUCAACUACACUUUUACCAACGCAUGCACACACAAAUAUACACAAAAUCAAUCCACUUUUGUAUUGAAGAAAACUGAAAACCACAUCAAUAUUAUGGCCAGAAAAGAAGAGGGGAAACAAAAAUACUAGAAGCUUUACAUCAUUAAUAGUACACUACCUACCUGGCUUGUAGAAGACUGACAAGCCGAAAUCAGUAGCCUUCAACGGCGAGUCCUCAUCAGAGCUCAAAAAUAAAAAAUUCUCAGGCUUCAAGUCUCUAUGCAUAACUCCCAUAGAGUGACAAUAAUGCACCACCGUUACCAUCUGCCGGCACAGCGCCGCCGCAGCACGCUCCGAAUAAUGCCCUUUGGUAAUAAUCCUAUCAAAAGCUCGCCACCGGCGCACAAUUCCAUGAUCAGGUUAACAUUAUGCCGAUCCUCGAACGCGCCUUUGAGCUCGACUAUAUUCCGGUGACCGGUGAGAUGAUGCAUGAUCUGAACCUCGCGGCGGACGUCGUCAACGUCGUCCUUGUUCAACAGCUUCCUCUUGGCAAUUGACUUACACGCGAACUGUUCGCCGGUGGUCUUGUGAGUGACGAGAUAGGUGACCCCAAACUGUCCCCGGCCUAGCUCCCGGCCGAAAAUGUAGGUGGAGCUGAUGUCUUCCAUGGGGCGGUUAAGGACACGGCCGAUGCCCGAGAGUGGGCGGGGAGGGGGAGGUUGGUCGGGGGGGAGGACGGUGAUGCCCUUGGACGGCGACGGUGUUGGUCGUGAUGAUGAUUGGCCAGAUUGGUGAGAGGGUAAGCCGCUACAGUUACCCAUGUUCCCGUUUCAACUUUCAACUGAGCUGUGGGUGGGUUUUAUUUUGUUACACGACUUUAAAGUCAAACUGUUUGUGGGAAGAAAACGCAAACAGGGUCCUCUGGUCUGAACGCUGAAGAUCAGCUGCUGGUUCGAAAUGACAGGAUUGACCUCUGAAAACGUGCGAGACACGAGCUAGACUCCAGGCGGCAUUUGGUCAACUCAACGCUCCCUCUUCCUCUUGCAAGGUUGGCCCGGAACAAGUACGAACAAGUAAAAAUUUGUGUAUCUGACCCGUUUGAAUUGUACAUAAAACAGAUCCGUGUUGUCCAGUGCAAUAUAUAUAUAUAUAUAUAUCCUAGUGCCAUGCCACUCUAACCGUCAUUGCCAUCCUUGAAAAUUCCAAAUAAUAAUGAAGAAAGUUUCCGGUGUAUUCCAUCCUCGUCUUUAACUCCUAAACAGCUGACUUCCUGCAUGAACUGUGUGUAUUUUUACAUGGAUAUCUUCUUAUCUUCUUGCUUGAUUACCUGCUUAGUUAGUUAGGUGGAUGACUUUUUUAAUUAAACUUGACAAUUGGAAUAGCAAUUUCUAGCUAAACUCGAGAUCUUGUUAUUCCCAUCACAAAGUCCUCUAGCUACCUAAAAGCUUAUAUAUUUUUUUUAGCAAAAUUGAACAUUUUAUUGACAAGAAUAGUGAGCUUGUACAUGGAACGUAGAAUUUCUACUACAUCAAUAGAGCACUCUAUGCUAUACAAUACUAGUCAUCUAAAACAAAUCAGAGGUAGCCCCAAAUCAGAGGUAUAUUUAUAGCCGGCUGACUGCUGAUGGUCGUGCGUGGAGUGGAGGAAAAGCUUACAUUUAUGCGUAUGAAUGCAAGAACUGUUAGUUAUAGGCUCUGUAUUUCGAAAACUGCUGCUGAUGAAUCUCUAAAUUAGCUUCUGUAAAUCAAUUACUUUCGUCAGAUAGAAAUUUAGCAAAUACGUGAAUAGCAAAAGAAUGAAUGGUUGGUUGGUCGGUUGUUGACUACUUUGUGUGGCAAUCAAACUGUAGGUUCGUGCAGAUGGACAUGGACAGAAUGUAUAUAUUCUCCACCAUUUAAUUUGUAUUGUUCCAACUGCAUCUGGAUGCCCCCAUUAAUGCUGCAUUAAUCUGAUAUUGUUGAAAUUGGCAUUCGGUGCAUUGAUUUGACGCUUAUAGCAUCCAAUUCUAAACGUGUAUAAAAACGAUUGUCGGAAAAAUGGUAUUUCACAUUUUUUUGCUUUCAAAUAUUUUAUCUCUCUGCAGUGCAGUUACGAAAACAUUCUUUCUUUUGCAUUGAAUUCCAAACUUUAGUUCGACCUAGUGAACUUGGAAAACAAGUAGAUACUAUAUCAUGUGAUUAUUCUCGACAAAUGAUACAAGGAAACAAGCGUUCGCGAAAGAAUAACAGCUCAUACACUAUGUGAAAGAAUGCUGAAUGAUAUGUGAUGAACAGAUACCUGAGAACUAAUGCAUAUUCGAGAUGUAAUGAUAAACAACUUGUGCGUUUAUCAAGAACUAAAAUUAAAAGACACCUAUCAGUUUUACGCUGGACAUAUUCGCACAUGAAGAAGUGGGACUACCUAAGCGUGAGUACCUCAUAAAGUCUUCUUGUAAAUGCUCCUCCCAGGGAAUUGUAGAAACGAAUUUAAUCAAGAAACAAGAGUCAAAAGGCUGUAGAAUUUGUCUCGAGAACCUUCGAAAAUCUGCCGGAUAAAAUCUUAGCUAGAUGCACAGGACAAUCGAAAAGAAGUCGUUAAUGUACACUUUGAUUUGUUGAAAUAAGACCUGAUCUCUAAAACUCCAGUGUGCGUUCCUGGUUGCUCUAGUAGUCUUCCAUGCAGCAAAGGUUGCAUGGAAAGAUAUUUUUCGAGUUGUUAACGUGGCGACAGAGGCCGCUUAGUUCUUCUACCCUAGUUUCUUCUUAUAUUCUAGUCUCUAUCCAUCCCACAUUAUUGAACUCAAGCAUCUCUUAUCCAAGUUCUGAACAUCAUCUUUCCUUCUAUUAUUGCCGUAUUAUUCUUUUUCUCUGCAUAUCAUUUCCUGACUAGACAUACUUUCUCCUCCUACUUGCAUGUACAUCUGAGUGACUGAACCAAUAAACCCACUCCCCCCCCCCUCUUCCCCGGCAAAAAAACUCCCAUGCCAUCCCCAAUGCAGCCAGUUCUUUAUAUCUUAGUCAUACCAUACAACAAACCCACUUGUGCUCCUCAUUUCAACUGACUGAUUUCCUGAAGAUUUUUUUUCCCUUCCGUGAAGAAGCACAAAAGCUGAUAAAACUUUCUUCUUGAAAUCCUAAUAUUUCUAUUUCGAGGGCUAGUUCUCGUAAUUUUGAAGCUACGGGAACUUUAAAAAUCAAAGAAGCCCAGUUAGAACAACAUUUGGAGAGGGAUAUAUUUCUUCUUUGGAGAAUGAAUGGGAAAAACUGUAGUAUUGAGAUCAAUAUACCGCAGGUUAGCAAAGUUGUUUUCCGUGAUGCCGAGAAGAACUCUGGCUUCUCAUGCAGAGGAUGGAUUAUGGAGGUCUGGAAAUUUUGCAAGGAAGAUACCAACAGAAUAAUAUUCGCUUUGAAAGUUGGCCUUGCUGUUCUUCUGGUUUCGCUGCUAAUUCUGAUCCGGGCUCCUUAUCAUGUCUUUGGAUCCAACAUUAUAUGGUCUAUCCUCACUGUGGCCAUCAUGUUCGACUAUACGGUUGGUAUGUAGCUUUUUUUUUUUUUUUUUUUUUUUGAUAAUGUUGGUAUGUAGACUGUUGAAAGUGGAAAAUUACCUGAUUUCUUCUUUCUUGUAAGCUAAGGAGGAAAAUUAGCUGAGUUAUUCAUAAAUAUUGGAAAAAAGGUAUUGGAUACCUGUAAAGUAUGACAGCACGGAAAAAUUGAAUAUUAUUGUACAAAAUAUCAUACACGACAUGUUUCUAAUACAUUAUCAAACAUUCGGUUGAAAUGUUUAAUACUAGGAGAAUAAUGUAUAACUAGAAUUCUUUGUUGCAUUUUUGUUCAACAGGAUCCACAUUCAAUAGAGGAUUCAACCGAGCACUUGGAAGCCUGCUGGCAGGAGUUUUAGCAAUUGUUGUUGCUCAAAUAGCCUUAAGCACUGGUCCUGUUGCUGAGCCUAUUAUUAUUGGUGUCAGCAUCUUCCUAGUUGGUAAUUCACCCUUUUUCCCAUUUACCUACCAAUCUGACAAACACGAAAAAUCUUGCAGAUAAUAAUAAUAAUAUUAUUAUUAUUAUUAGAAACAGACCAUCCAGACUAAGAUAUUUUGUUCAAUUAACUUUGUUUCGCAGGGACUAUCACAUCCUUCAUGAAGUUAUGGCCUUCUCUUGCGCCAUAUGAGUAUGGUUUUCGCGUAAUACUCUUCACCUACUGCCUGAUCAUUGAUUCUGGAUAUCGAAUGGGGAAUCCAAUAAGAACAUCCAUGGAUCGGCUUUAUUCAAUAGCCAUUGGAGGGAUUGUAGCAGUCUCAGUGAAUGCACUAAUAUUUCCUAUUUGGGCUGGGAGCAGUUGCAUCAAGAACUUGUAACAAACUUUAAGUCAGUGGCUGACGCUCUUGAAGGUAAUCAACAACUUAAAAAAUUUCAUUUCUUUUACUUUGGAAAACAAUAAAAUCGUCAACUUGGUACGUUUCAGAAUGUGUUAAAAAGUAUCUAGAAGACGAUGGAUCAAAUCAUCCAGAGUUCUCAAGUACUGUGAUGGAUGACUUUCCAGAUGAGCCUGCAUACAAGAAAUGUCGAUCCACUUUGAGUUCUUCUGCUAAACUGGAAUCAUUGGUACAACUAGUUUAUAAAUCACGAUCAACUAGUCUAUAAGUCAUUUUUGUUUCUUUCUCGUUCUCCAAGAUUAGGAAACGGUAACCAUAUUUUAUUAUCUUUGCUUAUAUUUGAAGGCUAAUUCAGCCAAAUGGGAGCCGCCGCAUGGCAUUCAGUCACUUCUUCUACCCAUGGUCAGAGUACGUGAAAGUCAGUGCAGUUUUGCGAUACUGUGCAUACGAGGUCAUGGCACUUCAUGGCGUUCUUCACGCAGAAAUUCAGGUCUUUGCUACCCUAUCGUCAUUGGUUAUAUUCUGUUUUCGGUUUCUCAGAUGCCCUGCUUAGUCCCACAUUCACAAUCUACUUAGCAGAAUUAUAACUCUUUCCAAUCAGUGUAGGAAAUCUAGAAUAUACAAAAAGUACUAUAAUUAUGUUAAAAAAACUCUCUUGAUAAUUCAAUUUGAUGCGAUAGAAGAGGGUAAAUGGCAAACAAAAAGCUCUAGAAAAGAACUCCCUGAAAACGCAAUUGAUGUUGUUUUUUGCCAGAUACCAUAUGUGUAUUGCAUCUCUCAAAUGUGCGGUCUAGCCUUAACACGGUUGAGACGCAAUUCUUUCUGUUAGUCCAAGGAUGGCAGCAUUUAUACUUUCUGUUUAUCUCCCAAUUAAGCAUCUUCUGCAUUUUAUUCUUUCAACGGUAUAACACAUCUAACAUAAAUUUUUAUCUUUCCGAACAUAUUCCGCUAUGUUUUCAAACAAAUUCUUUACGUGCAUGCUUAGACAGCAGCAUCUAUAACAGAUGCUGCAUGUUUGAAACAAAUAUGCAAUGCUUUUACUGCAAAGCCUACUAUUACUGAUACACUAUUGCCUGCACAUACUUAAAGAUCAUGUGAACGAAUACAUUUAUGCUGAUGUAACUCUGUAACUUACCAAUGCACUUGUGUAUUGAUAUGUGAUUUAGGCCCCUUAUAAUCUCAGAAUUACAUUCCAGCAAGAGAUCCAGGAUGCUACAACUGAGGCAGCUGAGCUAGUUAGAUGUUUAGGAAAUGAUAUACGCGAUACGCAGAAAAGUCUCAAAGCUCCUAUACUGAAAAAGGUGCACGCCACAGCUGAGCGUCUUCAACGAGCAAUAGAUAUGCAUUCGUAUCUCCUCAUUUCCACUUAUGAUCAGCCUCCUGAUAGACAACUGCCGAAGUUGUCCCACACUUUGUCUGCCAACUUGAGUGAUAUUUCAAACCAGAUGGCUGAGAUCGAUGUCAAGCUUCGCGACGAACAAAACUUGAACAUUCCGCCCUCCCAGCCAUUAGGAAGUUUUCCUCCAGCGCAAACAGAAUCUUAUCAUGAGAGUACGAGAAAACAUUCGAGAAGGCUCCAUUCUUGGCCUUCCAGAGAAGUUGAUGUCUUCGAAGAGGAGGGAGCUAAUAGUGCAGAUUUUGUUCCCAAAAUGCAGGCGCUGGAGAGCACUGCUCAUCUGUCACUUGCUACUUUCACCUCAUUACUUGUUGAGUUCGUUGCUCGACUUGAUCAUCUGGUCGAAGCAGUUGAUGGCCUCUCUAAGAUGGCAAAGUUCAAGAUUCAGACGGCAUAGAAAUGGAAGUAAUGUACAUGGGAAUACUGGAACAGUGGUUUUUCUUUUUUUUUUUUGGGGGGGGGGGGGGGUGGUGGUGUGGUGUGGGGUGGAGAAGCAAAAGCGCCAAUAAUAUCAAGAACUUGAAAAGUUUAUUUUAAGAUACGGCAUGAAAAUCCCAUUUAUGUUCUGUUGUCAAGAAACUGAUUCUCCAUUCUCCAUCAUAUUCGAUACUCUGAGAGUGAUAGGUGGAGGGCAUACGAUACCGUGCAAUGUCAGUGUUACUUAACUCACAUCUUUUGAUAUUUGCAGCGUGAGAACCAAUUCUGGUACCUAUUUCAGUGAAUAAUCCCAAAUUUACAGUCAUGGAAUGUAACGUUUUAAAAUUUUUUUAAAAAUAAAAUCGAACUGGUAAUCAUGGUUGUCCCUGGGAUAUGUUAGAAACAAUAAUAAAAUGUCUGCCAAAAUUCGCACAGAAAUUUCUUAUGCAACAGGAGGAGUUAGUGACAAUCCAUAUCUAUGCGUACUGGACCAAUCCCUCAUUCCCUUGCCAAACGGUGGGCUAAGUCGUUAAUCAUUAGUCAAUCAAUAUAGAAAUGGAAAGGAAUUUUAACUCUUGUUAGAAUGCGCCUGGAUUUUGGAACAAUGAAUUUCUUGGAGGGAUUAUCGCUAACUGAUGGAGCAUGGACCGUACUGUGAAAGAACUGGGCCGUAGGGAAACAACAGCCUCAUUACAGAUUUUGGGCCGCCUGACCCUUCAAUCAUUCGUUUGAGUCAAGAAUAAGGUUAGAAACCUGCGUCCAUUCCCACGACAUCUCACACUCUAUUACUUUGUACAGCAAAUGAAAUAAAAAACCACUUCGGUUUCCAAAGGCCAAAAGUACAUUCACCUUUUUACAGGAUUGAGAUAUGAAUCGAGUGAUUUGAUACCGCCAAGAACUUGUUUAAAUUUGAUCUACUAACUAAUUAAACUAGGCUGCAAUAGUAUUUUUGGUUUGGCUAAACUAGGCUGCAAUAGUAUUUUUGGUUUGGCAAACUUUCAAGUUAGGUUUGAAUUCAGCUCGAUUAGUAUAAAAGUAAAAUUUACAUGUAAAAAAUUCAAAUUACUUGAAUUUGACUUGAAUACGGCUCACUGAAACCAAUAGUAUUUUGAAUCCAGAUCCAUCUAAAUCUCCGGUCCAAACAGACCCGAGGUUUAUUCGAAAUUCAGCUACUCACGAUAUGGACUCAGGACUCAAAUGUUAACUCACUCAAAGCCCUAAGAUACCUAAUACAAGACACUCGAGAUACAAAGAGAUCGCCUGACUUAUUUUGAACACAAACAUUUGGCAAACCAACACUAAACCCAAUUUACGAAACUUUAGAUAUUUACAAAGAUGAACACCAGAAACCACAAUCAAAGGGCUACAUCUGAAAGCCACGUAGCUUUCCCCUUAUUGCUACACAUAUUCACCACACCACAUUCAUAGUUCAACGAUCUAAACAAAUAUGAAACAGUUACACAUGUAACAAGAGCACAAGCUGUGAAAGCAGAAGAUGCACAAACAACCAGAAGAACAUGCUGGCCAUGAACAUGAUAGAACAAACAAACAGGAAAGCAGAUAGUCUUCAGACCCAGCUUUGACGGAUCCAAGACUUCCUUUGCUCAGACGGACUAACCAUGCCAUUGCUGCUGCCAAAGCUCAGAGCAGAAUUGCUUACCAUCAUUGCCAUCAGACUUCCACCAUGCACCCUUCCUUCUGGAAUUGCAACUGCAUUUGACGAUGCACUUCUUCAACAGGCAGACCAGCUUGCAGGGGACAAACACAUUUCCCACCAGAACCACUGAAAGGUGUUAUAACACUGCUCUCCAUUUUCAUGAUAUCAGCAUUCAUGUCUUCAGCAAUGAUAACCUGUUUCAUCUUAUCAGGUUUGCUUGGUUCUGGAUCCUGGACCAUAGCUCCUAAUGUCACAGCACCAUGAACCCGUUUAUCCUGGACCAGAGCACCAUGAGAAGCACACAACCCGGUCUUCCCACGCACAAAUGAAUUGCAAGGACUUCACUAUUUCCAAAUUCAGAACCAGGCUGCCCCCAAGAGCACCUCUUCCCACCACCAUGGGCCUUGCAGAAAUCAGUGCUUCCCUGAGCACUUUUUCCACACCCUUCAAAUUUGCAUCUCUUGCCCCCACCAUGACGAACACAAAAAUCAGUCCGCCCCCUUGCACUCUUUGUGCAUUCUGGAACAGCACACCUCUUACCACCACCAUGUGCUACGCAGAAAAGGGUGCCUCCGUGUACGCUUUUUGGACAAAUCCACCUCCCUGGAAUGAACACCUUUUCCCUCCACCAUGGCCCUUGCAGAAAGGCGUGCUCCCUUCAGCACCCUUGGUACAUCCUUCAGAAGUGCAUCGUCUACCGCCACCAUGUGCUUUGCAAAACAUUGUGCUUCCUUGAGCCCCUUUUGUGCAUUCAGGAUAUUGACAUCGACGGCCACCUCCAUGAGAAAUACAGAGACCAGAGAGGCCUUCUGCACUUUUUGUGCAGUUCUCCCUUUGGCAUCUUUUCCCACCACCAUGCCGGAUACACAAUCCAGAUUUCCCUCUGGCAGCUCGGCUGCAGCCUUCAUGACUGCAACGCCGACCUCCACCAUGUGCAAUGCAGAGAUCAGUCCGCCUUCUGCACUCUUGGUACAACCUAGGAAUUCACAUCUACGACCACCACCAUGAGCCUUACAGAAUGCAGUUCGACCCUCAGCUCCUUUAUGGCAACCAAGUCUCUGACACCUCCGCCCACCUCCAUGGGCGAUGCAAAGGCCAGAAGCACCUCUAGCCCCUUUUACACAUCCGUUGAAUUGACACUGUUUCGUACUGGCACUACGCUGCUGUUGCUGUUGAGUUAUCCCGGAAGUACAGGUGACUGAGCUUUUUGGUGUUGUCACCAUGCUUGUUGAAAGCUCAGGAGUGGUUGCAGCUGGUUUCAAAUCUCUUACAGCUUUGUUUAGCAAGUAACUAGUCUGCAAGUUAUCCACAGUCGGCAAUGGAUGAAAUAAGCUCCCCAUCUUCAAGCUUGAUGAUAUCGAUCCUUCUUCGCUGUAAAAUGCCCCACCAACAGCCACAUGCAUCUGGUCUACAACAUUUUGUGGUGGGGUAGAGCUCAAAUGGAUAGAGGUGACAUCAGAUUCAGCAGUCCCACUGGAAAGACUCAACUCCAGAUCAACCUUUGGCCAGACAUCCACUAAUUUAGAACUAGCACUAGUAGAUUUCCUUGGGCUAAAUGUUUUAUCAUUUCCAAGAUGGAGGGAGAAGUUCAGUUCUAGGUCCAUCGAAGAUGACUCUUCAAUUUCUUUUGCCGAAGAGAUUGAUGUGCAUGCAGUUGCUGAACUCCCUUUACUGUCUGAGGAACUUGUUGAAUGGCCUAGACGGAGACACAGUGAUGAUUCCAAUUGCUGACCCACAGAACCGUCAAUCAAGCCCCAUUUCCUUUUCAUUCCCUUUGAGGCAGAUACAAAAGGUAUUGGUGAGCCAGAAGAAUCAAGACACAGUGUAGUAUCUGCACAAAAGCCACCACCAGCAACUCCAAUUUGAAAGGAAUUACCCAGAUUCUCUAAUGCAUUCAACGCAGGGUUAGCAGCAAAACCCAAAUUGUGGAAUCUGGCAUCCAUGACCUCACAGCUAAGAUGCAACACUCUUAUUGAAGCAAAUUUAAUGACAAGGAACAGUCUCCCUGACUUCCGGGUUGAAAAGUUAUCUACAAAACUAGCGUUAGAUGUCUCUAAAUGAGUACAUCCCACCCCCACUAACAAACCCUGAGGUAUCACGUCGAUCCAUUUGCUGUAAAAUUAUCUGAAUCAAACUAAUCAGCAAGAGUCAGAGGAGAAAAGUGCAUACAAACUCAAAAUGUUCAGCAUCCCAAUACCAGAGUUCAUCCUGUCUCAAAAAAGAAAUAAGACGUUAGACUAGGUGAUAAGUAUCAGAGUAAUAUGUAAUGUUUCAACGAGCAGGCACAUAAAACUUGGCCAAAAAGGUAGCAUAAUGAAAUUCUGCAUAUCACCAAAAGCACAAAACUUUUGAAGAAGGACUUGUUCAAUGGAUUGGAAAUGCUUUCAGAAAAACACCCACACCAAAAUGUAGAGGAGUGCCUUCAAUAUAAUUAACUUAAGCAAAGAUCUUUGUCAAUAAACAAAUGACAAAAUAAAGUUAUUUCGUACUGCAAAUUACACAUUCGAAAAACCCACUACUAACUCACGUUUUUUUUUUUUAAACAGUAAAGAAUUACAUGCUCAUACUGAAAUUAAAAAUCAAACCAUGAAAAUAUCCAGGACAAGUGAAUGCAUCACAUGAUAGAUCUUUUUAAAAGCCAGAUCUGUUAUUAACAAGCCAAAACAGAUCUUCUGGAACAAGAUUAAAAGAUAUCAAAUAAAGUCAUCAACAAAUAAACGGCAUACUGAUCCAGAAUCAGCAACACCAAGCAUAACUUUUCCUUAAAAUAAAUAAAAGCUUCUGCCGUAGUAUAAUAACCAAGUUUCACUAUAGGAGAAGAUUACGAAGAUAAGCACACCAAAUCAACCUAGGUAAGCAACAUCUCCUCGAAUGAAAAAUGGGGUAAAAACAUUCAAACCUCUGAAGCUAAAUUGUCCGAUAUGAAUAAAUACAGAAUUAAAACCCUCACUUCAAAGGGAAAUAAUUUUGCAUAACAAAAAUCAAUUAAAUUUCAACAUUUCAGAGGUUUCUUAUAACUGAAAAUCCACUAGUUUUGAGGUUUCUCAUAACUAAGAAAAUGGAAUCACCAAAAUUCAUUUUUGCCAAUCAGAUGAGUUCAGUUACCUAGUUGAGCUAGCAAAGUUUUCCUAAAACCGCCAAAGGGAAUAAACAACCUUCAAGCUCCCAUCUUUUCCUUCCCCCUAGCUCAGCAACCAAAUAGUAAAUCGUCAGACUUCAGAUUUUAUCUAGAUUAUGCAACUUGUAAUCCAUACAUGAAACUGCAGAACAUCAAAUUCCAAUGAAACACAGAAUUUAUUGAAGCAAAAAUUAACAGAAUUUAAGAAUAAAGUAAAUUGAGCUAAAACCUUACGAACUUAACACUGCAAACUUCUCCAAAGCUAAAAUCAGAGAUUUAGCCAGACGGAAGACAGAAGGAAAGUGAGAACCGAUAAAAUAGAUCGGGAAGAGUACCGUCAAUACGUCCACGAAUUGAUCGAGAGGUGGCUAGGGCUUUGAGAGUGCCGGCGAAGAGGAAUAGAGACAGAAAUAUGGGUAGUGCUUUUAUAUGUACGUGCGCAGGAGUGUUUAUUAAAUAAUGGAGUGGAGAGAGAGAAAAUAUUAGUGUGUGAGUGUGUGUGAGAGAAAGAGAGACAGAAAGAGAUUGCUGCGCGUGGAAAUUGGGGAACGGAAAUUGGGCGAAAGCGACGCGGCGGCGUAUGCUAGAUUACAUACUACUGUAACCACUAAUCCGCGGCAUGCUCUGAAUUAAUUGAUCAGGAUUUUAAUCGACUGACUUGAUCAUUCAUCAAUCAUCAUUCGGGUCAAAUAUCCACAAAAAGAAAUGAAGUUUAAUGUAGUAGUUUUUCUCCAUAGACGUGUUUAAUUAAGGCAUCCAACUUGGUAAACAGAAAUCGUUAUUUUUUUUUAUUUAGGUGUAUAGCUUAAUGCAAUUAAAUCAAACGUUAUAAUGUUCGAAUCUAACCUUAUAGUAUCACUUUUUAAAAUUUUUCACAAAAGUAAAUUAGUUUCAAUAUAUUUUAUAAUAAAACUCUCUACCAUCGAUAAAGAGAUAUUCCUUUGAGAUCAAAUUACAUCUUUCUUAUAAUAACUCCCUCACAUCCUCACUUUUUUUUUCCUCUUAAUCUUUUAAAUACAAUAACUUCCUCUAAAAUAGUAGUUAGAUUUUUUAGGUAUAUACAUAUAUAUCUACAAAAUAAUCAUACAACUUCUUCAAAUAAGCACACACCUAGGGUUUUGUGCCAAAAGCACUAGCUAUGACUAUUUGAGCGUGGCUUGAUUGUUAUUCAUGCGAAUAUCAAGUUAGCAUUUUUAGCUGGUGUUGGUGGUUGAUUUUUUUUUUCCCCAUGUAAAUGUCAAAUUUUUGUUUGUUAAGCAAAAUUCACGUUACUAAAUAUUAAAUCUUGUUUGAGUUUGAAGUAACAAUUAAACGGGUUUAGAUGUAAAUUGUUUGCAAACGAAGUAUUCAACGGGGACUAAUAUCCGCGUUUUAUGACAAAUCUUAUGGUAAUAAUAAUGACAGUAGUAUCGUCUUAAAUUUUAAUACUAGUACAUUUUAUUAGUAAUGAUAAUAAGUAAUUACACAAUAGAAAAUCACAACCACGUCAUGAAAUUUCAUUAUCUAAUUACAAAGUUCCGUAUUAAUGAAAGAUGGAGCGCGUGUAAGCUUGUCCAUCUACUUAAGUUAAAAGAGUUAGAUUAGCAUUUAGCAGCGUGCUAAAAAUGUUUUUUUGGUUCAUAAGACAGUACGAUGUUGUCUAAUCCAUGUGGUUCAGGACGGUCGGUGCUGCGUCCGAACAAUUCCCGAUUUACUCUUAAAAUCAUGUAGCUAAGUUCAUGCCACUACGUCUUGUCCCUCCGGGUCAAAUCUAGCAACAGGUGGAAAUCGAGAGACUUUCUAAAUAAAUGGGAAAAUGAUGGCAUAAGAAAACUUAUUAGGUAAAAACACACAACUAUUGUAUACCUCUCACCCUCAGUCAUGGGAUAGAUGUUAAAAAAAUGGAACAGUCAUUACUUUUAUUUCAAUUUUUCCUUACAUAGAGUAGAUACAACCAUAAUUCAUUUUCUAUUCCCUAUAGAGUCACACACUCGGCCACUUUUACAACUAUAACAAAACUACUAAAAAUCACCAAUAACUUCUUCUCUUUUCACAAAAAAAAAAUGUACAAGUGUGCUCAUAAACACUAACGUACAUAAAAUAUUUGGCCCAAUAAAUUAAAAUGUAAUUAUAGUGGAGUGAAACCUAUAUGACUCAAUAACGUAACAUAAAUAUGUGUAUCUGUCGAUACAAGUUAGUUCAAUUGUUAAGGCCGAAUUAUUUUUUCAACAAAAACAGCAGUGUGAUCGAAUUUUAUUGUUGAUGCGAUGAUGAUUGUGCAUUAACAUGUGCGACCCGUUAGAGUUCUUGUAAAUAAUUUAUAGUUUUAUUUCUUUUUAUUUUUUUGGGGUAAAAUUUGAUGUGGAAGCGUUGGUAUAGCCAAAGGUCAACAAAAAUUUAAUUGGAGUGUGGGGCUGGCCGUACAAUAAUCAUACAUGCAGGCAUAGCAACCAAACUAUUGGCAAUUUGGCGUGGCUGCUGCUUGAGAGGCUGGAAAGGUCACGUUAGAUUAAAGAAAAACGUGGCGGUACGACAUCGCUCGUCGAUUUGUUGAAGUGCCGAAUUUCGAAGGUUGGUCGAUUCAUAGAGAGCCACGCCAGCAAUAUGACACGUCGAACUGAGUUUUGAUGGGACCGCUUUGAUGGAGAAAACAAGCAGAAAAACCUAAGGAACCCAGGAGUAACGAAUUUCCCAAUCUUCGGGUUUGUUUGGAUAGUGUAUUAUUUGAAAUAUUAUUUGGAAUAAUUACUGUAGCACUUUUUGUGAUGUGAUGUAUAUGAGAUAAAAAGUCGAUUGGGAAUAUAAAAAGAUAGGUUGGAAAAUGUGUUUAUGAUGCAAGCGAAAUAUUAUUUGGAAUAAUGUGUGUAUCCAAACACUUUCAUUUACUAUUUGGCAGUCGGCACUCGGCCGCGGCCCGUCACCGUUCAUGGUGCCUCGGCUUGUGGACCCCAUUCCGCCACCUGUGUUUUUUUAGUACUUGAUUAUGCAAGAGUUGUUUGACACUUUGACGGUGGGAGUGGAUGAUUGUUGGCUGGCUCCACGGCUGUUGAUGUUGCUAAUAUGAGCCGCUAAUUGGCUGCUGCAAUUCCACUUUACAAAAUUUACAAUGGUAGAGAAUCCAAGCCUUUUACCGUCUGUAAAAAAAAAAAAAAAAGAAGAAAAUUCAAUCCUUUGCUAAUGACCAAUUAACCACAAGGCAUUGGGCGUUUUCAUGCCAUUGUGUUGUACAAUAAAAAUUGCAGGAUUCAAUUGUAACUCGUAUUCUUUAACAUAUAUGCUUUCAUUUUUAAAACAAUUAUCAUGGAUUAUAUUUAUAAAUUCAAGAUAAGUCCUCAAAAGCUUUGACGUUGGUGUUUGGAUGGCCUUUUUUUCUUGUGCCUCCGUUAGAAAAAUAUAAUUUGUUUAAAACAUGCACGAGUUUUAAUACCAAAAAAAAAAGUACAUCAAAUCUAUAUCUAUAUGUAUUCAGGAAGGGGUUUUUAGCCGACACCCUCUCAAUGACUUCUAAAUUUCUCAUCCUUUUUCUAGAUUUUUGUAUUUAUUUUAAUACAUAAAAUGUAGUGGGUUAUAAUUCACCUUAUCACCUAUCAAUAUUUCCACUAUCUCACUAUCUUAACUCAUCCUACAACCACUCCUACAAAUUCUCUUUUCCCACUAUCCCACUAUCUCACUCCCACUUUCUAUCCGUUUCUUAUUUGUUUUUGUUCUCUAUUCAUUUUGUAAAUGUAUUGAUUUUAUUUCUUUUAUGAGCAGUAGUGGAAGAUAUUAUGUGCAGAGACUUUAGCAGAACUCAACCUUCUUGCGGAGAAUUGGAAGUAUAUUCUUACCAAACUUAAUUUUUCAGGUCAGUCCCCUCUGCCUUUUAAGUAUGUUUUGCUUUUGCUUUACUUUUUGUCAUGAAUGAUAUUGCAUUGAUUUUCUGAUCAUCCAUUAUUUCUGAAAAUUUUUUACAAAAUCCUAUGAACGGUUGUUUGCUUAUUGUUACACUGUAAAGUAAAGAUAGUCAGUAGUGGGAUAAAGUAUAAACACAAAAUCACAAUCACAUUUCUAACAUAAGGUAUUGCUUGCUUAUAUAAUUGCGGAUGGUAUAAGUUCAUGAUUGAGGGUUUUGCUAUUUCUAACAUAAAUUGCAUAUUAUAAAAAUUUAUUUGUUUGUAUUACUGAAAUUUUUUUAAUUAUUUUUUAUUGCACAUUUAUCACAUAAAAAAGGUGUUACGAUAGUUAUUUUCAUAAUUUUAUUCCAAAAAUGAUCGUGCAUGAAAUAAAAAAAUAUUUUUUGAUAAUAAAAAAUAAUAAAAAAUGGUUUAUAAUUAGAGAAAAAUAAUUCAGAUACUACUAAUAACUAAGGCACUAUACGCCCAUUAUUAAAAUUGGAUUAAUUUUUAAUUUCGUCAGAAAUCCUUUUGGCAAAAUUGCAUUAUAGCCUUUCUUUUCUUUAUUAUUUUCUCUCUGUAUUGACUGCAAUAAUUUUCACUUCACUUUUAACGGGUGGACUUUCAAAAUUGGUAGAAAUAGAGUUUAUUAGCAUUCAAAUAACUGUUAUGUGUUGCAUCUUUUUGAAAUGCUAAAGAAUGCAUGAAAUUUCUUGAAAAGAUGGUAUCCUACUUUUUAGAAUUUGAGUCACAAUAUUACCUUCAUUUUUUGUAUUUUUGCAUUCACUGGAUUAGAAAAAACGCGUCCUUCUAAACUUGGAUAAUGUUCAGUAGUGAUGCCAAAGACCUAACGAUAUCUAUAUGAAAAAAAAAUCCAGCGGACAUAAUUAUAUAUCAUACCAGAUAUCAGGAAAUUAACUGCAUAAAGGAAAUAAUCCUGACUCAUAUUUCGGCGCUCUAUCUGACUCAAGACAGUGAUUUUUAAAAAAAAUCUGGUUUCUCUUGAUAUUUGAAAAUUUCUGAAUUCUAACUGAAUUUAAACAAAAAGAAUAAAUUAAAAAUUAUAGAGACUGCCAAAUUAAAAGACAAUAUUGAAUUGGAUAUUAAAAGAUGGUUUAAAUAUAGUAGGGACUACGAACCAAAAUAUUUAAAAAACAAUUCUGUAUCCAAAAAAAAAAAAAAAUCUACAAGAACAAACUCAUUUUUCCAAAAAAAAAAAGAAAGAAAAGAAGCCUAUAAGAACAUACGUCAUUUUCCAAAUUUAAUAAUUUAUCUACAUUAUGAACAUAUUAUAAACUAAUACAUUCCUUUUUAUUAAUAUUAAAAAUUGAUUUAAAAUAUACAAGUGAUAGCAGAUGGAAUGAAGCAGUUAGCGACAUGUGAAAAAAUCGAAAUGAACAAAAGCAGUUAGAGGGAUAAUUUCGCACAAAAUUCAUGGGUUAAAGUGCAAUUUGAGGUAUAGAUGGGAGGCAUUUUAGUGCAUUUAUUGGUUUGUUUUCAAUAAGUGAUGAUUGAUUUUGCGGGGUUUGGGGGUCUACAUAUACCAAAAUAUAUAGGGAUUACUUCAUUAACUAUGAGUGCUAAUAACAAUUUUAUUGGUGCGUAAUUUUCAUUUGAUUAUAACACAAUUGUAUUAAAUUCUAUUGAUGCUACUUCUAUAUUAACUAUUGUAUUUUUUUGUUAACAAUUCUCAUACAAUGUAUCAUUUACUACGCAUAAAAUAAAUACAAAAACUAUUUAUUUUUUAUUUAAUAUAUAUAUUUUUUCUAGAUCAAAUAAAUGAAAAUAUUGUCUCUCUUCAAGUUCGACAGCCAUCCGCAUCACCAAUACUUUUGCGUGAUCAUGGUAAAGAUGCAAUUUUUUAUAUCGUCAAAGAUCGUGCAUUUUCAUUUGUAGUACACACUUCACAAAAUUCAACAUAGUUAAUUAAAUCAUCAAUUUUGGCUUUCGUAAUAAAAGUGGAUUGGUGUGAAGAGUGUUCGCACCUUCAAGAAAGAUUAUCAAAUCGAAUGUUUAGUAUUUAUAAGUAUUUCAUUUUAACAACAUUCAAUUACAUUCAUUUGUAGAAAUAUAUCAUUCCCUUUUUUAAUAUAAAUUUUAAUUUUUUUUUCAGGAUUCAUCUUUCGAAAAAGACAGUUUUUGAAUGAUAUACACAUUUUAUUAUAUUUCAAACUAUUGUUAAACAGAUAUUACAUUUAAAUUUUGUUGGUUCAAUUUUUUCACCUUUAUUUGUUCACCAUUUUUAUUUUUUCAAUAAUAUUAGUAUCGUGCGUAGCACGGGUAUUCACACUACUAGGGUACUAUUGGUGGAGGUGGGUAGUGGAGAUAAUUGGAGGAGGCUAUCGAUGAUGGGGAAGGGGGUAUUUCAAAAAACAUAGGGUAUUUUGUGGGUUAUAAACAAAUACCAAUGUGAGUUUUUUUUUUUUUAAACAACUCUAAUAAGUUAUUAUAAACUUUUAACAAACAUUAAAAAAAAAAAACAACCAGACGGAUCGAUCCAGUAUCCAUUACUAGACUAGGAGAAAUGAUCAUAAAUAUCAACUAUUGUAAUGCACUCGAAAUCUAAAACAAAAAAGUUUGUGGGGGUAAAGGGUAAAUAGCGAGGGUGCGCUUGCGAAAAUCACAGAAAAUGCCUGCGGCUGCGGUUUAUUAGCUAUUGUUUGUUUUUCCGCUAUAGGUAUACUAUAGGUUCAUUGCAUGGUACACCUGAGCAAAAUCCAUUACGCAGUCGAGUGAAUCCCAGCUACGAAAUAAAUAGUACUCAACUCUACACUAGUGAUAGAUAGGCAUUAGAUUAGGCAUUUUCCAAUCAAUCAAUAAAGGAAAGAUCGCAGGUCAAAAAGCAUUAUUGUUAAUGCGACUUAACAGAACAAGGACGAUGCGUCAAACAUUAGAUGAGCCUUUUGUUGUUUCCGUGCAAACACAUUUGUUGGCGAAGAAGAAAUACCCUCUUCUCUUUAGGCAUCUUUGAAUGGCAUCUUAAGGCUCAGUGGCCACAUGGAAGGGGUUUAAGUCCCUCUUUGAAUUAUAGAUGAAGGUUUAGUGAAAAAAAUAUAAGUGUUAUAUCAGAGCAUUUUCUUGAUUUAGUUUGAUCAUAUCCCACUAGCAAUCAUAUCUACAGUGAAAAAAAUCUAAAAAUUGUGUCAGAACACUCUCUUGAUCUAGUUGGGUCUGUAAAUCCAUUAGCCUCCUACCACAUCCUCUUUAGGCUCCCCCUUCCCCCUAGAUUAGGAUAGAAUAGAUUAUACAAAUGUAUCGUUGCUGAAAAAAAAAAAAAUAGUGUGAAGAUGUGAAUAGUGUGAGGAUGUGAUCGAUACCAUUCCAAAACUUCAUAGCAUGUGUGUGUAUGUAUAUAUAUAUAUAUAUAUAUAUAUAUACAUACAUACAUAUAUAAUGUCACCCAACAUCCCAUUCAAACCAACGGUCUUAGGGGCAUUAUUGACCCAAUAUCCAAAAAAAAAUCACUUUCUAAGACAGGAAUAUAAUCAUAUUUUUAUUAGAAUUAGCUCAUAUGCUAUAGACAUAAUUUAAGAUGAGGAACUUUGGAUUCCUCAGUUUCAAAUUACACUGAUUGUAUAGAUCACUUGAGUCUUUGCUCGCAACUGUACAAUUUUUAUAAUCUAUAAAAUCACUUAUCAUUUCAAAAAAAAAAAAAGAAAAGAAAAGAAAGCUUGAAUGAAGCACAUAUCAUAAAGAGUGGCGCAAAGAGAGUUGAAAAAUGCACAUUUUAAGUCCAGAGUUCCAACUUCCAACAAGUUACAAUUCAAUUCUGGUCAAAUCCAAUGUUCUAGAUAUCGUCUUGUUUCAUUAGUUUCCAAAUUCUCUAUUCUUUUUCUUUUCUUUCCUUUUUUAUAUAUAAAAAAAAUUACUUUUGGGACGAUGGGUCAUUUUCACAUGAAAAGGUAAAAGAACUUAUUCCUUCAUAAUCUGGUAUAACUCUAGAAUCACUCUUUUAGACACAGAUUUAGGUCUCACGCACACAAAUUGAAGUUCGAUACAUGCACGCAAAAUAAAAAAAAAAAAAAAAAAAGAAGCUCUCCAAAUUGAUCUUGACCAAAAGUUGGAAUGUGUAGCCAAAUUCAUAUCUAAAGCGGAUUAUCUGAUGCUAUUAUGCUGUGAUAUUUACUUUUUGACUUUGAUGCCGAUUCAAUAUAUAUAAAGAGUAAUUUCAAUUUCUGAUGAACUUUUUUAAGUAAUAUAAUUUAUGUUGACAAGUUUGCUGCAAAGUUUGCUAUAGGACUGUUUGGAAGGUGAGUUUUUGGGUGUUUGUAUAAAAUUUUACUGUAGAUCACUGUAGAAAUUGUAGAAAAAUUUUUGGAUUGUAAGAUGAAAGAACUUUUUUUUUCCUUUUUCUUUCUUUCUUUUUUCUUUUCCUUCCUCCCUUCCCCUUCCCUCUCCCGAAACUGCCUCUGCAAACACAUACAAACUUUUUUUUUUUUUUUUUUUUUGCUUUUCUCCUCUUCCCCCUCCCUCGCCACCCUUUUCCUCCCCUCUCCCCCGUCACUGUCCUCCCCCACCAUCUAUUUCCUCCCCCCUUUGCUCGCUACCUCUCUUGGGCCGCCACCCCUUCUGCCCCUCCCCCUGUUCCCUUUCUCGCUUCUCACCAUGCCUGAUCUCUUUCUUUUUUUUUUUUUUUCACACGUUCCCUCUUCCUUUUCUUGCUCUUGCCGGCAGAUGAAGCAGCGAAAUUAUUUUUUAUUUUUUUUGGCAAUUUUCCUUCUCCCCCUCUUCUCCCCUUCCCCCGCCCCUCACCCUCUCCCCGGUGCUAUCUGGUCUCGUGACUAGAUCGGCCAGAGAGGAAGAGGAAGGGUGGUGGGGAGGGGUGGGGGAGACACAGAGAGGGAAAAAAAAGACAGAGGGGAGGAUGGCAAGGGAGGAAGAGGGGGAGAGGGAAAAAGGAAAAAAAAAAAAAAGACCAGCACCGGAAGAGGUGAUCGGCGCCAGAACCGGCAGCGGAGGUGGUGGUUGGUAGUGGAGGUGGUAGCCGGCGACGGAGGUAGUGGUGGGGGAGGAAGAAGAAGAAAAGGGGAAGGGAAUUUUUUUUUUAUUUUAUAUUUUGGAUAUUUUAAGUGUGUAGGUUAAAAGUUUUGAUAAAUUUUUGAGAUUUUUGUAGCAAAAAUUAUUAAAAAACUAGUAUAAUAUAAACUUGCUAAAAAACUGGACUUCCAAACAGGCAUACAUUUCUCAUAAAAUAAGGGAAUGGGGUUCCAAAGUAGUACGUAACUGUUUUUUUUGUUUUUUUUUAAUGACCUUUUCAAUUUUCAUAAAUUUGUUGUCAUUGAAAAGUUGGGGCAGAUCGACUGGUCCGGUCGCCCCAUUCUUUGUCCCUUCGAAAAAAUGCCAAACAAAGUUGUAACGUGGGAUGGUUGGAAUCUUAAUGCCUCUGGAAUUCUUCCAAUGGCAAUGGCAAUGGCAAUGGCGUACGUUUAAGGAACAUAAAUCAUUCAUGUACACAAUGGAAAACAGCUAAGUCUAAGAGAUAUUCGAUAAUAUUAGAGCUGAAUUUUUAUUUUUUGAGAUUUUUCUUCUUCUUCUCUUUUCUUUUUUCUUUUUGUUUGGGUGGAUGGGGCUUUUGCAAAAAUAUUCGAUUUUUUAUUCUGGGUUGAGGUUGGUGUAUUCUUUUCUUUCGAUUCUUUAAGAAGAGAAUAUGCGAACUUAAGAUUCGGCUCUGACUAUGACGCACGUGACACGCUCGUGCGUACCGUCAUCCUGUCGACAUCCCUUUAUUAUAAAAUUCAUUCAUAAUCUUUUGAAGAAAAGAUUAUUAUUAUUAUUAUUACUAUAAAAAAUUGGCUAAUGCAUGAUUUUCAAUUUUUUAAUCGUCUGCGAAGACGAUGACUUAAUUAAUUAUUCUAAAACUGCAGAAAAGAAAUUUUCUGACUUUUCUGGUUACUAAAAAGCAAUUCCUCCCACAAAAAAUAUGUGCUGCAUUUCCGUUGUCCGUGCCUACAAAAACUCGGCUCUUGGUUAUAUAGAAGAAUAUUAUGCUAAACUAGUGGUAUUAUUUAUAUGAGACUUUAAUGUGCAAAAAUACAUCAGUAUUGAUUGGAGAGCAUAAUAAACAAAAACGGAAGAAAAGAAAAUAUUUGGAGCAAUUCAUUAAGUAAACUUUUGCUGCAAUUAAUUUUUGAUUAAUCUUGACAUAUAAUCCGAAUUUGAAUUUGAAACUCAAAUUUUAUAUAUGUGUCGUGUCGUAUAUCCAACCGUGAUAAUCAGUGUAUAUACGAUUUACUUAUUAAUUAAUUGUUAAUUAGCUUCGACAAAAACCCUCAAAUUAUAUCUAGUUUGAAUCGUGCUAUGAAUAGCUUGCUUGAUUUUUUUUUUAAAAAAAAAAGAAAAAAGAAAAAUCUGAUCUAGGAUUUCCAUUUGCAUAAUAGACUCACUCGUACGUGGUAAUAAAUACUACUCCGUAUCAGCAGAGCGAUCUAGCUCCAUAAAGUGUUGGGCUACAAAUAAGAAUUAUAUAUGCUACAAGGCCAAGCAACAAAUCAAAAAUUUUUUUUUUUUCAUGUUGAGUUUGUGUUGAUGCAGAUGUUUUGCUGCAAAGCAUGAGUCUGGUCAACCCUCCUCCUUCCCAGAUGGAAUUCAUCCAAAAUGUCGAUAAAAUGUUAGUCCCAGUUGCAGCAAAAUGCUUGAGAAACACACGAAUCAGCAGUGCAGCGAAAAAUGGCUGCUUCCUAACUCACUAUCUCAAUCAAUGUCACCACUGCAAAUACAAGGAAGAGAGUACCACCAAUGUAGGCUAUAACCUGUACCAGAAUUCAAGAAAUUGUUCACUGACAGAUGGUUAUCGAAACACAUUUUACAUCAAAUACAAUAAAAUCUGUUUCUCAGUACACGGCAAAGUAACAAUAGGAGAAAAAAAAAAAAAAAGAAAGAAAAAGAGAGAGGCAGGCAGGGUCUAAGAAUCCAAGUCAAAUUUAAAGAAAGCAGUAACUGAGAUGAUAGAAAAGAAAAAGAUGAUUUGAGCUGUCAUACCAUAUGGUUCAAAGUAACAAGCCAUCUUGAUCAAUAAAUAAAUCAUAUCAAUCCCACAUUGUUACCUUGCGUUAGGAUCUUAAACAAAUCAAAGGACAAUUGCAUUCAAGUGUUACUACAAAAAUAGGUGAAAUUCCUGAGGGUAAGCAUGUUAAAUUUCGUAUUGUGUUAUUAUUUCAAAAUUGUUCUGCAGUCAGAUAUGGGUUGAACGCGACUCUUAGAGGCCUUUCAUGAUGUUUAAUUGUUUGGGAAAAAUAUGAAUCAGUUACACAUUUUCGUCUAGACUUGAAGAUUCUGGUAAUCAAUCAUACCUUCUCCGAUAGGAAAGUCCCCAUUAAGGAGCCACCAAGAACAGCCAGCUGCAAGUAGCAAUUUAUGUUAAUUGCAUGAGAUUACGUUGUUGAGAAGCAAAAUAAAGCCGAAGGCGUGAACGAUGCUAUAUGACUUGGAACACGAAAGAUAAGAUGCAUGUCCACUAAAAUUUGUUGUGUUUUCUCCAGGAGUAGUACUUCAAAAGAAGUAAUGGUGAGUAUAUCCGUCAGCAAAUUGCAAUUUGUAUGAAUGGAUGUUUCCAACAAAAGCACUUCUCAAUACUUCAGCACCUCUGCGAAGUUGCUUCGAAAGUAGAAACAAAGCUUGCAAUUUUCUUUGUUGUAAAAUCUUAGUGCUGCUUGCUGCGCAAGAAGGUUAAAGGUUGAAGUGUAAAUUACCAAUGUUGCCACUCCAUGACCGGCCAAUGCCCCUCCAACAACUCCAAGAGGUGAAGAGGCUGCUGCAAGUGCUGAAUUGAAAAUUUUAUGUCAGAAGUGGACAGGGAAAUGAAGACUUCAAAUUUGCAACAAGACAAGACUGACAUGCAUUUCUAACUUAUGCGCCUACUCAGCUGGUUUGUCAUUUUCAGUAGAAAUGAAGCUAUAUCAUGUGAUAUUGCCAAAUUAAAAAUCCAGAUUUUGAGAAACAUCAUGUGAUAUUAUGUUUAAUUGACCAGUUGACUUGAGCAAGAGGAUUCUGAUAUUAAGACCUUGAAUUGGUAUUAUAGGAAGAUGGACCACAAACAGGAAAUCAGCAGUUUUUGCUUUUCCUAGUGCAACUAUUUCCUUAUUUCAAUAGUGCGUUUAGUGUCGUGAUGACCUCUUUGUGUUGAUUAAUCCGUACUCCUAAAAAUAACCUCUAAAACCUUGCGUAUUUACAAGUACCCUCUUGGUUAUUCAAGCCUUCUGCUGCUUUUGCUGCUUCUUCUAGAGGAUAAACCAUAACAAAGGACAGAAACGUAUUGUUGCUUAAUGAUCUUGCAAAAAUUCACAGAAAAGGACGUGUGGAACUCAAAAUUUUACCCACUUUUGACAAUGCAAGCUUUAGCUGUUAAAUAUCAGAAAUAUCCUGUAUGGAACCUGAACCACCCCAAAAGAAAAAAAGGAAAAAAAAAAAAAAAAGAAAAAGGAAGACACCGCAUGGUAAAGCUAUAAAGUUAAUGGACCUAGGACUAGAGAUUUUUUCGGAAAGAUCCUUCCUCACCUAUUGUGGAAAAGAAUGACUUAUCACCCCAUUCAGCAACAAAAACAAGAAGGAAAGUGCUAAUGACGGUGCUAGCAGCAGCCAAAAUUCCAGCUCCAUUUCCUGAAAAUUCUGAAACUGCCAAUUCUGCCUGCUAUGGAAGAAUGGCUAGAGUUAUGUUAUGAGGUUGUACCAUAAUAAAGGAGUUGAAUACCUUUGAAAAAAUAUAAGGAAACAAAAUGUAGCAAGAAAAUCUGACAACUUGAAGAAAUAUAGUUGUCUAGUUUGGCAUAGUAGCCAAAGUAGCAGUUGUUUUUUAAUUAAGUAAAACAACAGUCAUUCAUAUAUGCAUAUCUAAACACACAGUGUCUGGACUCCAGUCAACUCUAUCACAGCAAGAGCGUAAACAAUUAUUAGUUCUCAUUGUUAGGGAUCAGGUAUACACUGAAACAACAAUGUAUGCAUGCAAUGUUCACCCGCAGGUCCUACAACGUUUUCAGGAUUUACCAAUUUUCAAUCUCCACCACAUGAUUUUCAACACUAUAAAUUGUUCUCAGCAACUGUUCUUAAAACUGCCAAGAAACCUCCACCCAGCGCUUCAGAAAACAUCAACUAUGGAAUGAUACAGUCCAUUAUCAUUCAACGAUCUGAUAGAAAAGUGAAGUAAGUUCAAGUAAUGACGGUAACUAGUUUGUCAGAAGUUUGUGGUUAGCGAAUUAAUAGCAUCUCAACUUAAUAAUGAAUGCAUCAGACUGAUGGUAACAUUGAAAAUUUGACGUUCAACAGGGAAACAGCACCAUGAUUGUCGAGGUGUCUUCAUCAAUCAAGAUUUGUUUUACUGUGUUCAACUUUACCAAAAAAAGGGGUAUUGAUGACUAAGCAAAAGGUAAUAAUCAAUGCUAGGGAUGCUGACUUUUCAUCCCUAGGAAAAUCAGAAUAUGAAGCCUUUGAAACUGGUGUUCAACAUUUCUCAUAUCGAAACUUUUCUGAUGCAGCAAUAGCAAAUCGUCAAUAAUCAUCUUAGAAAGCCCAUAUACAUAGACUGAGGAAGUUAGACAUGUAUUACUGAUUUUAUAUGUAUGUUGGAAGGACUAUAUGGACGCCUCAUAGCAUUCUGUUAAUAAAAACUGCACCUCCUUUUGUUCUUCUUCAGUCUUUUGACCAUCACCCGAGGAGGCUUCAAGCAAUGUUGAAACACCAAAGUAGACCUGUGGUCAAUCAGUACUACAAAAUUAAAGUUAUAAUUCGAGUCAAAUCAUACUUAAAAGGUUCGCGAGGGAAGUGUAUUUCUUUCUUGCCAAAAUAUCUUUAGUAUCUUUUACCAGAAGAAAAGCUGCAGCAAUAUCAUCAAUUGGCAAAUCAGCAUCACCAAGCCUGCAUUCAUGGAGCAGAGUUAAAUAAAAACUUGAUAAAAUGGGUAGAAGUUUCAAUUAGAUCGAGAAGAGAUUCUAACAACUUGAACUACAUCAGAGAUAUGGUGGGUACAUGAAUACUGCAUAUAAUGGACAUGACAAACGUUAGAGGGUGGGUUAGUGGCAGUUGCUUGUCAACAAAUCCAUGAGAUUAAAUGAAAAACACAUUCAUUUAUUUUUCACAUUCAAGAAGUGCCGGAUCUUCUUAUCGAUCUCUGAUUGAUAUGAGAUAUCUUGCCCCUUGAAAAUCCAGUCAGGGAUGUUCACUGUCCUAAAAUGAAUAGUCACAAGUUUUCUAAAGUCAUAAAUGCUUCUUCCACAUUAGCAGCAUUUGCAUGAAUGCAAUCCAAUUGCCAACAUGAUAGGAGGACCAAGGUUAUCAAAUUCUAUGACGCAACAUAACACAGGAAAGC
rnacentral:lncRNA from 1 species